UUGGUAUUCACAGAAGCUGAAGAAAAUAAUUAAUAAUUUGUUUUGAGAUCAUAUCAUACCACGUCAGUAUCCUCCCAAACUCGUAUGAGUUUGCUAUAGCUCAGGUCAACAGCAACUAGGUUUGGCUGAUCGAAAUCUUCAGGUAUGACCUCCAGAGGAAAUCCAUGCCAACACAACCAUCUUAACUCUUUGGAAAGAUUUUGGUAACUUCCAGUGAGCUUUAUGUUAUUGAGUUUGAGCAAUCUCAGACUCUGCAUCUUUCUAAAUGCUUCUGUACUGAAGCUACACUCAUCAGACUCUUGCAUAUCUAAAGCGAGUCCUUCAACGUCUUCCGUUCCCUAUUCAAGGAAAAGAAAAAGGAACAAAGUAAGACAAAAUUUAUUUUGGCGUGAAAAGAGAAUUUAUUCACAUGAAGAAAGCCAUGAAUUGGAUGCAUGAACUAGAAUUCAGUUGUGAUUUACAUUUUACCAUAUUAAUUAGGUAUCUUAGUCGGCAUCGGUUACACGGUGUUACUUUACGUAUUACUAAACCCUUGGCACACGCGUGUGCCUUUAAAUUGUUUUGGACUUCUAUUUUUGAAUUUAAAAAAGGAAAAAUAUGGGUGGAGGGUUGGAGGGGUGAGGCUAACUGCUUCAGCAUUUACUGGAGAGAUUUUCCAGUGUGACGGACACACGGGAUGGUACAUCAUGUGUUACUAUACAAAUAGUGAGAUAUGUGUGCUUAAAAGUUAAUAACUUAAAAAAUAUAAUUUUCCACCACUUGUAUAAAAUUAUGUGUGUACCACUCGUGUUCCGGUUACAAUAAAAAAUUUCUCCAUCUACUGCGUGGGUUUGGGGUUUUUAAUUUUAAAAAUUAAUUAUUGAAAUAAUAUAGGUGGCAUAUACUUAUCCCUUAAAGAAGUUCAUAUUUAACAUAAGAUUUGAUUGCCGAAGUACUUACAGAUUUUUCCCCCAAAACGUCCUUUACAUCCGCAUGGUGCCACAAUCUACUACGUUUUCCAGGAUGGUCAGGGGAUUGUGCAUAUACGAUUUCUCUGGCCAUGUCUCGAAUCAAGUUAUGCAUCAUCAGAUCGCCCUUUGUAUCAACAGUUACAAGGCAUUUAUCUUGGAGUUCUCGAAUUCCUCCCACUGGAUAUAAGCCACGGUCAUCCAAUAUUGUCUCGACAUAGUUCUCGUUCAUUCCAAUAAAGAAACAGCCUAUAUCCAGGAAUACAUCCUUCAGGCGAUCAUUUAGCCCAUCAUAGCUUAUUUUAAGUCUUCUAUGAAUCUCCCUAGGACGAUGUCUUUUCCAUUUAUCCAGUUCAGUUUCCCAUUCAUUUUUACUUCUUGUACACAGAUAAGAACCUAAGACUUGUAGUGCUAGUGCUACUCCUCCACAGUCGCCAAGAGCUUUUCUUGAGAGCUCAACAUACUCUUCAUUAGGAUAACUCUUACCAAAGGCAUACCAACUAAGCAGCUCAAGAGCUUCUUCGUCAUUCAGUCCUUGCACAGGACAUAUCGCAUCCACAUUAAACAUCCUUAGCAAAUGUUGAUCUCUUGUUGUUAUGAUAAUUCUACUUCCUCGACCAAAUGAGUUACCACUUAUACCCAAUGCAUUUAACUGUACAUGGCUGUCUACAUCAUCUACUAUGACAAGCACUCUUUUGUUGCCAAGUCUUCUUUUAAUCUCCUUGGUCCCUUCAUCGUCGCUACUAACCUUCAUGUUUCCCGAUCCCAAGAUAUCAGAAAGUAGUUUGUUCUGUGAAUGAACCAGUUUCUUCUCUUUUCUCACAUUUGGAAGAAAGCUUGCACCAUCAAAACUACCAUGAUGUUUGUUGAAAACGGCUUUUGCAACCGUUGUUUUACCCAGUCCGCCCAUGCCCCAGAUUCCAAUGACACGGACAUCAUUUGAUCCUACAACAUCUAAAUAAUUACUGAUUUCUUGCACACGAGAAUCUAUUCCAACUGGGUGUCUGGCUACGUCCAAAUAAUUGCUCUUCAGUUCUCUACUGAUUCCUUCAUACCUGAUAGGUAAAAUUCAAUUCAAAAUUAAGCAAAAGUAAGAUUUACUAAUAAACGGCACAAUUAAAUUGAACUAAUAUCUUGCCCAUUAUGACUAGAGAGCUUGGGAGUGGAAGAUUUGAAAGCCCAGUGAUGAAUCAAAAUCUUCGAAAAUCAUUAAAGCAUUAAACCACACAUGACACAGAUUUCUCAUGGAAGAGUCUGGAAGCUCUACAUUGCAAUGUGUAAAAUCAAUUACUCCAAGGCGUAGUUAUGAUAAUUCAUUGUUUCUUGACAUUUGAUAAAUAUGAGAGUUCAAUAGACCAAUACAUUAUGUAGCCAAUUAAUAACUUUUGUUAGAAGGAAUGGCAAAUUACAAAAAAUACAAAAUAUAGGAAAGGAAAAAAGAAAUAAGAAAGUACCCAUGAGCACCCAAUAACCAAUCCGGAUGUUGGCCAAAAUCAUAUAGAAGCAAGUCUGAAUCAUGCAUAUUUUCCUUCAUAAAGUUGUCCCAUACUAGAUUAACCCCUAUUUCCUUCACACUCACAGAAGCAUCUGCAGGUUCAACAGGCUUUACAAAUAUAUCAACCUUGUCCCCCCCUUGCAAACUGAGCACAUAAUUCGAUAUAUGUCCCUGCCAAAGAUAAUGGUCAUCAAGCGUACAGGAAGUUGGUACUGAGGCAUAUGUUAUCCGGGCGAGCACAGCAGUACACUUGGUUUUAUUGCUAAUGAUAAUGCCGAGAGGACCUUCACGUUGUUCCUUUGAAGAGUAUAUGCAGCACAAAGUCAACCCGCUAAAACUGCGACCAACAAUUGGAGGUACGUGAAAGCUGACCAGAUCACCCUUGACAAAAUCAAACCAGUCAGGAAGAUAAUUUCCAUUGAAAAAAAUGCCACCAUAUCCGCAAGAAGUCCAUCCCUGUACCAUGUAGAGCCAGAUUUGUAACAACAAUACAUUGUUAUGCAUGCAUGUGUCAUAUAUAUGUGCUUCUGUGUGUGUAGUAGAAAGAGAGAAAACAGGCUAGAAAGAAAGAGAGACCUGUAGGAUGUUGUUCCUAAAAUCAGCAGUGAGAUUGAUGCACCCUUCCAUAUGAAUUCUUGUCAGAGUUUAAUGACUUAUCCAAGCCCGGAAUGUCUGUGAGUUUGCAUGAAUGACUUAGAUACAGCUCUCUCAUACUCAACAAUUCUGAAAAAUCUGGCAUUGUUUCUAGUGCAGUGCACAAACCCGCUCGCAACACUUUCAAAUUUGUUGGUAAAUUUGGGAUUGCAUGUAGGUUUGUGCAAUCAUCUAAACACAAUGUUUCAAGCUUAGAAAGACCACUGAGGCUUGGUAAGCUACAAAAACUAUUUUUUCGAAGAUCUAAGUCUUCUAAAGAAAUUAGACUCCCAAGAUCUUUCGGGAUUUUGUCAUCAGUCAAAGUGCAGCAUCCGAGAUCUAAUUUCCGUAAAUAGUUUAUGCCAUGUAAAGAAGGGGGCAAAAGACUAGUUGAUGGUGACUCUUUCAAAACAUAUUGAGAUGAAAAACUCAGCCUUAGUAUUUGUCUUAUGGGUGUGCCAUCUGCUGUCUUCUGGUAACUCUUUCCCAAGCCUUCAGCCAAGUUUUCAAAUCUUGAACAGCCGUUAAGAAGAAGAGUUUCAAUAGACUUGGAAUUAAAGAAAUUCAAUGGGAGAUCCUUGAGAUUUUUGCAGCCGUCAAGAUUAACCAAAGUAAGUCUUUCAAGAUUCCCAAUGGAUGAGUGAACCUCGGACAAACUCUCACAAUCAUUCAAUAUCACUUCCUCGAGAUUUGGGAGUCUUGAGAAGUCUGGUGUUUGUGCCAGGUUAGGGGAAUGACUGAGAUUAAGAAGCUUCAACUUCUCGAGCAACUGUUAAGACAAAAGGAAAAACUAAAAUAAAUACAAAUGGAAGAGAGAAAGCAUGAAGUUGGUGUUUAUAAAACCUGGAAGAAAGAAUUAACAAUUUGGUUGAGGCCAUAUCAUACCAAAUCGGAAUCCUCCCAAACUCGUAUGAGUUUGCUAUAGCUCAGGUCAAUAGCAACUAGGUUUGGUUGAUCAAAAUCUUUUGGUAUGACCUCCAGAGGAAAUCCAUGCCAACACAACCAUCUUAACUCUUUGGAAAGAUUGUCGUAACUUCCAGUGAGCUUUAUGUUAUUGAGUUUGAGCAAUCUCAGACUCUGCAUGUUUCUAAAUAAUUCUGAACUGAAGCUACACUCGUCAGACUCUUGCAUAUCUAAAGCGAGUCCUUCAACGUCUUCCGUUCCCUAUUACAAAAAAUAGUUAAAAAUUUAAAACAAACAAACAACAACAACAACAACUACAGACGAACUAAGAAAAGGGUUAUAGGCAAGUGAAAAGGUGAUUAAACCAUACAUCAGAACCACAAAGCCUUGAAUUGGAUGGAUGAACCACAUGAGAGGUAGACAAUUAGACAAUAUAGAACAUGGGACGUCUCAUAGGCAACUUUUAUUAUAUAUCUACUAUAAUGUGCUUAUAUGUCUGGAUUAUAACCAUAGAGUUGUACUUUACAUCUGUCUACAUUAAUUAGGUAUCUUUAGCAAGCUUCUGUUACGGGUAUCAUAAUUAACAAAUUGUACUUAACGAGAGCAGGACAUGUGUGAUUCUGUUAUUUAAUUUGAGAUGAUUCAAUACAAAAGGCUCCUUUUUUGUCUCUUACAGGUUCCCUUCUCUGCUACAUUGGUACAUGCAUUUAACAUCAAAUUUAAUUGCAAAAGUACUCACAGAUUGCUUCGUCAAUACGUCUGUUAUAUCUUCAUUAUGCCACAAUCUACUACGUUCUCCAGGAUUGUCAGGCGAUUCUGCACGCACGAUUUCUCUGCCCAUGCCUUGAAUCAAAUCAUGCAUCAUGAGAUUGCCUUCUUUAUCAACAGUUCCUUAUCAACAGUUACAAGGCAUUGAUCUUGGAGUUCUCGAAUCCCUAUUUCUGGAUAAAACUGACAGCCAUCCAGUACUGUCAUGACAUAGUCCUUGUUCAUUCCAGCAAAGAAACAAGAGAUGUCUAGGAAUAUAGCCUUCACGUCAUCAUCAGUUAGCCCAUCAUAGCUUAUUUCAAGUCUUUUGUGAAUUCCCAAUAAGGCUGUGAUCUUUUCCAUUUAUCAAGUACAGUCUCCCAUUCACUUGUGCUUUUUGAACAUAGAUAAGAACCUAAGACUUCAAGUGCAAGUGGCAAACCUCCACAGUAGCCAACAGCCUUUCUUGAGAGCUCAACAUACUCUUCAUGAGGAUAAUUCUUUCUAAAGGCAUGCAAACUAAGUAGCUCAAGAGCUUCUCUUUCAUUCAUUGCUGGCAGAGGACAUAUCUUAUACACAUUAAGUAUCCUUAGCAAAUGUUCGUUUCUUGAAGUUAUAAUGAUUCUGCUCCCUGGACCAAAGGAGUCAGGUUUUAUAGCCAAAGCAUCUAUCUGUUCAACGCUGUCUAAAUCAUCAAUUACGACAAGUACCCUUCUGUUGCCUAACCUUUGUUCUAUCUCCUUGGUCCCUUCAUCGAUACAACUUACCACUUUGUAGGCCGGUUUCAAGAUAUCAGAAAGAAGUUGUUCUUGCAAAUCAACCAGUUUCUUUUCCCUCACCUUUUGAAGGAAACUUGCACCGUCAAAAUUAUGAUGAUGUUUGUUGAAAAUGGCUUUUGCAACCGUUGUCUUACCCAGUCCGCACAUACCCAAAACUCCAAUUGUGCGAAUAUCAUUUGAUCCUUCAACAUUUAAAUGCUUACUAAUUUCCCGCACACGAGAAUCUAUUCCAACUAGGUUGGUGGGUACCUCUAAGCUUGUGGUGAUGCUCUGUUUUCCAGUGAUCUGAGAAAUAACGUUCCUGAUAAAGUUUCCUUCAUGCCUGGUUGUUAAAAUUCAACAAAGCAAGAGUGAAAAUUUAUUAUGCAACUUCAAGAUUACAUCAAUCUUUCAGAAAAUGACGAGUCAAACUCUCCAGAUACCCUUACAAUUUCUUAAACUGAAAUCUUGGAAGUUAAAAUUCAACAAAGCAAAAGUGAAAACUUAUUCGGUUUUCACUUUUUUGAAAACUAAAAUCUUAUGGGAAAUUUUAUUUGAAUCCAUACAACCUCUUUCUACACCCAUCUUACUCUUUACACCCAAAUUAUUUUUAAUUAAAGAAUCAAUCUCUCUUUAAACCCAAAUUUACUAUCUAAACUACCUUUACAAACUCAAUUCAAUAUAAAAAAAUUCAUCUUUACACCCAUUUAGAAAAUAAAUCCUAAAUGAGUGAACGAAGAAUUAAGAUUUUGUCAUGGCAACCAAUUGUUAUAGAUGAAUUGAUCAACAGCAUCAAUUUGUUUUUUAAACUUUUGCGACGUCGGUUUGGAGUGCAAGAUUGUUAGGAAAUGAUCUUCGCCAACCUCUUAAUAUAGUCCAAGUAGCUAGCCUGAAUGUGAUUCGUGGAACUAAGUGAUGAAUUUGCAAUUCAAGAUUACACAGUUCAGUAGUUGCUAGGCAAGCAGAUGAAAUAGUACUUUUGGAAUUUGAAUCAUGUAAAAUUAUGUGGACACCUUAGUGAAAGUAAAUUUCAGUAGAACUUCUCAUCACGUUGUCUUGAAGGAUCAUGGCAGUAAUUUUCAUUUGAGCGAUAUAUGCUUUUACAGGCAUACAUAGUUCAAUUGGAAGCAGAACUGAACAAAUAACGAGAAGAGAACUCACACUUUAGACAUGCACUCGUAAUGACAUGGAAAACAUUUCGUUGUGUUGAAAGCUUUCUGACUUUUUUGUUUCUGGUGAUGAUAUUGUUUGUAAUUAUUGCUCUUGCCAAUCGAGUUAACAUGAAGCUAGAGAGGAAAUGAAAAGCAACCAGAUUUGAUUAUUAGGUGAUCGUAGGGCUUUGUGGCAGCUCUUAGGAAUUUAGUCAGAAUGAAUGUAGGAUAAAGAUUGUGUGAUGGUAGAACUUGAUUAUUGAGUACGGGUUUAUGGAUAGAUUUUAGUUUUAUUCUUAGUUUCAUCUUGUUUUAGAAUUUAAGUUGGAUGUAGUAAGAGGUUAGAUGGGUUCAAAUAAAAUUUCCCAAAUCUUAUUUGUUAACAACUUUCAAUUUUCAGAAAAAUGAGAACUGAAAGCAAAAAAUAAAAACUGAAUGCCAAAUUGUAAAAACUAAAACCAAAACGAAAAACUUCCCCUUUUGUUUUUCAGUUUUUAUUUUUUUAUUUUUAUAUAAACUCAAAACUGAAAGUAAAAAUUAAAAACUAAAACAGAAAAUUAAAAACUAAAUGGUUACCAAACCAACUUUAAAGCUUAUAAGCCUGAUUUAAUCAUUAUAUACAAAGAGAUAAAUAAAAUGGACGGGAAAUUUAAAGCGCACAAAGUAAAGAAAAUAAAAGGGAAAUAAGAAAAAUAAUUACCCGUCAGUCUCCCUAAAAUUUAAUCCGGCCAAAACUCCAGCUUCCCAAAGAGCCUUUCUCCAGAGACAUACCUUGUCUUCGUUAAUUUUCUGUUCGUAUUUCUGAAACGCUUGCGCAAAACUACCACUCUGUUUCCGGACAUCUGAGGGAUCAACAUCAAAGAAAAUUGGAAAAAACAUUUGACCCAGUGUUUCCCUGCACUCCAUGAUCUUCACCAGCUCCUUGAGACACCACAAGGACUCCGGAUACCCUCUUGAGAAGACGACGACGGCAACCUUAGACCUUUCGAUUGCUUGAAUCAGAUGUUCUGGUAUAGCUCCAUUACUUUCUUCUAGUUUGUCAUCGUACUCGUCUCCGUACAUGAAUACGUUGACUCGGUGGUCUUUUAAUGAACAGUAGAGGUGGUCCGUGAAGGUCCUGCGUGUGUCUUCACCUCCAGAACUCAAGUACACGUCGUACUUGCUAUCGUCUUUGGAGGAUGAAGCCAUCAAUUGUUACUCCAGGGAUUUCUUGGCAGCACAGAUCAAAUUUGAGAUCUACAGACAACCGUAAAGAAAAGGGUGAACUGGGAAGAACCGAGUCAAUUGCAAUCGGUCCACCCACCCAUUUUUCUUUUUCAUCCAACGGUAUCAAAAAGCUCAGCAAGGAAGAUAAUGUUUUCUUUUACCAUACGUUUGUUAAAGACAAAAUAACAGCUGUCCUUCCUAUAGAAAAAUAAAAUAACAUCUGCCACCCAAGGGCCAAGACAAAAGGAAGAAAAGAUGCGACAAUUGUGAACGGGUGCUAAAUCAACCACUUGUCUCAAUCGUUAUUCGGUUUAGUACUUUAUAUUAUGAAUAUUUUGUUGUGUGGAUACAAGUUGCGUUUCGAAUUCUGGCAACAGUAAUAGUCAAGGAAGGCUGACAUGUUCCUAUGUGUGUUCUGGGUUUGUAAAUUAAUAGAAUGUUGUGAAAUCAUCAGCUAAUAAUAAUUUAUUUUUAUAUAUUUUUUUUAAGAAAAAAACUACAUAAGAAAUGCUCCUGUGUUGGGUUUGUGAACCAGCACGUUGGCUUCUUCCCUCCCGUGACACCCCAUUUCCUCGUGUUCCUUCCCUCCCAUAUCUCAAGCUCUCUCUCUCUCUCCCUCACAAUCUCUGCAAAACACCCAUUGUUUAUUCUCCUUUCUCCCCCCGUGACACAUCCCAUUUUCGAGAACACCCUCUUUCUCUUCUUCCCGUGCUCUCUCCCUCACCUCACUUCUCUGCAACUCUCACGUUCAAACACACACACACACUCUCUCUCUCUCUCCCCCCCCCCCCUUAUUCCCCUCCCUCUCGUUCCUAUCAACUCUGCAUGCAUGGCAUGCACUGUGGAACAACCACUUUCUGUUAAAGUCCCACGUUGGUGAUGGGAAGAAAAUCAAAUGGGUUUAAAUAUGUUUACCCCACUCUAACUAAUACCGAGAUCUUUUAUGGUAAAAUCUCAACUAAUACCGAAAUCUUUUAUGGUAAAACCCCACACCUGACAGAUUGGACAUGUGGUAAAGUUGGGGACAAUAUCAGUGUCGUUAGAGUGGGACGGGCCUGGCGAUUCAAAAAUUUCAACAUGGUAUCACAGCCCAUAGUUGCGGGCCCAUGCAAGCCAACGAGCUUGUGUGCAAGCCAAUGAGCUUGUCACCACUAGGAAGGAAACAAGUAUGAGCUCUUAACAUAGAGACGACUGCUGAGUUCCAAUUGAAAAUAAGUGGGCCCAACGUGAGCCGACCUAUGAGUUUCAAUUACUGAUGUGGAUCUCCACGUGUGAACCACUAAAUAAGGUUACAGGUGAGGGUCCCACAUCCCACUACUACAAAAUGGACUUAUUGUGUCACUCGGUGAUGUCGCUUUAAUAUAAUAUAGUGGCAGACAAGACAUUUGCGACACCUACUGAAUAUGACGUCGGAUUUAUUGUCGCUUGUAAGCAUCAUAAAGUUUCUAUGUCGCUUUUAACCAAUGUAAACAUUUAAUGUCGCUUAUAACCGACGUACAUUUUAAUAAUUUUUAAAUAAUGGUGUCGUUUUAAAAAAAAAAGUGUCGCUUUAAAAAAAUGUUGCUUUUAAGCGACAUAAAGUAUUGGUGUCGCUUCUAGUCAACACUGACACACCACGACCUAAAUCAGGGCGUGUUGGCUGUCACGUGAGAGUGACGUAACCAUGUGCACAGUGCGGAAGCAAUAAAGAUAUAAGGAAGAGCGAAUAAAUAAAUAAAUAACCAAAUCGGCUAGAGUACUAGCUAAAAUAAGGUGCACGAGUGAGAUUAAGUGUGAAAUACACUAUCAGAGCAUAAAUAGCCUAAGUGCAGUCAAGCAAGACAAGUACUAAUUAUACAACACCCAAAGGUGAUCCUACAUUUAUGAUGUUCUAUCAGAACCACCGUCGAAAUCCUUGUGAUCCGCCAAAGCACUCCUACCUAAAACCUGGAAGGGCGCAAAACAGAAAGUGUGAGUGGGUAAAAAAGCUUUUCAAAGUCAUUUCAUUUCUCAAAAGUUCUAACCCCCCGCCGUAAAACCGUAUAAUUUCCCAGAAAAAUAAUAAUAGUAGUAACAUGCUAUACCAGAAAUCAUGCUCAGGAUGAAAAUCCAUAGAAGUAUACCAUGCCAAAGUAUCUCAAUGCAAUGCCAUAAGUAAUCCAGAUAAAACAUAUCGAUGCCAGAUAUCACAUCAGCCGAAUCCCUUAAUUCAAUCUGUACAACUGAGUCUAUAGCUCAUAACCAAUCUCAACUGUAUCAAAUCCUGCACACGAGUCGGAACCACCUAAAGUGGUCUGUACGACAAGGCUAGGUGUAAAACAAAUAUGCUCUAGUGCUACGAUCACAUGAAGGCUGUGCGAAUGAUUACGGGUCACCUACGAGUUGGAACCACCUAAAGUGGUCUGUACGACAAGCCUGUGCACCUAACUCGGAAUCACGUGAAAGAUUGUGCCUUAACUCUGGGCGGGAGCACUAACACUGGGGUGCAGGUUUAUGAGCUCUCAAUACAUCACAACAUAUCUCGCAUAACUGAAGUAAUCUCAUAUCUUUAAUUUAUGAACUUACCUGGCACUUACCAGUGCGUCCGCAACACCAAUCAUAAAUAUAUGCAACUAUUAAUGCAUAAGUAAAAUAGGCAGAUACUUUGCAUGGCAUUUUAAAACGUAUAAUCAUUCAAAUUCAUUUUUUGGGAAAAAUACCAAGUAUAUAAGUAUAUACUGAAAACCAAAAGCUCACCCACUGAUAUGUUGAAGAGUCGUAGCCCCCAAGCUUCGAUUGAUGGCACUCAUCCUCAGGAUAUAUCUCACCUAUAUGCGAAAUAACUGAAUAAACGUUAUUUAAAGCACAUAUACCAAACUAGGAAAUAACUUCUCAUACAUUGCUCAAAUGGGGUAUUUGAAUAUACCAUCAUGACCUACUCAACCUCAGGAACAUCCCCAAAAUUUUAGAAAAAUGUUUCAUGACCCCACGCGCCGCCCAAAGCACGGCCAGACAAGCGGCUCAUGCACAAGCACGUGCCUGGCACGCCAAAUGGAUUCCCUAACGGCGUUAGAGAAUAUUCCGUUAAAAAGUAGCAUAUGCCGUUAAAGCUACCUGACGGCGUCAGAAUAUUCGGUCAACUUUGACGGAAUAUUCUUCUCCUUCUUCCUUGGUUCGUCGGAGUCUGGCGCCGGUCACCGCUGCAAUCGCCGAAAACUGGAAAAAUUUAAAAACUUCAUAUCUUCUUCAUUGCUCAUCCAAAAUUCACUAAAUUUAAACCAAAUUGAAGCUUAAGAUGAGAAGAACAUAUUCAUACCACUUUGGGGACCUAAAACCAAUGGAAAAGUGCCUGAAAAACCUUCGAUAUUUCGGCCAAACCUGCAACUCACUAAACAUGGGCUUCCUGACGUCCAAAACACUUCAAAAUUACUCCCCGAGCUUCAUGAAGAUGUUUUAAGGCUCCCUAUAACCUUAAACCUCCUUAAAAACUUCACGCUUACGUUUGCAUGAAAAGUACCCAUGAUCGGGGUUCCUAGGUUCUUGAGUUUACGAAGGAUUCACAUUCAACUAAGGGUAUGGAUGAGUUCCUGAGCUCACCGGGAACACUAAUAUAGUCUCCAAAACCUCGAUCCGUGAAGAAAUUGUUUGGUUUGAGGUUUGUCAGUACGUAUUGUACGGACAAUGGAAGAAACUCGAGAAAGGGAGGAAAUAGAAAGGUCAACGGAAGUUGGGUAUGGGCGUGAGUGUGUGUGUGGGGUCCAGAUUUGGGUUACUAACAACAACUAAACCCACUAACUUUAAGUUCCAAAAACUUAGGAACUAACUAAAUUAGUUUAAAACCCAAACUCAAGCCACAACACCACAUAACGUACUCGACGUCCAAGGGCAAUUUAGUCAUUUCAUGCCAUCGAUAAAAUAAUUCAGGACGGGCUGUCACAGACACUAAUUAUUAUUUUUAAAUAUUUUAAAGUAUGCGUUAGUUUUGAGCGACAUAGCUUUUUUUAUUUAUUAAUAUUUUAGGGGAUACACAAAGACUAUCAAUCUGUCGCUUACAACCGACACCGGGUUUAUGAGGUAGCAUGCAACUAGGCCUAGCAAACGGGUCGUGUCUAUCGUUUUCGUGUAACACCUGUUAUCUUAACGGGUCAUGUCGUGUCUCACCCAUUAUCUUAAUGGGUCUUUAACAGGCGACCCGUUAUGACCUGUUAAGAAAUAUAUAUUUUUUUUCUUAAAUUUGCACAUACCACACAUUGCCACAUAAAAUAUUACUUCAAAAAAUUAUAACACAUUUGUCAUUUAAGUAUUACAUCUACACUCGAAAAUAAAAGCCUAACAAACAAAUAUCCAUACACUACUACUCUAUUACAAAAUGUUAAAUGUGCAAGGAUAUGCAAAAUGAAAGAGUUUUUGUUUUCAAGGUUGUGAAAUCUUUCUCAAAAGUUUAAACCUUGCCAAUGGAACUCAAAGCUUGCAUGUUAUUCCUUUUACAAAAUCCUCAAUUUUCAUCGAUCAUCAUGACAUAAGAUUUUGUGGUAUCCAUUUCUAGAAAUAUUUUAAAUUGAUGAUCAAAUUAGUUCGUUGUAUUCAUAUAGGAUCAAGGAGUGUAGCUGUAAAAAAUCAUCAAAAUCGAAGUUAAAAUAACUGCUAAAUCGUGAUUUUUCGUUUAUAACUAUCGGAAAGUUUUGACUCGUUACUUAAUCUCUUAAUGUUUGUUUUUUUGCAAUUUUUGGCUUAUGCGAUCUCAAAGCAUAUAUAAACAAGUUUGACGGUUGGAUCGUUGAAAUUAGUUUCGUAGGAUACGUAUCCCAUCAAAACAAUAGAUUCACUAACACUUAGAGUUUAUUUAUACUUUCAUUAAGUAUAACAUAAGAUUUUGUGGUAUGCAUUAGUGUAAAUAUUUUAAAUUGAAGAUCGAAUUCAUUAUUGUAUUCAUAUAGGAUCAAAGAGUGUAGCUGCAAAAAGUAAUCAAAAUCGGAGUUAAAAUAGCCGCUAAAUCGUGAUUUUUCGUUUCUAACCGUUGAAAUGUUUUGUCUCGUUACUUGAUCUCUGAAUGUUUGUUUUUUGCGAUUUUUGGCAUAUGCAAUCUCGAAGAAUAUAUAAACAAGUUUGACGGUUGGAUCGUUGAAAUUAGUUUCGUAGGAUGCAUAUCCCAUCAAAACGAUAGAUUCACUAACACUUAGAGUUUAUUUAUACUUUCAUUAAGUAUAACAUAAGAUUUUCCACUAGUGUAAAUAUUUUAAAAUGAAGAUCGAAUUCAUCCAUUGUAUUCAUAUAGAGUCAAGGAGUGUAGCUGUAAAAAAUCAUCAAAAUCGGAGUUAAAAUAACCGUUAAAUCGUAAUGUUUCGUUAUAAUCGUCAAAUAGUUUUGUCCUGUUACUUGAUCUCUGAAUGUUGGUUUUUUGAGAUUUUUGGCGUAUACGAUCUUGAAGCAUAUAUAAACAAGUUUGACAGUUGAAUCGUUGAAAUUAGUUUCGUAGGAUGCGUAUCCCAUCAAAACGAUAGAUUCACUAACACUUAGAGUUUAUUUAUACUUUCAUUAAGUAUAACAUAAGAUUUUGUGAUAUCCACUAGUGUAAAUAUUUUAAAUUGAAGAUCGAAUUCAUUCAUUGUAUUCAUAUAGAGUCAAGGAGUGUAGCUGUAAAAAAUUAUUAAAAUCGGAGUUAAAAUAAUCGUUAAAAUAUUCAUACAAGGGUUGGCAUGGAAGAGACUCAUUUUCAUGAAUCAUUACCGUUGCCUACCUAGUUCGCUAGUUAUGACAAUGCCGACGACGACAUAAUAGAUGAUGACAUGGAAUAAAUAUAUUAACUAUUUUAUGUGCUUUAAGUAUUAAUUAGACUAUAUUUUUGUUUUUAAUUACGUAUUUAUUUAAGUUCAAUUUUAUUUAAUAAAAUCUUAAAUUGUUAUAUGAGGUUAAAAAAAAAAAAAACUCGUUUUUUUUUUGUAUGGGGACAUUUAAAAAAAAAAAAAAAAAAACUAUUUUCUUGUCGGUUUUAGGAGACGGCAUUGGUCAGAUAAUUUGAAAUACACUAGGCGGGAACUUUUCCGUUUGAAUUUAAAAUAUACUAAAUUCGAUGUCAUGUGAAUUUAAAGCUUGUCAGUUAUCAUGUCAUUUUAAAUUGACGCCAAAUGUAUUUAAACCGACGCAAGGUGCACUUCAUUAAAGCUUGUCAGACUAUGGUGUCGGUUUUAAUCGACACCAAGGUUAACUAAAGCGACACCAUGUGAAUUUAAAAAAACUAUGUCAGAAAGUGGUUGUUUGAUUUAAUGUACCAAUAAAGUGUGUCAGUGUUGGUGUCGGUUUAAACCGACACCAAGUUUAACUAAACCGACGUCACUUUUGGUCCAAUAAAUGUUGUCAGAAAGUUGGUGGAUUUAAUUCAACAUAAUGCAUGUCAGAAGGGGGUGGCGGUUUCAACCGACACUAAGCCUAACUUAUUGCAACGCCAGUGGAUUUUAAUACGACGUUAGGGACUUAAUGUCGAUUUCAACCGACGCCAACUGAGCAUCCAUAUUUAAACCCCUUUUUCCCCCAUUUCAUCUGUGCUUUCAUUUUUUCCCUAAUUUCAGUCUCUCAUUCUCCUUCCCAAUUUUGUCUAUACUUCCAUUUCAUAUCCGUUUUCACUUUUUAGUUUUUUUACUUUAUCUUCUUGCAGAUUGUUUUGCUAUGGAUCAUUUUGAAGAUGAGCAUGCUGACGAAAUCCAAUUCGAAGAGGAAGAAGUCGAAGGUGGUCCAUUUUUAAUUUAUUAUGGUUAUUAGUUUUAGUUUUUUGUUUUGUAGUCUAACUAGUAUGAUGCCCAAAUUGAAAAUUGUUUUUUGGUCCUUGGUUUUUAAUUCUGUUUUUUUUUUUUUUGUAUUUAUAAGGAACAACUAAACGAGGACGAGGAUCCUCAAUUCCCAACUGGAAGGAACAACCUUGUUCUUUUGAUGCGUCUGGAAAAUGCAUUAGUGAAAAUUCUAAUGCUUUUUCAAAACAUGUAGCGGCGGAGGUUAGAGAUUCCGUUGGUGAGUGAUUGGCGUAAGAUCAAGGAAAAUGGCAGGGAAGCUUUCUGGAAUAGAAUAAAGGUAUAAAUAUUUUUUGUUACUCUAAGAGAGUAUAAUAAGUCAAUGUUUAUAGUAAUAAUUAAUUUGCUUGAUUUUUUUUAUAAGUAUAGGAAACCAGUCGAGGAGCACGAGAACACACCUCUUAAUGUGGAUCCUCAACAGUGAGCACAAGAACACACCUCCUAAUUUAUUUUAUUAUAGCUUGAAAUUUGUUUAAUAAAUUCUUCUUUUUAUUUUCUUCAGGAGAUUUCUGCAAAAAAUAAGCAUAAUAGGCGGUUGAAAACAAUGAACUACACAACUGGUGCAAAAUCUUUUGCAAGAGUUAGGGCAGAACUUGUAAGGGUUGUACAUUUUCAAGAAAUGUAGAUAAUUUAAAUUUAAUAUAUAAUUGGUAGAAAUUUAUUUUUAAUUCGAUGGUUGCUGAAAAUUGUUUUUUUAUUGACUUAUAAUUGUAGUGGAAAAACCAUGGGAAGGAGGCGGAUCCUGUUUCGUUUUUUCAUCACUGUCAUGACAGAUGAGUUUUUGUAUGUUAUGUGAAAUAUAAAUGUAUGUUAUGUGAAAUAUAAAUUUUUGUUAUGAGUUUUGUGGCUUUGAUUUGUGAAUUUGGAUUUGAAACCUAUAAUUCUAACACCACAGGGAUGCAUCUCAAAUAUGGUUUAAGAAUAUCGAAAUACGCAUAAAAUGGUAGCGUCAGCUCACUGGCCACGUGCCGCCGCCAAGGUUCUAAAAAACGCUAAGCGCUAGUUGGGAGAAAAUGUAAUGAAAAGUAAAAAAAAAUGGUGGGGACCAUUUCAAAGAAAACGUUGCAGCUAUAGAUAAAAGAUGGCGGGACCAUCUUAAUUGAAUCGUGCAAAAUCAAGUUAUGGAACAGUUUUCUUCUUCACGGAGCCAACUAUGCAACAAAACAAAAUUGCAAAUUCUGGCGUCUUUAUAUAAGCCUGAUUAGUCUUCACCCAGCUUGGCCUAGCCCUGUCCAGACUUACAUAUCUCCGCCUAGCCACCGGGACACCUGUGAAUUUUGUGGCUUUGAUUUGUGAAUUUGGGUUUGAAACCUAUAAUUCUAACACCACACGGAUGCAUAUCAAAUAUGGUUUCAAAUAUCAAAAUACGCAUACAAUGGUAGCGUCGGCUCACUGGCCACGUGCCACCGCCAAGGUUCUAAAAAAUGCUAGGCACUAGUCGAGAGAAAACGUAAUGAAAGGUUAAAAAAAUGGUGGGGACCAUUUCAAAGAAAACGUCGCAGCUAUAGAUAAAAGAUGGUGGGACCAUCUUAAUUGAAUCGUGCAAAAUCAGGUUAGGGAACAGUCUUCUUCUUCGCUGAGCCAACUUUGCAAAAAAAAAAAAAUUACAGAUUCUGGCAUCUUCAUAUAAGCCUGAUUAGUCUUCACCUAGCUUCGCUUAGCCCUGUCCAGACUUGCAUAUAUUUGCCUAGCUAACGGGACACCUAUGAGUUUUGUGGCUUUGAUUUGUGAAUUUGGGUUUGAAACCAAGAAUUCUAACACCACAUGGAUGUUGCGCUCGAUGAGAGCUUUCCCUAGACACCAGAAUCACCUCGAUCGGAUGUCGACGGAGGAGUUAGAGCCGGGUCAAGGAACAGGGUCGGGUCGGGUCAGGUUGUAUGGAUCUAAAAGGAUCUGAUGCUCCCUCACCUUCCUUUUUUCUCUCCCUUCUUCCUCUGCCCAUUGGUCAUCUUGCCCUCAUUUUCUCUCCCGUAUCCCUCAUUUCCUUUCUCUCUCUUGCUGCCACUUGGUAGUUUCCACCCAUUUUAUUCCAUUUAUUUAAUUUUUUUUUCCAACAAUGAAAACGUCUCUAAUUUCUUCAUUAUAACAUCAUUUCACGAACUGCUUUCGCCUACGCACUUAUAGGAACGAACUCUAUCCAUAUAUGUCAAGAAAUACGAUAAAAUACGUCCUCGUAAAAUUACGUUUAGUCAACGAGGGGCAUUUUCCACUUAUCGAAUUUUUUUUCUACAUUUUCAUGUAUUUUAAAUUUUCUAGGGCUUUAAAAAUACCGAGGCCUUUUGUGGUAAAACUCCACACCUAACGGAUUGGGUAUGUGGUAAAGUUGGGGACAGUAUCUGUGUCGUUAGAGUGGGGUGGGCCUGGCAAUCCAAAAAUUCCAACAUGGUAUCAUAGCCUACGAUUGCGAACCCGUGCAAGCCAACGAGCUUGUGUGCAAGCCAAUGAGCUUGUCACAACUGGGAAAGGAAUGUUAAAGUCCCACAUCGGUGGUGGGAAAGAAAACCAAAGGAGUUUAAAUAUAUUUACCCCACUCUAACUAAUAUCGAGGUCUUUUAUGGUAAAACUCCAAACCUGACGGAUUAGGCAGUAGGUAAAGUUGGGGACAAUAUCGGUGUCGUUAGAAUGUGGCGGGCCCGGCGAUCUAAAAGUUCCAACAUGAUAUCAGAGCCCACAGUUGCGAGCCCAUGCAAGCCAAUGAGCUUGUCACCACUGGGAAAAGAAUAUUAAAGUCCCACAUCGAUGGUGGGAAAGAAAACCAUGGUAUGAAUAAGGGAAAAACCGUGAACUUUAUUCGGUUAUGGUUUUGGAUAUGGUUAUUGUAAGAUCCCACAUCGCCCAAGGGCGAGGAUCCUGUAAGUGUUAUAUGUAUAUUCCCAUCUUUACCUAGCACGAGGCCUUUUGGGAGCUCAUUGGCUUCGGGUUCCAUCGGAACUCCAAAGUUAAGCGAGUUCGUGCGAGAGCAAUCCCAUGAUGGGUGACCCACUGAGAAGUUGUCGUAUGAGUUCCCUGAAACAAAACUGUGAGGGCGUGGUCGGGGCCAUAAGUAGACAAUAUCAUGCUACAGUAGAGUCAAGCCCGGGAUGCGGUGGGGGCCUAGGCCAGGAUGUGACAAUUUGGUAUCAGAGCCAAUCCCUGGACGAAAGUGUGCCAACGAAGAUGUCAGGCCCCUAAAGGGGGUGGAUUUUAAGAUCCCACAUUGCCCAGGGGUGUGGAUCUUGUAAGCCUUAUAUAUAUAUUCUCAUCUCUACCUAGCACGAGGCUUUUUGGGAGCUCACUGACUUCGGGUUCCAUAGAACUCUGAAGUUAAGCGAGUUCGUGCAAGAGCAAUCCCAUGAUGGAUGACCCACUGGAAAGUUCUCGUGUGAGUUCUCAGAAAAAAAUCGUGAGGGUGUGGCCGGGGCCCAAAUCGGACAAUAUUGUGCUACGGCAGAGUCAAGCCUGGAUGUGAUGGGGGCCCGGGUCAGGAAGUGACAAUUAGGUAUCAGAGCCAAUCCAUGGCCGGAAGUGUGUCGACGAGGACGUCGGGCCCUUAAGGAGGGUGAAUUGUAAGAUCCCACAUCGCCCAGGGGUGAGGAUUCUGUAAGCCUUAUAUGUAUUCUCAUCUCUAUCUAGCACGAGGCCUUUUGGGAGCUCAUUGGCUUUGGGUUCCAUCGGAACUCCGAAGUUAAGCGAGUUUGUGCGAGAGCAAUCCUAUGAUGGGUGAUCCACUGGGAAGUUCUCGUGUAAGUUCCCAGAAACAAAACUGUGAAGGCAUGGUCGGGGCCCAAAGCGGACAAUAUUGUGCUACGGUAUAGUCAAGCCUGGGAUGUGGUGGGGGCCUGGGCUGGGAUGUGCAAUUAUAAGGAUCCCCAAUCCAUAUCCGUCCCCGAAUAUAUAUAUAUAUAUAUAUAUUAUAUAUAUAUAUAUAUAUAAUAUAAUAUAAUUUUAUUCAAUUUACCGAACCCUCCCUAUACAAAUUCAUUAUGCAUGCAUUAAACCCUAUACUAUCUUUAUUAUGCACCAAACAUCAUGAUGGGGCAUAUCAACAACCUCAUCAAUUCAAUACUCUUAUUGUUAUACUCAACCAAAUUAAUUUAUUGAAUCAUUUUAUAUAUCAAUUAUCAAAUGUUCCAAGUUUAUUAGAUUCAUCUCAUUUUAUAGUGCGUCAAUCGGAUGAAUAUAAUUUUUUUUUUUUUGACGAAAAUGGAUAUAACCGAUAAUUGAUUGAAAAUCCGUUGCCCGGUGGAUAUGGUUAUGGAUAAUCCCCGAUGGUUAAUUUGUGGUUAUGGAUAUGGUUAAUUUUCGUGGUUAUGGGGAUGGAUAUAGCAUUUCCGUCCCUAAACCAAACCGUUGCCAUCCCUAAUCAUAAUCUCCAAGUAUACAAGAUGGUUCGUACAAGAAAUCUAGGAUGAUAUUUUCCCAUCUUCAUUCGAAUACGAGAAGUGAUUAUAACCACUCGAACGAUUUCUUUAUUCUUUCACUCGUGAUAAAAACAGGUAUCUACUUAAUGACUACGCAAUCUCCUUUUUUCAUCUCAAGUCAAAAGUAGAAAGAUCGAACUUGGAAAUUAGCUAACAAGAUUUCCUGAUGAUCAGUAAAUAAUGUCACAUCAGUACUCGUGAGUUCUACUUAAGGUGGAAUAGGACAUGCUAAAGGGUAUUUAGUCAUUCAUGUGUUUUUCUAUUAAAGUUGUUGAUAACUACAUUUGCACAACCGGUGUAAUACUUGAUGGCGUAAUCGUAGGCAUAUAUUUGUUUCUUCCAUCGCCGCUAUCUAAGAUUUGUUUCUUUCGGGUGAAGAUAUACUUGAGAAAUUUAUGUGGUCAGUAAAGACUUUGACAUGUUUCUCCACGGAGAAGUGUCAUCGGAUUUUCAAGCAAAUAAGGUAAUCAUUGACUCUACGUCAGGAGUAAAAUUGUUCACUUCAUGCAGUUCCAACCAUCGGUAGACAUAAGCAAUACCCAUCAUGGUGCAUUAGCACACAUCCAGAAUAUUCAAUGAAACUUCACUGUAGAUAUAAAAUUAUCAAUGUCAUCGACAAGUGUAAGAACAAUGCUCAGAAAGAGACAACACUUCAGUUGUCAGAAACUUUAUUCACAUUUAACGUCUAAAACUAAACUAACUUUUCUCAAUCAACUUGUGAGGAAAACGCUAUAGCUAAAAAAUCGUUAACAAAGCUUUUAGUAAUCGUAAAAAAUAAGGGUAUUUCGUAUUUCACAACACUUUGUUAGGAUUUCAGUUUUCUUCCGCUACAACCUUUAGGGGAAAUGAAAAGAAUAUCGUCUGCUGAGACCACAUCUUCCAAGAAAGGUACCUAAUCUAAAUAAAGCUACCAUUUGAGGAACUUGGUAUAAAGUUGACUAUCGUUCUUUAGAAAAUUUGAUCUGCUUGUUGGAAUAGGUAAGAAAGUCGUUCGGAACAUAAUGGUCAUUCAAGUCUUGAUCGCAACCUUGGGAUCAUCAACGCUUCUGAUCUUCAACUGGUUGUAACCAGACUUCAGAUCAACUCGAAUAAAAUUCAUUCUUUACUGAGUUGGUCGAAGAGACUAUCAGUUCGACACAUUGUAAACGGUUAUUAAUUGUCACUCAAUUGAACUACCAGAAAUCUACGUACAACCUUAAGGUUCAAUCUUCAUCUUCGCAAAUAGGUUUAUGAUUGCCUAAGAUAAAUGUUGGGUUGGAUAAAUCCCUAAUCAAUAAGCUUUUGUAACUAAGUUAUCUCGAACACGCCCCAACCCAGAUGUUCAAAUGACACCUGAAUGGCACUUGUUGGCCGACACUUAAGAGUGGCGAAAGCCACAAAUAUAAAAAUGUGCAAAGACAUAAGGAAACAUGUAAUCGAGAAGUCACACAAGAAACAACAAUCAUAAAGAAUGUACAAACGCUAAAGCAAUAAUAAUAAUAAAUAAGCGUUAGUCAUAGAUAAGAAGGAUGUCCAACAGUUAACAAACCGAAAGAAAUGACGCACGAUUAUGUUUAGAGCAUACUACUAAAUGAGAGUGCUAGUGAAACGAAAGUCAUUAAGUUACAAAUACACAUAAAGAAAUCGUACGCAGUUCGAAGAACACAAGAUCAUUGGCAGGGAAAUGCCUCGAAACUCGGGUUAUUUUCCUCGUCACUUGGUCCUUAAAGGGGCAAAAAAAAAUAAAAGGUGCGUAGAACAUAGUUUAUAAUAACCAUAAUAAUAAGAAAGCCAUUUUAUUUCUGAACAUACUAACCCCUUGUUUUAAAAAAAAAUUAUAAUACUACGUGUUUAUACCAUACUUAGGGCCUCCGUAUUUAGACCUCGUAUAAAUACUCGGGGGACUCAAGUGUAAUUAUGUAAUAAAUGAAGGGGCAAAUAUGUAAUAAGUGAGGAUCCCUUAGUCUAUAAAAGGGACUUCUCACCUUCACAAUCAGAGGCCCUCAUCCUCACAUACAGAAGCUCUCUUUCCCUCACAACCUUCUCACAAAUAGAGAAAUACAAUAUCAGUGUGGACGUAGCCCAAACAUUGGGGUGAACCACGAUACAUCUUAUGUUCUUUACUUUCUUGCAGAUUCACGGUCGGAUUUACGUUGUUCCAAGACCUCUCUGAUUUUAUGCAUAAACAUUUGGCGUUAUCUGUGGGAAAUGACACAAAAAACUAUGUCGAUUCUCUUUCAUUUUUUCAUCAAAUCUCACAUUAUCGACCGUGAAUCGACAGAAACUCAGAGACUACGAACGCUGCUGCCAUGAGAGGUUAGAGCAACAGCGGAUGAUGAGGGCUGAGGGGAAUUGCCUCGCUCGACAGGGGUGCGCACGAUAAGAAAAACCACCACCGCCACCACCAUAAUGAUGAGAUUAAUCAUCACAAUAACAAGUGCACAGCGUUUUCAGACACGACGCACGAUAGCAAGAAGGGUGGGUCUUCGUCGGGGAGCGGAGAGGCGGCGGCGGGGCCAGAGAUGGUGUGGCCGCCGAAGUUUGUGAUUGCUUUGACUAAUAAGGAGAAAGAAGAGGACUUUAUGGCAAUCAAAGGGUCAAAAUUUCCUCAGAGACUAAAGAAGCGAGCCAAGUUCGUUCAACGCACCCUCAAUACUCUGAAAAUCUAAUCCAAGCUGAAUUCGUACGUCGACCCAAGUUAAAAACUCACAGGUGAUAUGACGAAAGGUUCCUAGCAACCGGUCUCUCAACUGAACGCCCUCACUCGGCCGGAUCGCCACUGCCAGAUUUCUCAAAAACUCGAUUCCAAAUCCUCCGAAUCACAGAUCCAAACCCGUCGCAGAUCUGAAUCUCCUGUACGCUGCAAUGGCUAGACUGAAACUAAUUACAGGUCCAAUUCCUCAAAGCUCCUCCAAUCUCAUCCACCUCACCUGACUCUCCCACCGAGGCUCCCCUUCAUGCGAACGGUGCCGUGUUGAUCUUGGGGUUUCAUGGACGGAGGAAGAGCACAAGCUUUUCUUUCUUGGAUUGCAGAAAGCGGGAAAAUGAGAUGGAAGCAGGAUCUCAAGAAACUUCGUGAAGACUCAUCCCCCUUCACUGCCGUCUUUGCCAGAGAGCUUGGUUUUGUCCAAGAACUUCUUGAAAGAAACCCUCUGCUUGUUUUCGGGGAAGGAGAAUAUGGGGUGACUGAUAUUUUCUAGGUUGCUGCAAGGAGCAAGAAUGUUGAGGUUUUCAGGCUGUUUUUUUACUUUGCGGUUUCGCCAAGGUUCCCUCUAUCUACAAGUGCAAUGGAUGCUUUUUGUUUUUCUCAUUCUUGCUCCUCGUCUCUUUUGACCAAGCAGGCACUUCCUUCAUGCUCUUCAAUCAACUUCGCAGUAGAAGUUGGCACCAUCUCAGUCCUCCACUUGUCCAUGCCCUCCCUCAAGCCUCGAGCUUCUCCUAACUCUAUUAGAAAACACAUUUUAAUUGAGCUCGCCGUCCCAGGAUCCGGAUAGCAUGAACUGACCGUCGGAGGAGAGGACAACAUCCUCGACGAAGUGGGAAUGUUUGGUGAGAAGAGAAUAAACUCUGAAAGAUUGGAAUUUGACUGGGUAGGACCGCAAGUGGGUAGGGGACAAACUGCAAAGAAGGUAUUAAUGAUUAAUUGGGUGCACAUGCAUGACAGCAACGCAGAGACAGAGACAUAGAGAGGUGCGGUGGAAAAGAGAAAGUAAAAGCAAAAGCAGAAAGCAAAAGAAGAUAAAAAGAAGCAGACAUAAUUGCGGUGGUGAUGGCAUGCAGAAAAGGGAAUUAUGGGAAUGACCCAUUGAGCAGAGGGUCGGAUUUAUUUUUGAAUGAUGUAAUUUAUUUUUCUUAUCUUUCGGAGACAUCUGUAUAACCCCAUCAGAGGGUAAUAAAAAAAUAAAUAAAAAACGGCAAGCCCAAAAUAAUGGGCUGGAAUGUUAUGUGGAGGGCGAAAACCCAUAUGCCCAAAAGAGCCAGGCCCUCUAUUAUCACUAACCAAGUGAUCAAAAGUACGUCCAGUACUCCAAAAAAUUAUUCGGCAGCCUACUGCUAUUACCACCAACCAGGUGAUCAAAAGUACGUCCAGUACUACAAAAAAUUAUUCGGCAGCUUGCCGCUAUUACCACCAACCAGGUGAUCAAAAGUACAUCUAGUACUCCAAAAUUAUUCGGCCGCCUGCCGCUAUUAUCACCAACCAGGUGAUCGAAAGUACGCCAAGUACUACAAAAUUAUUCGACAGCCUGCCUCUAUUUUCACUAACCAAGUGAUCAAAAGUACGUCCAGUACUACAAAAAAUUAUUCGGCAACCUGCCGCUAUUAUCACCAACCAGGUGAUCAAAAGUACGCCCAGUACUCCAAAAUUAUUCAGAAGUCUGCCGCUAUUAUCACCAACUAGGUAAUCAAAAGUACGUCCAGUACUCCAAAAUUAUACAUGUGCAUUACUCAUGUCAAUCAUACAUAAACAUUCAUGAGCAUCACUCAUGUCAAUCAUACAUAAACAUUCAUGACCAUCAUUUAUGUCAACAUUCAUGAGCAUCACUCAUGUCAACAUUCAUGAGCAUCACUCAUGUCAACAUCCAUGAGCAUCACUCAUGUCAAUCAACAUAAACAUUCAUGAGCAUCACUCAUGUCAAUCAGCUUCGAAAGCUUCAUUUACAGAGCUCUAGCUUUGAGAGCUCCAGCUUCAAAAAGCUUCAUUUACAAAAGCUCCAGCUUCAAAGCUUCACUUGCAAAGCUUCACUUGCAAAGCUUCACCUACAAAGCUUUAGUGCAUGGUAUACAAAUACCGCAUCCGAACAACCGCCACUUCGGCCCAUACAUGGAUUGAAUUUCAAGUCUCCAGCCAACAACCUCUAUUAACUGAAGACUUGGGGGACUACACUAUGUACCAUAUAUUGAGCUUCCACAACUGAGCCUCAUGAAAAAUACUUGGGGGACUCUAGCCCAUUAUUUAUGUACUGAGGAGUGAACCCUUAUUCUAUAAAAGGGACUCCCUCACUUUCAUUAGAGAGCACUGAUGCGAAUAAUAUAAGCACACUCAAAUUAAACCCUCUUUUUGACAAUUGUAGCAAAGUAUGUAAGUAGGGAUCGUUCUAAACCGGGGAUUAGGAGGGCUUGCUAAAACCUCUAAACUGACUCAAAAACAAAAAGAAACAAAGUUAAAAAUGUAAACAAAAGAUUUUAAAACAAGAAAGUAAAAGGGGGAUUUGAGUUUGGUGAAGUUGAAAGUAAAAACGAAUGAACUAAAAACUUAAAUAGAUUUUAAACAAAUUUGGGUUGAAUGGAUAAUGGAAGGCUAGCUAAGGGGUUCUUCUCCACACAUGUCUUGCUUGCAUACAAAAUGAUUUCCAAUUGCUCUUCUAUAAGUUAUGAAUACUCAACGCCCCAAAUUAACCGUGAAUUGCACUAAUUAACUCUCAGUUUUUCAACAAGUUAUUAGAUUGGAUGAUUGCAUACGACAACCCAAAACAUUCCCUACAAGUUCCCUACAUGAAUUGCAUAAUAGAGAUACAAGCAAGAAUCAUUAAGUUCUAUGAAAAACAUAAGUAUUGACGAGGCACUCGUUACUAUGAUUUGCAUGAAACUUAUGCCAAGAAUUUACUUAACGUGAUUGUGACUAGCAACCUUCACUACUUGUGAAUAUAAGUUCAUAACGAUUAGGUGAAACUCCCUUAUAUUCUAGCGUCAAAUUCAUGCAUGAAAAUUAAGCGUGCACUCUCAACCAACAUACACAAAUUAGUUUUUAUACGAACGGAUAAGUAAAUUGAAUUCACAAUUCAAGAAACGCAAUUGGAAGUAAUCAAAUCAUAUAGCAAGCAUUAACAUGGUUUUGAAUCCCCCCCUAGCCAAGGGGGGUUUAGUUCCUCAUUAUUACAAAACAAAGAUAAACAAAUUUAACCAUUGAAAAACAAAGGGAAGAAAGCACCUAAACGUUCCAACGAUCCAUGUUGGAUAGCAAGCGCGUCCAAGGACUUUUCUCCUUCUCCUUGCCGCCACAACAAGGUUGGAAUGAUGUUGAAGGGUUGGUUAUUUGGAGGAAUGGAUGGGAAGGGGUUUAGAUAUGUAGGAGAGGCAAGGAAAGGCUUGGAGAAUGGUUAAUUUUUGGAUGAAUUGAAUGAGGUUGUUGCCAUGGUAUUUAUAGGAAAAGGAUGGACUUGUUUAACACAAAAUUAUGGUGGAAUUGAGUAGGUGAGCAAGGCAAAGAGUGGGAAUUGUUGGUGGGUUAGGUAUUGAGUCAUCCAUUCACAUGUCAUGGUGAGCUAAGCAUUGCAUCAUCACUCAUAUUUCUGGUUGCUUUGAAGUAAAAGCCACGGCAUUGAGGUUUUUGAGUGAAGUUUUGGCCAAUCCUUCUAGAAACCUAUCCCUUCUUGCAAUUUGUAUUUGUUUCACCACAUUUUUAGCAUGUUCCUAGCCUCAUUUGACUUCAAAUUCGUCCAUCCUCAUGUCUCCAUGUUUGCACCAUCCAAUCAUGGCCCAAAAAUGCUCCAAAAUGCAUCUUCUUGCAUCCUUGGCCCAUAGAACCUACAAACACCCAAAAAUGGCUUAAACUACUAACAUAACUAAGACUAAGAACAUAAAUGCACGAAAACAAACAUACUAAGUCGCAUAAAUAUGCUCCUAUCAAAUUCCCCCACACUUAGCUUUUGCUAGUCCUCGAGCAAAACAAAGAAACAAAACAUAAGAACAAAACACCUGAACCUUCCAAUAUUUACCUUAGGGAUUUUUAAUGCAACAUGACAUGCAAAAGAUCAUCAUAACCACAUAUUUUGGCCUUCCCCACCCUUGAGCACAUACUUAAUUAUAGUCACCACAUACUAGUUCACAUAUAACCAAUUAAAACUAUGUUUUGAAUGUAGUAACAUGCCUUAGAGAAUCUGCUCAAUUCCUUACAAGAUACACUCUUAUUUUCACUCCGAUUUUCUGACUACACACCCUACACUAGGUGUAUGUGAGAAGAUUGAUGUAAACAUGAAAACGAACACUCACAUAAGUUUAUAGCAAAGAAAGCAAUUUAUGGAGUUAUUAAGCAUGUAUAGAUAUGAUCUCAUGACUGGAAUGCUACUACUUAGAUGCGAGAACCAUGGACACCAUAUGCUCGUACCAAUCCCAAACUCCACAUAUUGAAACACAUAACACUCAAGAUUGAAGUUAAGGGUUGUAACGGGGUUAGGGGUGAUUGGCUAACAAUGAAAGGUAAGGAAACAAACGUUUUUAAAGCAUAAUAAGCAAAGUAAUGAAAUUGAUGCUUAGAAUUCCCUUUGAAUGCAACAACUAACUUUAAACACAAUGGGGUUAUUCAUUCAACUUUUUAGGGCUGAUUUCAACUUUUUGGACCCUUUCUACAACAAACAACACUUGUGAGCCUUUCCUCACUUAUUUCAAACUCUUUUUCUUUUCUUUUCAACACUUUUUCUAUUCUUUUUUUUUCUUUUUUAACCAGUGCCUUAUUACUUUCUUUUGGCACACUAAACACAAAAAUCUCAUUCCCCCACACUUGUUUUCUGCAUAAGGACAAUCAAAAGGAAUUCAUUUUAAGUCAUGCUUCAUUAUGCUUUAAAAACAAGGGUAUGGAUAGUCCUAAUCUAGGCUAGGUAAGGGAAAUGUGGUUUAACAAAGAAAACAGGCUAAACAAGGCUCAACGGGGUUAAACUUAAACAAAUAUGCACGGGAUAAGCUUUUUGGCUCUAGUUCACUACACAACUUCAUCUUGAAUAUGUGUUAUGCAAAUCAAUGUCAUGCUUUGAAUGGAACGGGCAUAAGUUCUAGUAUUUGGAACUUAAAUGAUGAAACGCCUUCUAAGUAGCAACCAAGCAAAGAAUGAUGAGAUCAUGCAACGACUUUAGAAAACAAAAAAUGCACAGAUUAAUAACUCUCCAAAGAACGUAUUAGGCUCAAGUCUCUCAAGGUUGUAGUGUUAGUUUGAGUUCCUUCCUUCAAGCAUGUUACAAAAACUGAUUUUUUUUUUUUUUUUUUGUGAUUACAUGUGAAUUCGUAAACUAUAACUAUAACCAAGCAUAAAUCAAGAGCAUAUCAAACUUCCAUCCAUGUUUAUAACUUUCUUUAACAGUCAUGCAAUUAAAAACCGAAUCCUCAUCAUUGUGUUGGAAAGUACCCUAAGACACAAACAAACACACAAAAACAACUCUUUUUGGGUUUUUUUUUUUUAAACAAUUUUUCAAAUUUUUAUGGGAUUUUCGGACUUUUGACUUAAAACACACUAAAACAUACCAAAACAGCUUAAAAAGGCUUAAAAACAGUGAAAAACAACAUUAGAAAUUAUGAGUGAGAAAACCCUACAAAUUUGCAUCAAACACUUUGGUUAUCCCCCCCAUACUUAAAUCAAACAUUGUCCUCAAUGUUUCAAGCAUAGACUAACACAAAUAACAAACAAACAAACAAAACAGCAACUAAGCAAUUUUAACAUGGCAUAAACGAAAACAACAACAAAGAGAAGGGUUUAGGAACGCAAAUCUGGAAUUUGGAGUGCUCUCUAGGUCUUCCUUUGUUGCAUGCAUGGGUUGCCUCCCAAGUAGCGCUUGCUUUAACGUCGUACAGCCGGACGAAGAACCCAUUCACUCCUCAAUGGAGUCCACGGCAUGCAAGGGAAUGUCAUCCACGGUAUGCUCCUCAAAGUUCUCGUAGUAUGGCUUCAAACGAUGCCCGUUUACCUUGAAUUCAUGUCCUGUUUUCAAGCUUUGGAUUUGGACUGCACCAUGAAUAAAAACAUUAGUAAUAACAAAAGGUCCAAUCCACUUGGAACAUAACUUACCAGGAAACAAACGUAAACGGGAAUUGAACAAUAGCACUUUCUGCCCAAUUGCGAAUGUUUUGCCUCUAAUCAUCUUAUCAUGGAACGCCUUGGUCUUUUCCUUGUAAAUGCUUGCGUUCUCGUAUGCCUCGUGCCGUAUCUCAUCAAGCUCAUUCAAUUGGAACUUCCGGUGACUUCCUGCUUCAUCGAGGUUCAUGUUAAACUUCUUGACGGCCCAAUGAGCUUUGUGCUCCAACUCAACGGGGAGAUGGCACGGUUUGCCAUAGACAAGCCGAAAGGGGGACAUUCCAAUGGGUGUCUUGUACGCCAUACGAUACGCCCAAAGUGCAUCAUCUAACCGUAAACUCCAAUCCUUCCUUGUUGGCCCAACGGUCUUCUCUAGGAUUUGCUUGAUCUCACGGUUGGAAACCUCGGCUUGGCCAUUAGUUUGAGGAUGAUAAGGCGUAGAAACCUUAUGAUUGACAUUGUAUUUCCUUAAUAACGCCUCAAUGGUCCGGUUGCAAAAGUGUGACCCUCCAUCACUAAUGAUCACUCGUGACAUGCCAAACCUUGCAAAAAUGUUAGUUCUAAUAAAAUCUGCAACCACUUUAGAAUCAUUAGUCCGGGUGGCCUUUGCUUCCACCCACUUUGACACAUAAUCAACCGCAAGCAAAAUAUAUAUAAAACCAUACGAAGAAGGAAAGGGACCCAUGAAAUCAAUACCCCAAACAUCGAAAAUUUCAACAUUUAGGAUAGAAACCUGCGGCAUUUGGUCCCUAGCACCAAUGUUACCCAUUCGUUGGCAUUUAUCACAUGUUAAGCAAAAAGUUCUAGCAUCCUUAAAAAUACUAGGCCAAUAAAAUCCACAUUGUAAUACCUUAAGGGCAGUUCUUUGUGUGCCAAAGUGCCCACCACAUGCAUAUGUGUGACAAAAACUUAAAAUUGAACGAAAUUCAGAAUCAAGCACACAACGACGAACAAUUUGAUCCGGGCAAAAUUUCCACAAAUAUGGGUCAUCCCACACAUAAAACCGUGCAUCAUGCCUAAGUUUCACGUUGGUGCCUAGUGUAAGUGCUUGGAAUUCUUUUUGUCACCAAAAAGUUCACCAAAUCAGCAUACCAAGGUUCACUAACCUUUAUGGACAUCAAUUGUUCAUCGGGGAAUGUCUCCAAAAUCGGCAAAGCCUCCUCAUUAUGCACCAUUCGGCUCAAGUGGUCAGCCACUACGUUCUCACUUCCCUUCUUGUCACGAAUCUCUAUGUCGAACUCUUGAAGUAGCAACAUCCACCGAAUUAGCCGUGGCUUGGCCUCCUUUUUGGUGAGCAAGUACUUCAAUGCUGCAUGGUCAGUGAAAACAAUUAUUUUAGUACCAAUUAGAUAUGAUCUAAACUUAUCUAAAGCAAAAACAACGGCAAGAAGUUCUUUUUCUGUAGUGGAAUAGUUCAAUUGUGCAUCAUUCAACGUCCGUGAGGCAUAGUAGAUGACGUGUGGCUUUUUGUCCUUCCUUUGUCCCAAAACAGCCCCUAAAGCGUAGUCGGAUGCAUCGCACAUAAGCUCGAAAGGUAGGCUCCAAUCUGGUGGAACAAUGAUGGGUGCCGUGGUUAACAACUCCUUGAGUUGAUUGAAUGAUGCCGUGCACUCCUUGGUGAAUUCAAACGCCACUUCUUUUUGUAGGAGACGGCAAAGAGGUUGUGCUAUCUUCGAAAAAUCUUUGAUAAACCUACGAUAAAAUCCUGCAUGACCAAGAAACGAACGAACCUCCCUAACCGAAGUCGGAGAGGGUAAGUGACGUACUAGAUCUAUUUUGGAUUUAUCCACCUCAAUGCCGUUUUCAGAGAUAAUAUGCCCUAAAAACUAUGCCUUGUUUUACCAUAAAGUGACACUUUUCCCAAUUUAAAACGAGGUUAGUUUCCAUGCAUCGUUUUAAGAUUAAUGUGAGAUUCUCCAAGCAACCAUCAAACGAAUCGCCAAAGACACUAAAAUCAUCCAUAAAUACCUCAAUAAUUUUCUCAAUAAAAUCUGAAAAAAUACUUACCAUGCAUCGUUGGAACGUGGCCGGUGCAUUGCAUAAACCGAAUGGCAUGCGGCGGUAAGCAAAAGUACCAAAUGGGCACGUGAAGGUGGUUUUUUCUUGGUCUUCCGGAGCUAUGACAAUUUGAUUAUAUCCCGAAUAACCGUCAAGAAAACAAUAAAAAGAAUGACCGGCUAACCUUUCUAGCAUUUGAUCGAUGAAUGGUAGUGGAAAGUGGUCCUUCCUUGUGGUGUUGUUGAGCUUCCUAUAAUCAAUGCAUACUCUCCAACCUGUUUGAAUACGGGUUGGUACAAGCUCGUCCUCGGCAUUCUUCACCACAGUGACUCCGGACUUCUUUGGGACAACUUGAACCGGUGAGACCCAACGGCUAUCCGAAAUUGGAUAAAUCACCCCACAAUCAAGAAGCUUUAUAAUCUCCUUUUUCACGACUUCCAUCAUUGGAGGGUUGAGUCGGCGUUGAGCCUCUCGAGUUGGUUUAGCCCCCUCCUCUAGAAAGAUGCGAUGCAUGCACGUUGUAGGGCUAAUUCCCUUAAUAUCGGCCAAUGUCCAUCCGAUGGCUGUUUUGUGCUCUUUCAACACCCGAAUCAACUUUUCUUCCUCUAAUGCCGUGAGUGAUGAAGAGACAAUGAUGGGCAACGUCUCUUCCUCUCCCAAGAAUGCAUACUUUUAAAUGAUCCGGCAACGGUUUAAGCUCAAGAACGGGGGCCUGAAUCACAGAAGGUAACAACGUAUUAGUGGAAACGGGAAUUGGAAUUGGGUUAGACGGCUUACCAUGAUGUUUUGGCAAUGAUUCCAAGGCAGCCACAAGCUCGGCAUGUUCAUCAUUUGGUACGGCCAUGUUGGGUUUUGUGCCAAAUCCUUGUGCAAUUGUCGUUUCGAGUGGAUCGUCUUCCAACAUAUCAAGAUAAUCCUGCGCCAAUUCAUCCAAUAUAUCAAUAGAAAAACAAGAAUGAUCAUCUUUAGGAAAUUUCAUAGCUUCAGAAAUGUUAAAGUUAAUAAUCUCCCCAUCAAAUUCCAUUGUCAACGUCCCUUUGAACACAUCGAUCUUGGUGCGUGCUGUUUUCAUGAAUGGCCUCCCAAGUAGAAUCGGCAAUGGGGUGACAUUUGGUGAUUCCUCCAUCUCUAAAACGUAGAAAUCCGCUGGAAAUAUCAAGUUAUCCACCUGCACCAAUACAUCCUCCAAAACUCCUUUCGGAUAUGCAUUAGAACGAUCGGCUAAUUGAAUUAUAACACCAUCGUUUUUAAGUUCUCCUAAGUUCAUUGAUGCAUAAAUUGAGUAUGGCAUGACGUUAAUUGAGGCUCCUAGAUCUAACAUAGCAUGUUCAAACUUGGUAUUGCCUAUAACACAUGGAAUUGUAAAACUUCCCGGAUCUUUGCAUUUAGGAGGUAAUUUUCUUUGCAAAACAGCAGAAACAUUCUCACUUACCUGGACAACCUCUUUGUUUGAAAUUCUCUUUUUUGUUGUACAUAGUUCCUUUAAAAACUUGGCGUACCUAGGUACUUGCUUAAUUGCGUCAAGGAAAGGUAUAUUGACUUGCACUUUCCGGAACGUCUCUAGAAUGUCCUUUUCAGCUUCUUCUUUCUUUGUUUGCUUGAACCUACUAGGAAAGGGGACAUUCAAAGGAAAAUCAUUAGUAGGAAUGGAAUUGGACACGGUUGUACCUUUAUUUGGCAGAUUGGAUGGCUUAGGAGCCAUGGAGACUUGCGGCAAAGGAACCUCUUUCCUUACCGUGGCCAACCCUUGUUCCUCCUCUUCAAGUAUCACUUCCUCCACCUUGUUUAGGGCUGUUCCAACUUGUUUCCCGCUUCUUAACAUGAUUGCCUUGGCAGAUUCAAAGCCUCCUUUUGGAUUUGCAAUGGUUGAGCUAGGCAACUUGCCUUGCUCUCGAAACUGCCCCAUGAACUCGGCAAUUUGCCCUACUUGUUCUCCAACUCGUCCACCUUUUUGUCCCUAUUUUGCAUUCCCUGUGCCAUAGAAGUUAGUAAAUUAAAAAUUUGAUCAUUAUCAAUAGACGAACCUGAUUUUUGGGCAGGUUGUGCUUGGGGUUGAGUUGGUGCAAACGGCUUUUGAUAGAAACCCGGGGGUUGUUGCCUCAAUCCGCUUUGUUGUUGGCCUUGUUGGGGUUCUCGCCAUUUGAAAUUUGGAUGAUCACGCCAACCGGGAUUGUAAGUAUUGGAAAAGGGGUCAUUCCUUGGUUGGUAUUGGUUGCCAAAUCCCACGGCAUUGAGGGUCUCCCACCCUCCAUUUUCUAUCAACUGUGGGCACUUGUCCGUAAGGUGGCCUUGCAUGGAACACACGCCACAAAGCUGCCACGUUUUGCACUUUUGGACCUUCCACUACCUGAGAAAGCAAAGUAGUAAGGUUAGCCAUUUGAUUUUGAAGUUCGGUUAUGGCACUUACCUCAUUGACUUGAUGUGGUCGUGGGUUACUCCUUUGUCCAACGCCUUCGUAUUGUUGAGCAUUCAAUGCACGGUUGGAAAUUAAAGUCUUUGCUGCCGUGGGGGUCUUGUCCACCAAGGCUCCUCCCGCCGAGGCAUCUAGCAUUUGACGUUCGAUAGGUAGUAGCCCCUCGUAGAAGUAUUGCAAAAGAAGUUCCUCCUUCAUCUGAUGCUGUGGACAAGAAGCAACAAGAGAUUUAAAACGUUCAUAAUAAGUAGGAAAAGAUUCACCUUCCUCUUGUUGAAUUCCACUUAUCCUUUUCCGUAGGAGGAUGACUCGAGAAGUUGGGAAAAACUUCUCUAAGAAGGCCCGUUUCAUGCUUUCCCAUGAUGUGACGGUUCCGGGCGCCAAUUCGUACAACCAAUCCUUCGCCUUUUCCAAGAGAGAAAAAGGGAAGGCUUUCAUCUUCAAAAUACUCCCAUCGACAUUGACGGGGGUCAUGCUCGAACAUACUACCUCGAAUUCUUUCAAGUGUUUGUUAGGAUCUUCCAUGGACAACCCAUGGUACUUCGGAAUGUGGUGUAACAAGCUUGACUUCAAUUCAAAUUCUUCUGUCUUUCCUCGGGCUGCUGCGGGGUAUUGGAUACAUAGAGGCGCGGCAUUGUCCAAUCCCGAGGCUGAAAGUUCUUUGAUUGUUCGAUUGUCCACCUCCAUGUCUUUUUCUGCCUCCUCCUUUUCUUCAAAUUCGGAUUCAGAACUAGAACUAAGUGGAUUAGGUUCUGGUUCUUUCCUUUUCCUUCUCAAAGUUCGUUCAAAAUUGUCGUCAAACUUCGAUAUGUGUGCACGAACUGGUUGAGAACUACGAGUCAUAAACUAGUACCUUAAAUAAACAAAAUCAAAUAAAAUUAAAACUAAAAUUAAAACACACAAAAAAGAAAUAAAAAGAAACAAUGGGGAUUUAGCAAAGUUGCUAAUCCCCGGCAACGGCGCCAAAAUUUGAUGCGAAUAAUAUAAGCACACUCAAAUUAAACCCUCUUUUUGACAAUUGUAGCAAAGUAUGUAAGUAGGGAUCGUUCUAAACCGGGGAUUAGGAGGGCUUGCUAAAACCUCUAAACUGACUCAAAAACAAAAAGAAACAAAGUUAAAAAUGUAAACAAAAGAUUUUAAAACAAGAAAGUAAAAGGGGGAUUUGAGUUUGGUGAAGUUGAAAGUAAAAACGAAUGAACUAAAAACUUAAAUAGAUUUUAAACAAAUUUGGGUUGAAUGGAUAAUGGAAGGCUAGCUAAGGGGUUCUUCUCCACACAUGUCUUGCUUGCAUACAAAAUGAUUUUCCAAUUGCUCUUCUAUAAGUUAUGAAUACUCAACGCCCCAAAUUAACCGUGAAUUGCACUAAUUAACUCUCAGUUUUUUCAACAAGUUAUUAGAUUGGAUGAUUGCAUACGACAACCCAAAACAUUCCCUACAAGUUCCCUACAUGAAUUGCAUAAUAGAGAUACAAGCAAGAAUCAUUAAGUUCUAUGAAAAACAUAAGUAUUGACGAGGCACUCGUUACUAUGAUUUGCAUGAAACUUAUGCCAAGAAUUUACUUAACGUGAUUGUGACUAGCAACCUUCACUACUUGUGAAUAUAAGUUCAUAACGAUUAGGUGAAACUCCCUUAUAUUCUAGCGUCAAAUUCAUGCAUGAAAAUUAAGCGUGCACUCUCAACCAACAUACACAAAUUAGUUUUUAUACGAACGGAUAAGUAAAUUGAAUUCACAAUUCAAGAAACGCAAUUGGAAGUAAUCAAAUCAUAUAGCAAGCAUUAACAUGGUUUUGAAUCCCCCCCUAGCCAAGGGGGGUUUAGUUCCUCAUUAUUACAAAACAAAGAUAAACAAAUUUAACCAUUGAAAAAACAAAGGGAAGAAAGCACCUAAACGUUCCAACGAUCCAUGUUGGAUAGCAAGCGCGUCCAAGGACUUUUCUCCUUCUCCUUGCCGCCACAACAAGGUUGGAAUGAUGUUGAAGGGUUGGUUAUUUGGAGGAAUGGAUGGGAAGGGGUUUAGAUAUGUAGGAGAGGCAAGGAAAGGCUUGGAGAAUGGUUAAUUUUUGGAUGAAUUGAAUGAGGUUGUUGCCAUGGUAUUUAUAGGAAAAGGAUGGACUUGUUUAACACAAAAUUAUGGUGGAAUUGAGUAGGUGAGCAAGGCAAAGAGUGGGAAUUGUUGGUGGGUUAGGUAUUGAGUCAUCCAUUCACAUGUCAUGGUGAGCUAAGCAUUGCAUCAUCACUCAUAUUUCUGGUUGCUUUGAAGUAAAAGCCACGGCAUUGAGGUUUUUGAGUGAAGUUUUGGCCAAUCCUUCUAGAAACCUAUCCCUUCUUGCAAUUUGUAUUUGUUUCACCACAUUUUUAGCAUGUUCCUAGCCUCAUUUGACUUCAAAUUCGUCCAUCCUCAUGUCUCCAUGUUUGCACCAUCCAAUCAUGGCCCAAAAAUGCUCCAAAAUGCAUCUUCUUGCAUCCUUGGCCCAUAGAACCUACAAACACCCAAAAAUGGCUUAAACUACUAACAUAACUAAGAACUAAGAACAUAAAUGCACGAAAACAAACAUACUAAGUCGCAUAAAUAUGCUCCUAUCAAGCACCUAUUAUUUAUGUACUGAGGAGCGAACCCUUAUUCUAUGAAAGAGACUCCCUCACUUUCAUUAGAGAGCACCCACUAUUUAUGUACUGAGGAGCGAACCCUUAUUCUAUAAAAGGGACUUUCUCACUUUCAUUAGAGAGCACCCAUCAUUCAUGUACUGAGGAGCGAACCCUUAUUUUAUAAAAGAGACUCCCUCACCAUCAUUAAAGAGCAUGGGCGCCUGCUAAGCAACCGUCUCACCACGAGCAUCACUCCUAAUCCAUCACUUAUGUAUUGAGGAGCGAUCAUUUAUUCUAUAAAAAGGGACUCCCUCACUAUCAUUAAAGAGCAUCGCCGCCUACUGAGCAACCGCCUCGCCGUGAGCAUCAACUCUAGCCCAUCAUUUAUGUAUGGAUGAGCUAGCCCUUAUUCUAUAAAAGAGACUCCCUCACCUUUAACGCCACAAGCCGAGCCAACCAAGGCAACAUAAGCCACAAGCCGAGCAGCCUCGCAACAUGUGCUACUUCUAGUUGAGCUUCAUUUCACAUUGAGCACCGCCUCAUAUCGAGUAUCAGUUCUGGAUGACAUCUAGUUACUUCGGCCCACACAUGGACUGAAUUUCAAGUCUCCAGCCAAAAGACUCUCUUGACUGAAGACUUGGGGGACUACUAUUUAUACCAUACUUAGGGCCUCUGUAUUUAGACCUCGUAUAAAUACUCAGGGGACUCAAGUGUAAUUAUGUAAUAAAUGAUGGGGCAAAUAUGUAAUAAGUGAGGAGCCCUUAGUCUAUAAAAGGGACUCCUCACCCUCACAAUCAGAGGCCCUCAUCCUUACAUACAGAAGCUCUCUUUCCCUCACAACCCUCUCACAAACAGAGAAAUACAAUAUCAGUGUGGACGUAGCCCAAACAUUGGGGGUGAACCACGAUACAUCUUGUGUUCUUUACUUUCUUGCAGAUUCACGGUCGGAUUUACGUUGUUCCAAGACCCCUCCGGUUUUGUGCAUCAACACUACGUAAUAGGUUUGUCGAAACUCUACAUGUUAUAAAAAGCAUUUGUACGAUAAAAUCAUAAUUGAAGUGAUAUCAAAUUCACCUAAAGGUAAAAUCCGUAAAAGCUCAUAAGUCAAAAACACUAAUGUACUCAAUAGGGGCAUCAUAUUCGCCUGAAGGCAUAUCCAUCACCCAAGGGUGAAGCUGUAUGACACCGGGUUACGCCAGUGAAGAAACAUGGUAGAUCUAUACCCAUCUGAGGCCGUGUCAUGGUCGGAGUUGGCCCAAAAAAUUACAUGAAGAUGGCCUGACGGCCAUGGUUCUACUUUUUCAGAAAACUAGGAAAUCUUCCUCGAGGUUUUUCUGCACUUAAACACCACCAAAACAUGCAUUCAAAAUUAAAAAUCAUCACUAAAGGUAGAUUGAGGGAAAAACAAUGCUUACCCUAGAUCAGGCAGCCGAGAAAUCUCAUUGGAGUUCAAUGAAGAAGACAGUGAACAGUGGCAUAAGCCACUGAGCAAUGCCAAGCCUUGGUUCAAUAAUGUUAUUUCUCGGUUAGUGGUUCGUGACUGGUCUGUGUUUGUAGUGGAGGUGCUCGUCGGAGUAGUGAAGGUGAUGAUAGUGUUGUUUCUCUGCACUUGUAGAGAAAUGAGGACGAGAAGGAGCUGAGAGAAAGAGAGAGUGUAAAGGGUAGAGAGUAAGGAGAGUUUUUGUGAGUGAGAAGUGAGGGAAAAAGAGAGUGACAGUAUGAGAGGGAGACAUGGAGAGGGGACACGGGAGAUAGGGGAAAGAAUGGGGCAUGGGCCCCACUUGGCACAUAGCUCAAUCCACAAAAAGAAGAAACAAAAAAUAUCUCAUGUAAAUGUGAAAUUACCAAUGCUCUUCACAUUAAAAAAUUCGUAAAAUCUUCGUCGUAACUUCUAAUUCAGUUCUGCUUGUGCCCACGCGUUCGUAUCAUCAAGUACUCUAAAAAUAUAUGUGUAUCAUUGGUUAUGCCUAGAUAAGUAUUAAUUAGGCACAAAGCCAAAUUAAUAUAAUACUAAUGUAGACGGGCCUACUUGCCCACUUGAUUAAUGAACCCAAUGAAUAAGCUAUUGAAAUUACAGUUUGUAUCUAGCAAUACCGAUAACUCACUGUUGUCUCAAUAAACAAGUAAUAAAUUCCUAAGAGUACAAAAUUACCAUUUUGCCCCUUAUUGGGAAACGUGCCUAAAUAGUCCAAUAUAUACCUCGUUUGCGCUCAUGUGUUUGUAAGGACACGUACUACCUGAAAUAUGGGCAAGGUGAUAUAGAGUGUUAAGGACUCAAACGUCCACGUAGGAUUUCCACCUAUCAGGGGCAUAUUCAUAAUUUUACCAAGGUUAGGGAGUAAAAUAAUAUUAAACUCGGGAUGGGACGUCACAUGGAAUGCCUCUAUAAGUCUUCUCAGCCCAUAGAAGGGAGGAAUGCUGUGGCAAGCCACCAGCUGGUCUUAAAAAAAAUUAAAAAAAAAAAAGAAAAAAACUGGAUAAGCAAUUCUCGUCCCUCUUACCAGAUACCUUAAUGUGUUACUUAUGUAAUUGCUUUAACAUGAAUGGUGUUGAAUCAUAAUCUUUGUCAUGCAGUUACGUAUAUAUAUAAUCUAUUAUGAAGAUUAUAUUAUAUGAAAUUAUAGAGCCAAGCGUAUUAUAACAUUUUGUACAGAAAUAAAAAUCAUGAUUGUUGGAAUCAAAUAUGCGCACAUUCACGGACAUAGGUUAAAUCUAGUUGGAAUUGCCCAUUAUCUCUAACAAGGAAAGAAUAUGGUUGAUUGGAGGGUGUGGUUAAAUCCGAAUUGGACUACCUACAUAUCUCCGGGAGGAACAAAAUGUUUUUUUUUUUUAACCAAGUGUUUGUUUAAGACAAAAUAAUAGAAGUCACCCAUGUUAAAAGGAAGAAAAUGCGAAUCGGUUAACCGGUUCUACAAUCAUUGGUGCUAAAUUAAUCAAUUAUGUCGGAAUGGUGUCAGAUUAGGACCUUGACCCAAUCCUUCUUAGUUUAGUAGUAUACAAUUAUGAAUAUUUUAUUAUGUAGAUACAAGUUUAGUGUACAUGGAUAAGUGACUUGAUUCCUAGCACUGGUAAAUCACACGAUGAUUGUCAAGGGAAACUAAAAUACCUUUGUAAGUCUUUUCGGCCCCUAUAUGAAUGGAAAUGUUGUGGCAGCUGGUCUUCUUUUUUAAAGAAAAAAUUGGAUAAGCGAUGCUCGUCCCUCCUAUCACAUACCCUAAUGUGUUACUUACGUAAUUGUUUUAACGUGAAUGGUACUGAAUCAUAAUCUUUAUCAUGCAGUUAAGUGUGUGUGUGUAUAAAAUCUAUUAUCAAGAUUUUAUUAUGUGAAAUUAUAGAGCCAAUCAUGAUCUAACAUUCUAUGCGGAAAUUGAAAUUAUGAUUGUUGGAACCAAAUAUGCGCGCCUCCACUGACGGAGGUGAAACCAGUCAGAAUUGCCCAUGACCUCUAAUGAGGGGAGAAUGGAGUUGACCGGAGGGUGUGGUUGAAUCCAAAUUAAACUGCCUACAUAUUUGUGAGAGGAAGAAAAUGUUUUUUUUUUAAAAAAAAAAAAAAUCAUUUAUGCCACCCAUGAUAAAAAAAAAGUAAGAAAAUGAUGCGAACCGGUUCUACAACCAUUGGUGCUAAACUAAUCAAUUAUGUGGGAAUGGUGUUGAAUUAAGCCCUUGUCCCAAACCUUAUUCAGUUUAGUAUUAUAUAAUUACGAAUAUUUUAUUAUGCAGAUACAAGUUGCGUUUAAAUGGAUAAGCAAUUGUGGAUUCGCUUCCUCACACUCGUAAAUCAUACGACGAUGGUUAAGAAAGGCUGAAAUUUCUCUAUGAAUCUUCUUGGCCCUUAGAAGAAUGCUAUGGCGAAACCACUAGUUGGUUCCCUUUUUAAAGAAAAAAAUUGGAUAAGCAAUGCUCGUCCCUCCUAUCACAUACCCUAAUACAUUACUUACGUAAGUGCUUUAACGUGAAUGAUGCUGAGUCAUAAUCUUUGUCAAGAAUUUAAGUAUAUAUAUAACCUAUUAUCAAGAUUUUAUUAUGUGAAAUAUAGAGCCAAGCGUAUUCUAACAUUCUAUGCAGAACUUGAAAUUAUGAUUGUUUGAAUCAAAUACGUGCACAUCCACGGACGGAGGUGAAAUCCAGUCGGAAUUGUCCACGAUCUUUGAUGAAGGGAGAAUGGGGUUGAUUGGAUGGUGGUUGAAUUUGGACUGCCUACAUUUCUCUGGGAGGAAGAAAAUGUUUUUUUAACCAAAUGUUUGCUUAAGACAAAAUAACAAAAGUCACCCAUGACAAAAGGAAGAAAAUGAUGCAAACCGGUUCUACAAUCAUUGGUGCUAAAUUAAUCAAUUAUGUCGGAAUGGUGUCAAAUUAAGACUUUGACCCAAUCCUUACUUAGUUUAGUAGUAUACAAUUAUGAAUAUUUUAUUAUGUAGAUACAAGUUUGGUUUAUAUGGAUAAGCGACUCUGGAUUCGAUUCUUGGCACUGGUAAAUCACAUGAUAAUUGUCAAGGGAGUCUUAAAUGUAUUUGUGAAUCUUUUCGGCCCCUAAAAGAGUAUAAAUGUUAUGGGAGCUGGUCUUCUUUUUUAAAGAAAAAAAGUGGAUAAGCGAUGCUCAUCCAUCCUAUCACAUAAUGUAAUACCCUGAAAAUUUAAAUAUAUGAUUAUGUGGAGAGAAAAUCGAAAAAUAAAUCAAUUUAUGGUUAUGAAAAUUUAAUUGAAAAUUUUAAAGUUUUGUUUCUGGAAAUUACUAUAAUUUACGUUGUAAAAUUUUAACGAUAACGGGCCCUAGUUGGCUUAACAUAAUUAUACGGGGAUGCAUUUUAUCCUCAUGUAUUUUAUCUUAAUUCUUGACGUAGUUGGUUUGAGCUCGAUCCUCUGAAUGCAUAGGCGCAAAUCGUUCGUGAAACGGAAUUAUAAUGAAAAAGUUAUUAACGUUCAAAGUUAGGGACAAAAUAGUCAUUUAAUUGUAAAAUUUGGAAUGCUCCAGAUUUGUGGGAGAUUUGAUUAAGAGCCACGUGUGUGGCUGUGAUGAAAAGAAAAGGAGAGUGCGGGAGAGAAAAGGAGGGGAACGGACCAAUAGGGAGGAGGCAAAGGGGGGAAAGGAGAGAAGAAGAAAAUGGGGAGAAACGGGCUAACCUGUAUACCCCUUCGGACUCGACCUGUGCGCCACCUUUUCGACGCUUUUCCGUCGGUUUUCCAGUGAUUCAAAGCCUGCCGCCACAUGAAGACUAAGCAUCAUCCUUCCUUACUCCAUCUCCACCCAAAAUUAAAAGGAAAUUGGUGGUGUUUUUGUAGAGAAAUGCAUCGGUGGGUGCGGCGGGCAUUGGGGGUGAUCCACUAAAUCCGAAGGUAACUCCAGCAACCACCACCACCUAAAGACUCCCCUCAAUCUCAGGAACAAAGCCCAUGCAUUGGUUGGGGCAUCAAAGUUGUUUUGGAGUUGAAUCAAGAACAUCAAAAAUCAAGGGUUUCCUGCGGUUCAUGGGAAAUUUUGUGUUUCCCAGCCAAAUUGGACUUGGCCGCAGGUAUGAAACUUGCUCCACUAAUUGAGAUCUACAACCUUGUAAAAUUUGGUAAUUUUUUAAAUAGUUGAAUUUUCCGAAGAGUCGGGGCGGCCGACCGCCACCCGCGGCGGCACCUGCGGUAGCGCUUUGGCUAGUGGGCCGACGAUGCCUUUCUAAGUUCAAUUAGAUGUCCUGAAUCUGUAUUUGAUAUUCGUAUGAUGUGAUUUGAUCGUUUGAACCUAAUUUCACUAUGAUACACUACUUGAUCAAAAUAUGAAUCGACGAUCCGACUGUUGGAUCGUCUCCAAACUUUAAUACAAAAUAGAACGUAAUAUUUGAGGAUAUUAGGAACUGAUGGAUCAGGAAUCCGACCUACGGAUCUUCCUGAAUUGGAUUUCUAAGUUUGUAAAACAAAUUGUUGAUCACCACAUAAUUCUAGAAAUUGACGGAGAUCCGACCGUCGGAUCGUGAUGGAAUUUUAGUAUGUUGUUUUAGUGGAAUAAUGUGUAUUUUAGAAGAUUACGGAUCCAAAAUCCAAUGUGUGGAUCUUCUGGAUCAAAUUACGUAGGGAUGAGGACCCCAUUGUUUAUCGAGAGUUGACUUUUGGUCAACAUGUCUCGAAACAUUCUAAAUACUAAAAUUAGUACUACGGGAGACUAAGUGAAGUUUGGGGGGCCUACAUCGGUUAGAGACUGACUUGAAUAUAUGUGAGAUGGUUAUUACCUUAAUUUCUUAUAUUAAUAUCAUUUGUGAAUAUGACUCGGUUUUAUGAAUAUGAUUUCUAUUGAAAUGUGAUUUUUAUAUGUUUAGCCAUAGACCUAUGAUUAUUAAACAUGAUUUGGAUUGUGUAUUGAUGAUGAUGAUGAUUGUGUUAUAUGUGUGUUCAAUUAUCUUUUAGUAAAGUGAAUGUGAAUCUUUUAGUAAAGUGAAUGUGAAUUACGAAUGGCUUGACCCCUCCGAAGGGUAUGAGGCAGUCUAACAAGAAGUUAGGUGCAUCCAUAAAAUAAACGAGGUUAAAGAAUUGAGAAUAUAAUUGUAUGUUUUGGUAAGAGAAUUAUGGUUAUACAUCAUGUGUGGAAUUAAGGAAUUUAAUUAAAAGAUCGCAAUUAAUGGUAGUAAAUUAAACAAGAGUUUAGUUUGGGCCUACCAUCGAUAUUAAUUUCUGAAAUAAAUAUUUCGGAGUGGGGCGUUACACAUACCCUAAUGUGUUACUUAAGUAAUUGCUUAAACGUGAAUGGUACUGAAUCAUAAUCUUUAUCGCGCAGUUAAGGGUGCGUGUAUAUAAAUAUAUAUAUACAUAUAUAUAUAUAUAUAUAAUCUAUUAUCAAGAUUUUAUUAUGUGAAAUUAUAGAACCAAUCGUAUACUAACAUUAUGUCCUGAAAUUGAAAUUAUGAUUGUUGGAACCAAAUAUGCGCACCUCCACUGACGGAGGUGAAAUCCAGUCGGAAUUGCCCAUGACCUCUAAUAAGGGGAGAAUGGGGUUGAUUGGAGGGUGUGGUUGAAUCCAAAUUAGACUGCCUACAUAUCUGUGAGAGGAAUAAAAUGUUUUUAUUUAUUUAUUUAUUUUUAUUUAAAAAAAAAAAACCAAAUGUCUGAUUAAGACAAAAUAAUAGAUGUCACCCAUGAUAAAAGUACGAAAACGAUGCAAACCGGUUCUACAACCGUUGGUGCUAAACUAAUCAAUUAUGUGGGAAUGGUGUUAAAUUAAUACCUUGUCCCAAUCCUUAUUUAGUUUAGUAUUAUAUAAUUAUGAAUAUUUAAUUAUGUAGAUAAAAGUUGGGUUUAGAUGAAUAAGCGAUUUUGAAUUCGAUUUCUGGCACUGGUAAAUUAUAUGAUAGUAAUCAAGGGAGACUGAAAUACCUCCGUGAGUCUUCUCGACCCCUAGAAAGGUGGACUAUUGUGGCAAAGCCACCAUUGAUCUCAUUUUUAAAGAAAAAAAUGGAUAAGUGGUGCUUGUCCCUCCUAUCACAUAUCCUAAUGUGUUACUUAUGUAAUUGCUUUAACGUGAAUGGUAAUCAUCAUUUUUGUCACGAAUUUAAGUAUAUACAUAAUCUAUUAUCAAGAUUUUAUUAUAUGAAAUUAUAGAGCCAGAGCCAUGUGUAUUCUAUCAUUCUGUGCAUAAAUUGAAAUUAUGGUUCUUGGAGCCAAAUAAGCGCACAUCCAAAGAUGGGGUUGAUUGCAGGGUAUCGUUGAAAUCACAUUGGUGCACCCUUCCAUUUGAAUCCUUGUUCUGCAAGAAAAGUUGCAAAAGAAAAGGAAACUAAAUCCUAAAGAUUAAAAAUCCUAACUUACCUAAAAUAAGACUUCAAGAAUAUUUACAAUUAAGACUCAAAUCAAUAGGUUUAGGCCUUAUAAUGUAUGUGUUUUAGAUGUAUGUGUGUGAAGAGAGAGCGAGAGAGAGGGGAAAGAAGGGAGAGGGGGUGAGUUUAACUAAAAUUUUAGGAAGGAUUUCAGGUCAUCUGAGGAGGGAGGAAGGGAGGGAGGGAGAGAGGAAAAAGGGCGGAGGGUGCGUGGGUUUAACUGAAAUUUUAGGAAGGAUUUCAGUUCAUUUGAGGAUAGCCGAGUUCUGGACUUCAUUAUCUGUUUAACUACAAGUUAUAGUAUUCAUUUUUCAGUCUUUGAUGCUUAUAUGGUUGAGGCUUUCUAACAGAAACUUGGAGUUGAAGAGAACAAAAACUUGAUUUUCCUAGUUCAUGUUUAGCCAGGCUAUGGAGAGUGUGCUAGUUGGAAAUUUGUUGGCGAACAGGACUUCAGAAACUUCAGUAAAAUGGAUGCACUGAAUGUACACGUUUUCCUUAUGAUCUGAAUUGCUUGAUCUUAAUGUACUCUUUUUUCUUACGAUUAUGAGCAUUUUUGUCAUUGAAUUUUUGCUACCUUACUAGGUUUUAACGAGGCACCAUCCUGGGCUGGUUAUAUCCUUGUGAGUUUUUCUACUUUCAUAAAUACGUAUAGUUCUAACAUUAUGCAUACUUUUCAUAUUUCUCCUUAGUCUAUAAGUUUUUCUCCUACAUUGAGUUUUACCAUAGCUAGGUUUUAUGAGUUUUACAACCAAUGCAUCCUUCAAUUAAAAUGAAACUCAAAUUCGCUCAUUAUGCUGCUGACUUGACCAGCUGAACUUCCUCACUGAAGACCUGAUGCAACAUUUUGAUUGAGUACUUACACACUCAAAGGAGAGUGUUGUAGUUUUAAUUAGUUUAAGCAUCUGAUUGUAUAAAUCCUAUUGGGAUUCUAUGAUAUCUUUUAGAUAGUGUCCUGAUUCAAUCGUAAAUUAAACUAUCGAUAUUUUUGUUAAUGUCGAUACUUUAUAUAUGAAAUAUCUUCUCAUAGAGCAGUGAAUGAAUGGCUGAGAUUGAGCUCAUAGGCUCUCUCUCUCUCUCAUUGUUUGUAGCGACUGUACGCCUACUGUUACAUUGUUGAAGGGAUAUACAGUGGAGAAACACAACUUGUGCUCUAAAAAAAAUACCAAAACUUCAUAAUCUUCCUCCAAUUUCAUUUCUGAAAUUAUCUACAAAACACACAUAAACACACAAUUAAACACUUAAUGAGGUCAUCACCUAGUCUUGCAUACGAUUGACAUCAUUGUCAUACUUACUUGAACAUGUCAUAAGAUUGGCUAUUUCCAUUGUCAUACUCACUUGAACGUGCCAUAAGAUUGGAAAAUUUAUUGACUAAAUUUUCCUGCUCCUGGUAAACCCCUAUUUUCUGCACCCUGAGAUGAAUAUCAUCAGUACUCCUGUGUCGUGAUAAGUGUGCACCAACAUUUAUCCUUGCCCCACCGUUCACAUUGAGCUUAUUGUUUGAUAAAUGUCCCAGCCAAAUAUAACUUUCAUGGCGAUUUAUUACGGUUGCAUACAGAGGGGUUGAAAACUCAGUGUGCUUGGAUUUGGAGUCGUCUGAAGAAUAAACGACGCACAGAGUCAAUGCUUUUGCAUCAUAGCCAAAACAUUGCGGCAUAAAUAUUUCAUCCUUCAGGUCAACGCAUGUAAACCCUGAUGGAAGAUCAUUUCCGGGGAGAAAAAGAUCACCAUUUCCGCUCGCGCUCCAUUCCUAUACCAUGGAGUAAGAUUUGUAAAAAAAGUUGAUACAUAUAAGCUGUAUACAGUUGGGUACAAACCGAGAUUAUAUAUAUACAUAGAGAGAGAGAGAGAGAUGACCUGUAGGAUUGCUUUUUUAAAAGCAGCAGUGAGAUUGGUGCACCCUUCCAUAUGAAUCCUUAUCAUAUUGUUUAACGACUUAUCCAAGCCUAGAAUCUCAGUGAGUUUGGGGGAGUGAUUCAGAUGCAGUUCUACCAUACUCGACAUUUUUGAAAAAUUUGGCAUCUCUUCCAAUGCAAUGCACUCAUCCGCUUUCAGGAUUUCCAAUUUUGUUGGUAAAUCUGGGAUUUUCUGAAGGUUUUGGCAAUUCGCAACAGAUAAAUACUUUAGGUUCUUCAAUUGUAUUAUGGAGUGGUGAAUCUUGGACAAACUCUUACAGGCUUCGAGUAUCAAUCUUUCAAUAUUUGGGAUUCUUGAAAAGUCUGGUGAUUCUUUCAGGUUAUCACAAGAACCAAUAUUGAGAAACUUCAACUUUUCAAGUGACUGUGAGACAAAAUGGGAAAGCAAAUAUCAAAAUUCAAUAGAAGAGAAAAAGCAUGAUGUUGGUAUUUAAAAAAUCUGUUGGAAAGAAUUGAUAGUUUGGUUGGGUAUGUAUUUUACCACGUUGUCAUUCCAGACUUGUAUAUUGCUACAACUCAGGUCGAUGUCAACUACGUUUGGUUGAUUAAAAUCCUCUGGGAUGGCCUGCUGAGGCAAGUCAGACAUACUUAACCAUCUUAACUCAUCGGGAAGAUGUUCGCAGUCUCCAGUGAACUUUACGCCUUUUAUUUUGAGUAAUCUCAGGUUCCGCAUAUUUCUGAAUGUUUCUGUACUGAAGCUAAGCUUGUCAGGUUCUGGAGAAUCUAAAGCGAUUCCUUCUAUUUCUUCCGUUCCCUGUUAGAAAGGAAAAGAAAAUAAAGUAAGACAAGGGUUAUUUUCUUAGACUUUAACCGGUGCAGAGCACCAAUACUGGAUCAAUGCCAUAGAGUUUGUUUAGACAUCAGUCUUGUUUUAACAAUCUAUAUUAGUCAUCUGUGUUACAGGGAUAAUUUUCAAAUAAUUCAGUAAAUAAAAUCAGCAUUUUUUUUCUAAUGCAAUUUGAUUGAGGAAGUACUUACACUUUUUUUCCUCAAAACGUUUAUUACAUCUUCAUGAUGCCACAAUCUACAGCGACUUUGAAGCUUCUUAGGGGAUCUAGCACGUACAAUUUCUCUGCCCAUGUCUCGAAUCAAACGGUGCAUCAUCAUCAGACUACCCUUUGGAUCAUCAGUUACAAGGCAUCGCUCCUUGAGUACUUCAAUAUCUGUUGUUGGCUCACAGUAACACCCAUCCAAUAUGGCCAUGACGCGGUCCUUGUCCAUUCCAGUAAAGAAACAGGAUACAUCAAGGAAUAUAUCCUCCACCUGGGCAACCUUAAGCCCGUCAUAACUUAUCUUAAGCUUUUCAUGAAUUUCCGGAUAAGGCUGUGAUUCGUUCCAUUUUUUCAAUGCACUUGUCCAUUCUUUCGGGGUUUUUUUAUGUAGGUAAGAACCUACAGCUUUAAGUGCAUGUGGUAAACCCCCACAAUAACGAACAGCUUCUCUUGAGACUUUGUGGAAUCCUUCAUUAGGAGAACUCUUUUGAAAGGCACGCCAACUAAGGAGCUCAAGAGCUUCAUCGUCAUUCAUUGCUGGCAGGGAACAUGCCUUAUCCACCACUUCAGGUGUCUUUAGCAAACUUUUAUCUCUUGUUGUUAUAACAAUUCUACUUCCUGGACCAAACGAGUCACGUUUUAUAGCCAAUGUAUCUAUCUGGGCCACAGAGUCUAUAUCAUCAAUAAUGACAAGAACCUUUAUUUGGCGAAGUCUUGUAUUUAUCUCCUUGGUCCCUUCAUCGGGCAUACCCACCUUUCUGUGGCCCAAUCUCAAGAUGUCAAACAGAAGUUUGUUUUGCGAAUCAACCAGUUUCUUAUCUUCUCUCACAUUCGGAAGAAAAGAUGCACCACUAAACCUGUGCUGGUAUUCGUUGAAAAUAGCUUUUGCAAUCGUUGACUUCCCUAGUCCGCCCAUCCCCCAAAUUCCGAUUAUGCGAACAUCAUUUGAUCCUUCAACAUCUAAAUAAUUACUGAUUUCUUGCACGCGAGAAUCUAUUCCAACUGGAUUUGUAGCUACAUUUAAGCAUGGUUUCUUCAGUAUUGUAGCGAUCUGGCCAACAACUUCCCUGAUAAAACUUCCUUCAUGCCUGGAAUGAAAAAUUCAUAACCAAGGAAAAGUAAGAUUUACUAUGAGACUGAAGGAUUAAAAUGUACCAAUAUACUAGUCAUCACCGAACAAACUGAUAUCAAGUGAGAUAGAUCAAGCGUUCAUAUAUUAAUCCUCAUAUCAGAGUUUCUAAGCUUUGCAAUUAAAUUUUGGAAAACAAAAUGAUUUAAAGAAUUACUUUGUCAAAGGGAAAUAAGCAAGUUAUUACCCGUCAGUCACUUGAAAGUCCUUGCCGCUCAACCCUGCAGCUGCAUGAAGGGCAUCUCUCCAGAUCCGGACCUUUUCCUUAAACUCUUGUUCAUCCCUCUGAAACUCUGCAGUUGCCUUAAAAUCAUUUCCCCACUUGCGGACCAUUUCUUCCUCAAACUUUUGUUCAUGGUUCUUGAACGCGGUUUCAAAACUACCAGUCUGAUGCCUGACAUCUGAAGUAUCAACAUCGAAAAAAAUCGGAAAAACAUGUUGACCCUGUGUUCUGCUGCACUCCAUGAUCUCCACCAGCUCGUCAAGACACCAUCUGGAUCCCGCAUACCCCUUUGAGAACAUGAUGACAGCAAGCCUGGACUCUUUGAUUGCUUGCUUCAGAUUUUCUUUUAUAACAUCCCCACAAAUCAAUCGGUCCUUGUCCCGAAAGACAUUGAACUUGUAGUCGUUUAAUGUAUGGUAGAGAUGGUCCGUGAUGCCCUUGCGUGUUUCGCCUCUAAAGCUCAAGAACACGUCGUACUUGCCGCCCGCGGUAUUCAUCUGUUGGCAAGUCAGCGAUUCUCUGAUGUCUGAUGGGCACUGCAAAAUGGCACCAGGGGCAGAUGGUUUUUGAAUUGAACUGGCAAAGUCAACUACUCCUAGUUUCAAGUCCACAAAAAAAACAAAAAAAAUGGUGUACGUUGUUAAUAAAAUGUACAGUACAAUCCUCAAAUUGAAAUAUGAAAAUUGUAAAAGCUGCUAGACCCAUUGAGAUCGUCUUCAACCUUUGGUUAAGAGUUAAAAUUUUUAACAUAUAAAAUUUAGAUUUUGUUACUUAAUAUUAUAUUCUAGUAGUAUUUUUAUUUACUGGUCAGUGAUAGGUUUUAAACUCGAUUCUCGUCAAAAGCAAAUUUGAACCACAUUAUUACUAGUUUAUUAUGAGGCUCAUCCUUUUAGUAUAAAUAAUAUCAUUUGUUAGAGAGUGGGGUCGAUAGGCCCAUCCACUUAGUAUAAAUAAUAUCAUUUAUUGGAGAGUGGGGUUAAUUUUGUUGGAGAAUGGGAUUGAUUGGAGAGUGUGAUUGAAUCGUAAUGAGGGUAGGUUUAGUAUUGAUGUACUUUAAAAAAAAAAACUGUUUUUGUGCUGUGAGAAUAAACUUAUUUUUGCUAUUUCGCAUUUUCAGUUUUUUUUUUUUCUUCAUACAAAACUGUGAAAAUAAGCUGUUUUUAAAUGUUUACCAAUUACUUUUUUGAGCUUAAUUUUUUUUUGAUAUUCAUAUUUUAUAAAAGUAAAUCAGUACCAAAUCAGUAUUUAAACUGUCUACAUAUUUCUAAAAGGAAAAAAUGUUUGCUUUUUUUUAAGCAAAUGUUUGUUUAAAACAAAAUAAUAGAUGUCGCCCCUGACAGAAGGAAGAAAAUGAUACGAACCGGUUCUCCUACCAUUGGUGCUAAAUUAUUCAAUUAUAUGGGAAUGGGGUUAAACUAUAAUUAUAAUAAAAGGGAGAUGGAGAAAAGAUAACGUGUCAUGAUGAUGAACAGGCAACCAAAUGGCGAUUUUCAGCAGCAGUACUCGCUGUCGUUCACCAUGAGCACAGCUGCCAUAAAUCCUAAAGCCACUCACGUGCCAUUCAAACAGAAAAGGCCAAACAAAAGCCUGCUCUUAUUUUCUUUGCUGCUGCUGGGCACCGAAAACAGAACAUGGGGAACAAGUGGACAACAAGUGGAUGAGAUGGGAAUCAAAAAGAGCAUCUAAAGCCUACUGCCAAAACCUCACGUAGCUUUCAAGCAAUAGUCACGAUUAGUAGUCACUAGUCGUGGCCGUUGUUUUUAUUAUUAUUACUCGCAUAUGGGGCACAUGAAAUUUUUUAAUUUUUUAUUUUUGAAGUAGAAGGAGGGAGGAAGAUAAUGAUAGAAAAUGUAGGAGUUGUUGCAGAUAUAAUUUAUUGAAUAGUUAUGGAGGUCAUAGAGAAAGAGAGGGGUGCAGCACAUAGAGAGAAAGAGAGAGAUGUAUAAUUGAGGGGUGUGUUCUAUUUCAUCUUAUUGUGUCUUUAUUUAUAACAGUAGAAAAGAUUAAUUUCUUACCUUUUUAGGAUUACAACUCUUAAUAGGUAAUCAACUCUUAACAAGAAUAUAAAAGAUAUUCCAAGAUAUACUAGGAUUUAUACAAUCACAUUACUAUUCUAAUAGGACUGCAACACUCUCUAUUGAGUGUGUAAAUACUCAAGUAAAUGACGCAUCAGGUCUUCAAUGAUGAAGUAAGUAUAGUUGAUGAAAUCAUUGGCACAAUGAGCGAACGCGAGUCUCAAAUUAACGGAAGAAUGCAUAAAAAAGUAAAACUCACAAACCCUCGAUAUGGUUAAACCCAAGGUGGGAGAAAAACCCAUAGACUAAGGAGAAAAGUGAGAAGUUGCAUUAAGUCAAAACUAUACGUCUUUUAGAUGCAAGUAGAAGAGCUCAUAAGGGUAUGAUCAGCUCAGGAUAGGUGCCUUGUUAAAACCUAGUUAGGUAGCAAAAACCUAGUGGGAAAAAUGCUCCUAAUCAUAGGGAAAAAGAGUAUAUUAAGAUCAAGUGAGUAUACUUCUGGAUACUCCUCCUGAGUUUGAGACAACUUCCAACUGAGAACUACAAGCACAUUGCAUAUGAAUAGUUAGGCAUACCAAUUCCUCAGACAAGCUUCUGGAAGGUUGACUUCGGUAGUGACUUCGUGUAGAGGUCGGCAAGGUUGUCUAGGAUUGGGUUGCAUGACUUCAAUCUCCUGAUGCUGUGCUGAUGUGAUGUACACGCAAUAUGUCUUGGUGUUGACUUCAUUGAUGUAUCAUGACUUGGUCGAGUUGAUACAUGUGGCAUAAUCUUCAUGGAUCGUCGUCAAGACUCAACGAUGGAUGAAAACACAACAAGUGCUUUGAAUAUGCUCAACAAGAACCUAACCAUGUCUCACUUGUGGCGUAAUGAAGUGAGGUGAGUCUUGGAACGAUUCAAAGAUUUCGCAACUAAGGUCAUAUCAUGGACCUCCAAGAUAUUGCGAAAUCCCUAACGGUAAAGACAUAACCAUUCGGGGAUUUUACCCUAUGCGGGUUUGAUAAGUAACAUGCGUCAACAUAAUAAAAAAGGCAAACAUCAUUCCGAGGAUCAGAGGAUUGGAUCCGCUAGAGAUGUGUCAGGAUUUGAUUUGCUCAAAUUCGUAGUACCUUCAGGGUACGUCUUUGAUACCAAUUCAGUGGUUGUGUGUAGGCGUGGUGCUGCAUCUUUACCAAGACCAACAGCGAAGGAGAUGUCUUGUCUAAUACAAUGAGCUAAGUACAACGAAGCGCAAAGUUGAACUCAGAUAUGGAAUUUCAGAUUCCAUAAUCUCUUCAAGGGUCUCGUUUGCAUAUAACGUAUGGACGAUCAAAGGUAUACUCAAAGGUAACACAUUCGGGAUGUAGUUUAAUUGGUAGACCAAGGUACCAUCAGAACAACGCUUGAACUUUAGGUCAAGGCAUAAACGAGUUUUCCCAAGAUCCUUCAUCUCAAAUUCCAUCUUAAGGUGCGAGACAGUUUUCUCAAGCUCUUCCAGAGUCUUAGUGAGAUUCGUGUCAACGACAUAAACUAUAACUCUAGUAAUUCGGAAUAAGACUUCAUAGUUUAACACGCAAGGGCAUAAUUCAUCCCUGACUGAUCAAAUAAUCACUUAGACGGGUAUACCACAUCCAUCGGAUUGUAAGUGAAAGCCUAAAACAAGUUAAGAGGGUGUUUUGUGGUUUGAAACUAUUUGAACCAGUCCAUGUAAUUCUUCGGAAACUUACAUGUAAAUCUCCAUAUCAAUAUACUAACCACAUUUCAUAAUGCUGCUAUCAAUCACAAGACAUUUUAGGAGAAACCUUGCGCUGUAAGGUGUGCAUCAUAUUGCACUAUUUCAUUCAUCUCAUAACGCUUCAUUUCCCAUUUGGAACACAAUAGGGUUACCUUGGGCAGUCUAGGAACGACAGGUCCAUUACAUACUUUGGUAAGGAAUUUGACCUGGAUUGUAAUUUUGGUUGUCCAAUCAGUUCUACGUUGUCACUUAAUCAACGGAAUACAGUUCGAUAUCGUCGCUUUUCAUUUAUGUCGAUAGCUACCAUAUAAGUGAAAACAUCAUCGAUGGUAAUCUCAUUUCAAUUUCAUUUAGCUCAUCAAACUAGUAUACUGGACCAAGAACUUCAAGUUUUAGGAGUAAUCUGGAUUAAUCUCAUGAGAUGGAAAUGAUUUGAGACAGCGAUCGAGUUUAGAUUCAUUAUUGUGUCGUGUCUUCCUCUUCUAGGGAAGUGAAUCCUAUGAACCGAGUGAUCUGUGUGCUCCAGGCUAAGACAAAUUGAUUGGCUAUCCGCCGGUGUACCGGACCGUCUAACAGGGGUAUCCAAACCGUCUAACAAGGGCGGCACACCCUACAGGGAUGUUGACUCGACGUCCGUUAAGUACGUCUAUCCUUUCAUGUAUGUUUGCAGUUGAUAUAUGAUCUCGUCACUUUAGCUAGAUCAGAGGAAUGAGUCUGGAGCAACAUUUUGAAAGCUAGAAUUUAUCGCACUUGCCUAUCACACUUGUGCGGUUUGGGGAUUAAGAUGAGACAUAGUAGGCAACGUCCAUGCAAAUUCGCGCCGUUCUCCAGAAACGUUGACAUUCUUAUCUCCCCCUAAUGGCAGGAAGACUGUCUCAUUAAAGUGACAACUCGCAAAUGAGCGAUAAAGAGAUCGCGUGCAAGGGCUCUAGGAGAGCUAGAGUGAAAGAGAAUCAUAAUCGACAAAGAUUCCCAUCCUUCUUUGUGGACCCAUGUUGGUACGUUGCGGCGAAGCAAUUUGGCACAUGGAAUGCACACCCAAAUGCAUAAAUACGAAAAUCAUUACGUUCGUACCAGUAACCAACUGUAACGUCAAAUAGGUUGGGUGACAAUGGGCCUUAAGGUGGACCAACAUAGCUGCGUACAAUAUUGCAUAGCCCUAGGCAAAAAUUGAAAACUUGGUAUGUUCUCCAAAAUCCAGGCGAUCAUUGAAAUUGCGCUUUAUGAUUGCUAGGCGAGGCAAUUUGGGGUGAACAUGGGAUUUCGAUGUUCAAUUAUAAACCCAAAAUACAUGCAAUACUUUAUAAAAACCGUUGAUAUAAACUCUCCAACAUUAUACAGUCUCCCGGACUUUAUGGGAUAAGUAGGGUGGUGAACCUUUAAUCGGCCAUGAGGUUUAGCAGUAAUGUAUGUGGACAAACAUGUGACCAGUUUGUCGAUUCAUAAACCAAAACCAUAAGUAUUUAUAUGGUCUGCAUUUUGGUUGGAUUAGUCCACAUAUAUUCCCUUGAAUCCACUUAUGAAAAAUGAUGAUUUUGUAUCUUUGCGAGGAAUGAUAUAGAAAAUCAAUUUUCUUAAUGAGCAGGCUUGACAAAGUGUGCUUGUAGGCACAAGAUCCUUACUUCAGGUAAGGAGAUGCGUCAUAGCAUCAUUGUUCGACCUAAGUGUCCUAAAAAGUCGUGCCAAAGCAAGUAAACUGCUCAAUCACCAGACUCUAGGCCUGCCAUAUGUGGUGUGUUCCCAGUUGGGAGACAACCCAUUGGCCCUAAAUCAAAGCUUUAGGCUCAUUUUUGGAGGUGGUGCAAAGAUAUUUCAUGCUAUUUUCUUCAAUGGUUCAUUUAUGAUCAUUGUUCUAUCGAAUAUCCUUAAAAACUAAACGACAUGGAGAAUUUAAGGUCCCUUAAAUGGUGAUGCAAUACCAUUCAUACAACGAGGAGCAUGCUAAUGCUCUUAAUCAAGUUGGAUAUAUACAAUUUAGUUAAAUAACAAAGAAGUUUACCUAGAACUAGCAAUUUUUUUGUAUAAAAUUAACAAGAAGGUCCAGGGUUCAAAACCUAUGUGUGUUUAUUUACUUUUCAAUUUUUACGAAUUUCUUUCGAUAAGAGUAUACAUUUUUAAAAUUUGGUCAAAUGAUCAAGAAAUAUAACAAUGAGCAAUGAUUUAUGUUAGUGUUUAUAUCACAAAUGAUCAUUGGAAUUGAACCAAAUUGAUCUUUGAAAUUGAAAAUCAAUCAAUGUAAUCCCUAAAAAAUAGAUGUCACAAAUCAAUGUUUCAUCAUAAUGCUGUAAAAAAUUCUAUUAUGUGCUGAUAUGACACAUAAAUAGGGCCCACAAGAUGUAAGAGUUUUUAUCACAAAUGAUCCCUAAAAUUGACCUGCAUGAUCAAGAUGGUCCUUGAAAUUGAAAAUCGAUCAAUGUAGUUCCUGAAAAUAGGUGUCGCAAAUCAAUAUGGUCAUUCUGUCACACUUCUGUAAAAAAUUAUGUUAUGUGCUAAUGUGGUUUAAUAAUUAAUUAAAAAAGUUGUCAAAACACACUUCUGCACAUUGAGAUUAUCUCAAGGUGUAGCUCGACUAUUUCCGCGUCACCAAGAUCACCGAGGGAGCACCUAAUAAGCUUUCAAAGAUUAAGGUUAUAAGGUUGUCUAUAACAACCCGUCCCAGGAUUUUCGAAACUGGAUAAGCAAUGCUUGUCCCUCCUAUCACAUACCCUAAUGCGUUUACUUAUGUAAGUGCUUUAACGUGAAUGAUGUUGGAUCAUAUUCUUUAUCACGAAUUUAAGUAUAUAUAUAAUCUAUUAUCAAGAUUUUAUUUUGUGAAAUAUAGAGCCAAGCGUAUUCUAACAUUAUGUGCCGAACUUGAAAUUAUGAUUGUUUGAACCAAAUACACACACAUCCACGAACGGAGGUGAAACCCAAUCGGAAUUGUCCACGAUCUUUGACGAAGGGGAAUGGUGUUGAUUGGAUGGUAGUUGAAUUUGAAUUGGACUGCCGACAUUUCUAUGGGAGGAAGAAAAUGUUUUUUUAACCAAAUGUUUGCUUAAGACAAAAUAACAGAUGUCACCCAUGACAAAAAGGAAGAAAAUGAUGCAUACCGGUUCUACCAUCAUUGGUGCUAAAUUAAUCAAUUAUGUCGGAAUGGUGUCAAAUUAAGACCUUGACCCAAUCCUUACUUAGUUUAGUAGUAUACAAUUAUGAAUAUUUUAUUAUAAGUUAGGUUUAUAUGGAUAUCAAUUAUUGGCACUAGUGAAUCACACGAUGAUUGUCAAGAAAGUUUAAAAUGCAUUUGUGAGUCUUUUCAGCCCUAAAAGAUUGGAAAUGUUAGCCACCGGCUGAUCCUCUUUUUUACAGAAAAAAAUUGGAUAAGCGAUGCUCGUCCCUCCUAUCACAUACCCUAAUAUGUUACUUGCGUAAUUGCUUUAAUGUGAAUGAUACUGAAUCAUAGUCUUUAUCAUGAAGUUAAGUGUGUGUGUAAUCUAUUAUCAACAUUUUAUUAUGUGAAAUUAUAGAGCCAAUCGUAUUCUAACAUUUUGUGCGAAAAUUGAAAUUAUGAUUGUUGGAACCAAAUAUGCACACAUCCACUGACGGAGGUGAAAUACAGUCAGAAUUGCCCAUGACAUCUACCGAGAGGAGAAUGGGUUUGAUUUGAGGGUGUGGUUCAAUCCAAAUAUGAUUGCCUACAUAUAUGUGAGAGGAAGAAAUUUUUUAUUUUUUUUCCAACCAAAUGUCUGAUUAAGACAAAAUAAUAGAUGUCACCCAUGAUAAAAGUAAGAAAAUGAUGCAAACCGGUUCUACAACCAUUGGUGCUAAACUAAUGAAUUAUGUGGGAAUGGUGUUAAAUUAAUACCUUGUCCCAAUCAUUAUGUAGUUUAGUAUUAUAUAAUUAUGAAUAUUUAAUUCUGUAGACAAAAGUUGGGUUUAGAUGAAUAAACAAUUUUAAAUUCGAUUUUUGGCACUGGUAAAUUACAUAAUGGUAGUCAAGGGAGGCUGAAAUGUCUCCGUGAGUCUUCUCAGCCCCUAGAAAGGUGGACUACUAUGGCAAAGCAGCUAACUGAUCCCAUUUUUAAAGAAAAAAUGGAUAAGUGGUGCUUGUUCCUCCUAUCACAUACCCUAAUGUGUUACUUACGUAUUUGCUUUAAUGUGAAUGGUGCUAAAUCAUCAUCAUUUUUGUCACGAAUUUAAGUAUAUACAUAAUCUAUUAUCAAGAUUUUAUUAUGUGAAAUUAUAGAGCCAUGUGUAUUCUAACAUUCUGUGCAGAAAUUGAAAUUAUGGUUCUUGGAACCAAAUACGCACACAUUCAAAGACGGAGGUGAGAUCCAUUCAGAAUUGCCCAUGAUCUCUGACGAGGGGAGAAUGAGGUUGAUUGCAAGGUAUCGUUGAAAUCGCAUUGGUGCACCCUUCCAUAUAAAUCCUCGUUCUGCAAGAAAAGUUACAAAAGAUAAUGAAACUAAAUCCUAGAGAUUACAAAUCCUAAUCCUACCUAAAAUAAGACUCCAAGAAUAUUUACAAUUAAGAAUCAAAUCAAUAGGUUUAGGCAUUAUAAUGUAUGUGUUUUAGAUGUGUGUGUGUGAAGAGAGAGAGAGAGAGGGAGAGAGAGAGAGAGAGAGAGAGAAGGGAAAGAAAUGGGAGAGGGUGAGUUUAACUAAAAUUUUAGGAAGGAUUUCAGUUCAUCUGAGGGAGGAAGGGAGGGAGGGAGAAAGGGAAAAGGGCGAGGGUGCGUGGGUACGUGGGUUUAACUGAAAUUUUAGGAAGGAUUUCAGUUCAUCUGAGGAUAGCGAAGUUCUGGACUUCAUUAUCUGUUUAACUAUAAGUUAUAGUAUCCAUUUUUCAGUUUUGAUGCUUUUUUUUUUUUUGAAAGGAAGUUUUGAUGCUUAUUUGGUUGAGGCUUUCUAACAGAAACUUGGAGUUGAGGAGAACGAAAACUUGGUUUUCUUGGUUCAAGUUUAGCCAGACUAUGGAGAGUGUGCCGGUUGGAAAUUUGUUGGCGAACACGACUUCAGAAACUUCUGUAAAAUGGAUGCACUGAAUGUAUACUUGUCCUUACGAUUUGAAUUGUUUGAUCUUAAUAUACUUUUUUUCCUUACAAUUAUGAGUAUUUUUCUCAUUGAAUUUUUGCUACUUUACUAGGUUUUAACAAGGCACCAUCCUGACCUGGUUAUAUCCUUGUGAGCUUUUCUACAUUCAUAAAUACGUAUAGUUCUGCAUUAUGCAUACUUUUCACAUUUCUCCUUAGUCUAUGAGUUUUUCUCCCACACUGGGUUUUAUCAUAGUGAGGUUUUGUGAGUUUUACUACUAAUGCAUCAUUCAGUUAAAAUGAAACUCAAAUUUGCUCAAUAUGCUGUCGACUUGAUUAGCUGAACUUUAUCGUUGAAGACGUGAUGCGACAUUUUCAUUGAGUACUUACACACUCACAUUUUGAUUGAGUAUUUACACACUCAAAGGGGAGUGUGCAGUCUUAAUUAGUUUAGGCAUGUGAUUGUGUAAAUCGUAUUGGGAUUAUAUGAUAUCUUUUAGAUAAUGUCCUGAUUCAGCUGUAUAUUAAACUAUCGAUAUUUCUGUUAAUGUCGAUACUUUAUAUAUGAAAUAUCUUCUCAUAGAGCAGUGAAUGAAUGGCUGAGAUUGAGCUCACAGGCUCUCUCUCUCUCUCUCAUUUGUUUGUAGCGACUAUAUGCCUACUGUUACAUUGUUUAAGGGACAGACAGUGGAGAAACACAACUUGUGCUCUAAGAAAAAUACCAAAACUUUGUCAUCUUCCAAUUUCAUUUCUGAAAUUAUCUACAAAACACACAUAAACACACGUUUCCAAAAAAAAAAAAAAAAAAAUAAACACACACACACACACACACAUAAACACACAAUUAAACACUUUCUUAAUGAGAGUUGUUUGGGUUAAUAUUUGAAUAUUGGGCGUUAAUGAAGGAAAGUCGGAUGACUUACCCGAAGCCCAAUAUCAAGCCCAAGAGCAAACUGACGCCUUCUUAAGCCAAAACACAAUCCACGUGUCUAUAAUUGAAAUGAUAAGUGAUGGAGAUUAACCUAUAUCUGCCAAAAAACGUUUUCCAGUGGCAUUGCUAGGAAAAAGUUGAUGACUCACUACCCUUCAAGUGCUUUCGGGCAAGAUCAAAAGCUACAGCAGUCGGGCCAAACUGCCUAUAAAAGGUAGAAAAGACAACGGGGACGAGGAUACUCAACCAAUCAAACAAACAAAUAUAUAAACUCUGCUCUCAAACCAGAUUUGCAUUCAAAAGCUAAAAUCAACCCAGAUUCAAUCAUUUUCGCGAUAGUUCUCUGAAAAAGCUAUCUCUUGUCUAGUAUAAAAGCUCUGCUACCUCCCAUUAGUGUUGUAGUAUCGAUUCUCUCGUGUAAACUUGUUUACCAUCCAUCCCUUUUUAGCAUAUAAGCCUUGUAAAUUCAAAGAGAAGUGAGUGCAAGAAGUUCAACCUUGCUAAACAAGGUGAAAUCUUGCCUGAAGCUCUUUGUUUGUUUUCUAAAUUAAUAGAUCUAUUGCUUAAUGCACUCUCCAGUAUGUAUUCAAGUUAUUUCCACCUGUUUUUCUAUUUUAAGAGUCUCAUUUGCGUUUGGAUCUGGUUAGUUUGGUGGAUAUGAUUUCAUUAAAAGUAAUUUGGGACCAAACAAAUGACUUAAUGAGCUCUGGACUCCCUUCAUUUGAACAUACAAGACCAUGAACUAAAAGUCCUUGUUUACAAGGCAAGAAAAAGAACCUAAUACAGACUUAAUCCAUCUGUGAUAAUCAUUUGAUAACAAGAAGUCUGAGUAACUUGGGGCGCAAGUAAUUGACUUAAAACAUACUUGUUCUACAUCUGCUAUACUAAGCAGUGGCACGCCUAGCACUUGAUUAGUUUUGAUUGCGAGCCUCAAGGUCUACACCUAAAGCCCCACAAAGGUACCUUUCGGAACUAACUUUAUUCUCUUCUUGUAGCAUUUCAACAAGCAAGAGCCUGACUACACACCCAAAGUGCCAAUCCCUUGGGAAGUUUCACUAAGGUUCGAGGAGUCUUCUCCAGAGAAAUCUUUGCCCAAACAUAGUUUUGGCACGCCCAGUGGGACUCAUUUAGUCUUGUAUGCCAAGAAGGAAGAAGAAGGAGCGAACCUUCAGGUGGAACACAGAAUAAGGGCCAUCCCAGUAUCUAGUAAGAUCAAGCAUGACAGAUCAUCCAGAAGACUUCCCCUCCAUACGAGGACCAACUAUUAUGGGAAGCCCAACUUCAUCUAAGAAAUCAUGAGGGAAAGUGACCAAUGAAGACUUGCAAACCACCAUGGUGAAAGUGUUGAAAAGUAUGAAGAAUAUCUCUUUGGAGACCAGAGGAGAAGUAAGGAAACUCUGCUCCUUACAUGAAGUUUGUAGAUAAGACUAGAACUUGAGUACUCUACUCCAAAAGGCAGCUAUGCUCGAGAAAUGAUAAAAGAGGCAAGUUCUGAGAAGGAACCAGCUAUUCCCCUAUUUCCCUUACUCGAGAAGGAGAAGGAAAAAGAAAAGGAGAAAGUAGGGCCUAGGGCUAGCUAGCCAAUAUUAGAAGAAAUCCUGGAGACAGUGUUGCCCGACCCACUAUUGUCCUCACUAGAUAGUAAGGGGCAUGUCGAGCAAGAAAUAAAGAAGUAUGGGAUACCCCAAUUAAUUGGAGAAUCCAGCGGGAAAUAUGAGUUCAUAACUGCAGACAAACUUCCCUUUUAUAGGCCACCACUGUUGGCUAAUAAGGGAGGAGAGGCCAAAUAGAGGAAGCCCGAACAAAAAAAAAGAAACUUUAUCGGACAAUGAUCGUAGCCCGAAGUGGAAACCUCUUUAUACCCUACCUAAUAAUACAGUCAAUUAGCAACUCAGAAAAGAGUUAGCCGAGCUAAGAAGGAUGGUGAUCCAGAAUGCUCAACCUCAAGCUUGCCCGCUGUUUAGGGUCACCUACCAGAAGCCAUAUCCUGAAUAAAUUGAUGAGUAUAUUCCUUUUCGCCUCAACUUCAAGAUGUUCGCGUUUCCCACUUUUAGUGGAAAAUAUGGCAGUGUGUCGUCUAGAGAUCACAUUUUCAAGUUCUCUAACCAUUGUCUGGCGUUUGAAGACAAUCUUAACUAUAAGUUAAGAUUGUUUGGGAACUCGUUGGUUGGCCUAGCAUCUCAAUGGUAUUCUAUGUUGCCCCCCAAUUCCAUCGCUAAUUGGGGGCAAAUGGAGAUGGCUUUUCAUGAAUAGUUUUAUAGGGUGGAGCCCAAGAUGACUAUCAAUGAUCUAGUGGAGGUAAAACAAUAUAAGCAUGAAUCUAUGAAGGACUUCAUGAUGAGGUUUAUAAAGACAAGGAUGAGGUGCCAAUUCCCUAUCAAUCAUGACCAACUUAUAUCCAUUGCUCAAAAGGCGUUGAGGUUGCCUUUGAGAAAAAAAGUUUUAUGAUGUGCAGUUCAAUGAACUGCAAGAGUUGGUAAGUGCUGCCACAAAGUAUGAGAAGCUGCUAAUUGAAGAACAAUAAGUGAAACACUCAUCUACGAUGCUUCAUUUCUAUAAGAAUAAAGUUGCAAUUCACCAAGUAGAGUUUAAAGAAGGAGAGCCAGAAGGAAGCGGUGAUAAUGAAGGAGAGGGAAUAUAGAUGUGUGCAACAGAAAUGACCGUUCCCUUCAAACCUUUAAUGGUGAAGGGAUUGGUCCAGCCAGUCAAAGACCAGAAAGUGGUAAUGAAUGAUGGCAGUUUUGUCCCUAUGAAAUUUGAUUUGACUAAAGCCUCAGAAAUUUGACUAGUUAUUCUUUUGAUUUGACUAAAGCCUCAGAAAUUUAUGAAGAGUUGGUGCAGGUAAGAGUAAUUGUGCCCGACAACACUAAGAAGAAGCCUAAACCAAAAGAAUUAUACCUUCAAUCAUUCCAUAACUAACAGUGUUCAGUUCAGGGAUUGGAUACAAGACGUCAUAGUCAAGGGAAAGUUGCUUUUAGAAAAACCCUAGGCGAACAUGAUAAUUGAUACAGAUCCAUUCCUAGAAGCUCCAAUAAACAUGAUCAUCCUGACCUGGGAUGAAAAAGGGAAAGGAAAAGCUACUUGAGAAGUAAAAGUAGAAAUAAGGCAAGAUGAUAAGCAUACAGAAGGAGUUAUCAAGUUGUCCGAGAGCCCCAAAACAGCCAUAGUUAAAGGGCUGGUGUUGUGUAAUAAGUACCAGUGUGAAUGUGAACUAGAAGUGCCAGCAUCAGGAGGAGUUGUUAUUGAUCAAAAGUUGAUCAGAAGAAGAGAGAAAGAAGAACAAGAAGCCUGUAAAAACAUCAUGCAGGUAGCUGAGAAAGAGACUUCCAAAAAUGUUUUCCAAAGAUUAGAAGGAGAUUCUGAACCAAAAAAAUUGUUCGAGGUAUUUAGGAACCACGAAACCUUGGAAGAAGUGGAAGAUAAAAAAGCUAAAAUACCAAAUUGGGUGGAGGUUAGGCUGCCCUAGUCGAGUUAUGAAGGUGGUGAUGUCAGGAUGAGGGGAAGAACAAAGAAUAUAGUAUCCCCAGUCACUAAGAAGGGUUGUGCCCAACUUGGGCAGAAAUGGUAUGUAAUUGGAAAAGAUAGGAGACCUAUUAAGGAAAUGGGAGCUUCUAUGAUUAUAAGAGUCCAAAGACAGCACAAAGGCAAUAUGAACUCACUAAAAGUUUUUGCUACAUCAUAAACCUCUGAAAAUGUAAAGUUUGAGAAAGUACCUAAUGGGGGAAGAAAACAACCUCAUUAGAUGAGCAAAAAUGAGGUAGAAAAGACGAAUAGCAAGAUUGAGAGGGAGGGAGAUCAUGUGCCACAAAACCCUCAUCCGGGAAAGUACAGAAUCUUGAGGAGAGCUUAAGAGGAUAUGGCAAUGAUGUCAACCCUAAGAUGGAGCCCAUAACCCAUAUGUUUUGGACCUAUCUUGCCUGAAGGGAGAAUGCCUUCAUCUUUGCUAGUUGAUACUCUUUGUGAAGUCCCAUAACAGGUAUAGAACUUUAGUAUAACUCGGGAGGAAAAGUUGAUCAAGCUAAUGUUGCCAAAAGAAGCACAUGCCUGGUUAGAUGAAUUCAUAGACCACAUUAUGGGCAAGAAAGAGGAUUUACUUAAACCUAGCAACUUCCACGUAAACAUGACAUAUGUUUUAUCUGCCAUGUUUUGCACCGAGCCUGAUCAACCAGCCACAAUGGAAGGUGAUUACUUGGCAACAGAACUUAUGAUGACACAUGUUAGUGUUGAAGAAACAGGAAAAGAAGAAUCCAGCUAGACAGGUUUGCCGGAACACUUAAGGAAAGAGCCUGAGAAAGUGUAUUCUGACAAAAUGGUCUUUAGUUGCCCGAGUAUGUCCUUAGCUAAUCAUAUUAAACCUAUAUACGUAACCGCUCAUCUGGAAUAAGUGCCAUUCAAGAGGAUUCUAGUUGAUGGAGGAGUUGCGGUCAACAUAAUACCAUUGAAGUAAAUGAAGAAUUUAGGAAGAAGUGAAGAAUAUCUCAUUCCUACGGAAUGACUGUGUCUAGCUUCUCUGGAGCUAUUACUAGAACACAUGGGAUACUGCAUUUGGAAGUUGACUUGGGAUCCAAGCAAAUCAUGCUAGUUUUCUUUGUAGUGGAUAAUAGUUCCACUUAUGGAGCUUUGCUUGGCAGGGAAUGGAUUCACCAAAGUCUAUCUACACCAUCUACAUUACACCAACAUAUUACAGUUUACCAUGAAGCCAAAACCAAAAAACCAGAGUUUGGGAGAUGGUAGAGGCCGAAUCACAGCCAUUUCUCCCUACUACCAAUGUUGCAGAAGCCAGCUUUUAUAAUCCUAUUGUUGGGACUCUGCAAUGCCUAGGAACUGAUGAGAACAGCCACCCAACUAAAGUGAUAGCCCAAAAGCUCUUGAACCAAGGAUUGUUCCUCACUAGGGAGGAAUGGGAUAAACCCAGAUCAUCCCAAGUUCCUAACACUAGUAAUGUCAGAAGAAAGAAGGAAUGACCAAGUAGUUGCAGUCAGGUCCUUAAUCAAGAGACUGUUAGUGUAUGAGAGAUAGAGAAAGCAAGAAAAUGAGAGCUCGGCCAAAGAACAAGAGGGAUGGAAGGACGAAGCAUCAAGCAGCUAGACCAAGGGUGAAGAAAAGUUUUUUGGAAAAGAGUUGGAAGCAGCACGAGAGUCCGGAUUUAGUCAAAUUUUUGUGUGCAAAACCUGACAAGCCAGCACCAAAAGUACAAAACUUCUUAGAAACCAUUGAUUUUGGAACUGAAGGGGAUCCAAGGCCUAUACAGAUCAGUGCCCUAUUGGAAGUUGAAGAUCGGGCAAAGAUAAUUAGUCUUCUGCAUGAGUGCAAAGGCGUUUUGCUUGGCAUUACAUUGAGAUGCCAGGUUUAGAUUCAACCUUAGUAGAACACAAAAUGCCUAUUAAUGAGGGAUAUAAACAUGUAAAGCAAGCACCAUGAAGGAUGUCAAAAGAGAUCGAGGAAAAAGUCAAAGAAGAGAUUGAAAGGCUGGUAAAGGCUGGAUUUAUUAGGCCUGCCAAGUAUGUCGAGUGGUUGGUCAACAUUGUACCUGUAUUAAAAGCUAUAACUAAUGCAGUUCAGUAUUGUGUUGACUAUAGAAACAUUAAUGGAGCCACGCCUAAAAAUGAGUAUCACAUGCCCAUGGCUGACUUAUCCAUAGAUGCAGUUGCAAAACACAAAAUCCUAUCUUUCAUGGAUGGGAAUACUGGUUAUAAUCAGAUAAAAAUGGCUAAAGAAGAUAUACAUAAAACAGCUUUUAAGUUCCCAAGCCAUGUUGGAGCAUAUGAUUAUUUAGUCAUGCCAUUCGGGUUUAAAAAUGCUGGUGCAACCUAUCAAAGAGCAAUGAAUGCCAUUUUUCAUGACUUGAUUGGCCAUAGCAUAGAAGUAUACAUUGAUGACAUCGUGGUGAAGUCUAAAACUGAAGAACAACACCUAGUAGACCUCAAACAAGCCUUAACAAGAAUGAGGACCCAUAAGUUGAAAAUGAAUCCUAAUAAAUGUGCUUUUGGGGUAAGGUCGAGCAGCUUUUUGGGAUUCCUUGUUCAUCAAAGAGGGGUGGAGGUCGACAAAAAUAAAGCUUGGGCAAUAAUGGAAUCACCUCCUCCUACUACUAAGGUAAUUACAGAGGCCACUAGGGAAAAUCAACUUCUUUAGGUUCUCCAAAGAAAACCCGUAAUUAGCUUUUUGCCUAUAACUUUCCUUCUACUCACUUGAGGUGAGUGGCAAACUUAAAAUUAUGCAAACUUCCUCACCAUGGCCCACCUCUGUUGGUUCCUUUGGCUAAUUCCCAUUUUGUUUUAGUUGUCAUACAACUUAAACAUAAUGGGCCUCGGGGACCAAAACCCUUUUGAGCUACGAAACCUGAAACUAACUUAAAAGCCCAAUAGAACCUUUCGUAUAAUUAAUUAAUCUUAGCCAUUCUCAAUUAAAUUAUUUAAUUGCUUAUCCAUCUUAUUUAUAUUUGUUAACGUUCAUCCUUACUUGGUGUACGAUCCAUUAGGUUCCAUUUAGCAAAGCAAUGGGCAAUUAUUACUCUUAACAAUUGAUUGUGAAUUGAAAUCACAUUUCAAUUUUUUGUUUGAUGAAGAUUAGUAAUUGCUAAUCUUCAGGGCUUCCACAAACCAUAAGUGUCACCUAACAGUAUUUCAUGGGUACCCAAGCUAAGUAGAAGUGGUUGGAGAACCUAUCCAGUUACAACUACAAUGCAAUUCGGUCAUUCUUUAAUACAAUACUCUUGAUCACAUUGUUUACGUGAUAGUUUGUUUCAUGUCCAUUAUCCAAUGUGAUACUUCUCUAUAUGAUUCAAUUGAAUAUGAUUUGGAACAUUCUUCCUAAGUUAUAUUCAUAUGCUUUGUCCAAAGACUCCAAAAUCAUAUUCAAAGUAUUCUCCUUCUACCAUGGAAGGUUAGAGAUCCCUUGUGCAUUCACAUGCCUACAUGACUACAUAGCUUGACCCCAACAAUGUCGUGGACACUCUCAAUGGAAUGCUUUUGACAUAGUAGAAGAUCAAGGACCUAACCAUCAGAAAACUAUGAUGCCUCAUGUCAAAUGACUACUUUGCAUAUUGCAACUUAUUAGCUAUUACAUGACAUGUAUGUUCAAACUCUCUUUUGAUCGUUGUUCAGUGUACUCGAUUACCCUUUCGAGCACCUAUGUGUUUGUCUUAGUGUCCAACACUAAAUGACUUAAGACUAGUCAUACUCACGCUUGAGUCAACAUAACACAUACUAACCUUAGUGGAUUGUCAAUGCCCUAUUGGCAAUCCUAUGGCUAGGAAUGUUUUAGGAAUGAACAUAAGAGAAAUGUCUCGUUAAUCUAACUUACUUAGAUCACUUUUCUCUUAGAACGAAUACACUUGGAUUCCCCUAUUGCUUACAGUGAUUAACAAUAAGCUUUGCUCUUAUUAACCAAAUAAUAGUUUAACAUAUUGAGUAUUUCAAAAGCUAUUACAUCAAAUAAGUGGCAUUUGUGGGCAUGCCUCCAAUAUCUCCAAUGCCUAAGUUAGUUUCUCUGAAAAGAGUGCGUGUUUAGGGAUUUCUAUGUACAUAAAAGCUUACCCAUUUUUGGUGGAGAAAUGGGGUUUUUAUAAGAGAGGUGGUCAGCCUUUAGGGUUAAAUUUGGUGAGAAUAUUCCCAAGAUAUUGUGUAACUAAUAUCUUGGAAUAAUUGUGAAGAUAUCCCAGAAUAAACGUGAUUGGGAUUACUCACUUAAUAGGGUUUGUCUUCAAUUGGGAAUGUUUAUUUAGGGAUAAUGCAACCUUUGAUUUUUUUUUCCACGUGCAGAGGAGCUCUGAGUAGUCGUAGUUCGCUGCCUGCAUAUUCUGGGAUGUUAAGCUGCUCGUGGAGAAUUUAAAUAUGCACUGCUCAUUUAAUAAGGGCAAUCUUGUCUUUCUUGGCUAAAAGUCCACGUGUCGCCUCCAGGAUUUUUGGAAUUAUUUUUAGCUCACAAACAUGAAUCUCAUUGAGACUUCCAAAGAGCUUGAGAAAAUUGCCUCGCACUUAAAAGCAUAGUCUGAGAUGAAAGAUCUUGGAAAACUUGAUAUUGUCUCAACUUGGAGAUCCAGCAUUGUUCAGAGUGUGGCCUCGUUUUAAUGAGGAUAAAGCGAAGUCUUCAAGUACUCCUAUAAUCGUUCAUACGUUAGAUGCAAAACGAGAUCCUUUCUGAAGGAAAAAAUUUGUCCUAGCUAAGAACAAGUAUGAACAUUUGAAUACACAUGCAAGCUAUUAACACUUUAAAGUAGGCAUGCAUCCAAAAACAAUUCAUAAAACCCAUGACUUUCAAAGCCUAGUAUAUGGUGAACCAAAAUAAACUCUUUAACAACAUUAAAGAGAAAUAAAGAUUUAGUGAUUCUUUACCCUUGAAGCUCAUCCUUGAUUACACAAGGGAUUCACCCAAGUGGAGGGCCUUCAAGUCACCUCCAAGCUCCUUGAAUCCUCCUUGUGUUUUCCUCCCUUUAGUGCUCCUUUGAUGAUUUGAGGAAAAAGGAUUUGUUCUCCAAAACACCAAAAGCUUGAUGUCUCUAAGUCUCUUCACCAAGGAUGUAUCUUGUGAAGAUGAUAUGGAUGACUAAGGAAAGAAGAGAUUGCUAGAUGUCCCUUCCCUUAGUGGCCGGCCUCCUUAGAAGAAAAUGGAGAAAAUGUCUCACCCAAUUUCAACAAGAAGAACCCUAAUGAGAAAAUAGCUAUAAAGUUGCUUUUAUAACCUUUUCUUUGGUGAGUGGCAAACUUGUAAUUAAGCAAACUUUGCCAAUCCACCCUAAUGGCCGGCCAUCCUUUGUUAUUGGGCUAAUUUGCCCAUUUUGUUUUAGUUGUCAUACAACUUAAACAUAAUGGGCCUUUUGGACCAAAACGCUUUUGGGCCCCGAAACCCAAAACCAACAUAUAAGCCCAAUACGAACCUUUCGUAAAAUUAAUUAACUAAUUAAUUAAUCUUGACCAUUCUUCAAUUAAACCAUUUAAUUGCUUAUCCAUUUCAUAUAAUUUCUUCACAUACAUCCUUACUCGGUGUACGAUCCAUUAGGUUCCAAUUAGCGAGGCAGUGGGCGAUGUUACUCUUAACUAUCGAUUGUGAAUUGAAACCACAUUUCAAUUCUCCCUUUAAUGAUUAGUGUUACCUAAUCAUUUGGACUUCCACAAACCAUGAGUGACACCUAGCAGUAUGUCAUGGUUACCCAAGCUAAGUAGAAUUGGUUGGAGAACCUAUCUAGUUACAACUACAAUGCAAUACGGUCCUUCUCUAAUACAAUACUCUUAAUCACAUUGUUUAAGUGAUAGUUUGUUUCAUGUCUACUAUCCAAUGUGAUACUUUCCUAUAUGAUUCCCUUGAAUAUGAUUUGGAACAAACUUCCUAAGUCAUAUUCAUUUGCUUUGGCCAAAGACUUUAGAAUCAUAUCUUAGAGUAUUCUCCCUCCACCAUGGAAGGUUAGAGAUCCCUUGUUGUGCAUUCAUAUGCCUACAUGAUUAGAUAGCUUGACCCCAACAAUGCCGUGGACACUCCAAAGGAAUGCCGUUGACAGGAUCAAAGAUCAAGGACCUAACCAUUAGACAUCGAUGAUGCCUCAGGUCAAAGGACUACUUUGCAUAUUGCAACUUUAGAGUUCAUACAUGACAUGUAUGUUCGAACUCUCUUUUGAUCGUAGUUCAGUGUACUCGAUUACUCUUUCGAGCACCUAUGUGUUUGUCUUAGUGUCCAACACCAAAUGACUUGAGACUAGUCAUACUCACGCUUGAGUCAACACAACACAUACUAACCUUAACGGAUUGUCAAUGCCCAAUUGGCAAUCCUAUGGCUAGGAACGUUUUAGGAAUGAACAUAAGAGAAAGGUCUCGAUAAUCUAACUUACUUAGAUCACUUAUCUCUUAGAACAAAUACAUUCCUUGGAUUCUCUUAUUGCUUAAACACGUUAUACAAUAAAUAGUGAUUAACAAUAAGAUUUGCCCUUCAUUAAACAUAUAAAAGUUUAAUACAUUAAGUAUUCCAAAAAGCUAUUACAUCAAAUGAGUGGCUUUGUGGGCAUACUUCCAACACUUUCCAUCCUAAAGAGGAUAAGGAUGAGGUUUUAGAGCCUGGAUAUUCAUACUUUACUGCAAUUGACGCUUUAUUAUACUUAACAUAAUGCACUAGAUCAUACAUCUCUUUCGCUAUUAAUCUUUUGACAAGGUAUAGUAAUGUGCGUACACGCAUACAUUGGGCUGGUUAUGUAUUUAACGUUAUAGACACCUCUAUUUGUACUAUACUUGACCAAUCCUGAAACUACUAAGCAUCGGUCAAUGUUAUACCGUCAAGGACCCAGAAGACUUUCCCUCCAACCAGGAGGCCAAUCAUAGCGGGACACAUGUCGAUAUCAGAAGCCAAUCAUAGCGCGACACGUGUCAACAUUAGAAGCCAAUCAUAACACGACACAUGUUAAUGUCAAAACAAAGAUAGAAACUCUCUUUUAUAAAAGUAGAUCAUUUUCCCACAAUAUUUUCGAAUGUCAUUUGUUAAAUCAUUCACUUGUACUUACUAAAGGAGAGCUUGAACUUAUGUACUUAUGUAAACCCUUCACAAUUAAUGAGAACUCAUCUACUCCGUGGACGUAGCCAAUCUGGGUGAAACACGUACAUCUUGUGUUUGCUUCCCUGUCUCUAUCCAUUUACAUACUUAUCCACACUAGUGACCGGAGCAAUGUAGCGAAGGUCACAAACUUAACACUUUCUGUUGUACCAAAGUCCUCACUGAUUUUGUGCAUCAACAUUUGGCACCGUCUGUGGGAACAACACUUAUUCCCACUCUCUUCAGCUUUAUUAAGCUGGUUUCCACCAUUCAUACACUCUCUUUUGAGCAGGCAACCCUUUCCAACAUAGGGAGCGAAGGAAGCCACAGCAUACAGAAUGACAUCCCUCUUGCAUCUGGUGCGAAGCAACGAAAAAAGGAACAAAAGAAGUUUGUUAUUCAAGCUAAAGUUGAUGAGCUAGAAGCUCAGAACAACAAGAUAGCAAUGAAGAAUGAGGUCCUCCAAGGGCAGUAUCAGAAGCUCUUUGAGACGCUCCACGAAAAUAGGCGUACUCAAAUACGCGAGCUCAUUGCCCCUGUGGACAUCAACCAUCAUCUGGGUGUCCCCCAACACAGAAGGUCACCUUCCUUCGACAUGGGUAUCCCUGAUGAGGAACGAGCUAAUCAUUAAAACAUUGAUCAACAUAAGACUUCUCUCAACCCAGUUGCUUCAACCCGAAGCAUGAGAAGUGGAGGAAAACACCUCCUUGCAGAAGGGUUGGAAGGAUCGAAAGCCGUUUAUCGUGACUGCCGAGACUUCCUAAAGCAACGUCGAGAGAAUCCCCUCCACAUAUGCUCGAAGAUCAACAACCCAAGGUUUCUGAAAGACUCGGUCCUCUCCCACGACCCAGGCCAGGUGCCAAUCUAAGGAAUGAACGACAGGUCCCAGAGGAACAUGAAGGUACAGGGGACUCUGAGGUAUUCCGACAGACUCGCCCUAGAAGUUAGUACGGCGAGUCCAAGGAAAAAUCACAUGCCCUUGCUCAAACUUUCCUACUUCCAAAAUGCGAUGAAGACUUACGAAAGAAAAUUCCAGUGGUACAUGACUCCACUCAAGACCCCGUGUCUUACAGCUCAUUGAGGAAGGAAACAAGUUGAAGGCCGAACGUCAGGCUAAGAUACCUAACUGGAACCAACCCAGGCCUGGCCCUUUCACAAGGAGGAUCCUCGACACCCCUUUCAAAUGAAGAUAAAACAAAAGCUUGGUUUACAACUCUAUACUGGAAGGGAGGACCCAAUUGAACACCGUAACCUCUUUAAGUCCACCAUGGCAUAUCGGAUGCACACCGACAAAAAGCGAUGUCUUCUCUUCCCUUCCACCCUCUCUGGCGGAGCUCUAAACUGGUAUUGCAGUUUUCCACCUGAAACAGUAGACUCAUUUGAGGAGCUGAGGAAACUGUUUGUCUUUCAACACAUCUUCCAGACUGAUCAUUUGCAUUCUGCAGAUGACUUGUACACUAUUCGCCAGAAGUCGGACGAGUCACUACAAGAGUAUGUCGGUCGCUUCAGCCAUGAGUAUUCUCGCUGUGCUGAGGCAGAUGAUAAAACCGCCCUAAAGGCCUUCAUGGCAGGCCUACGUGAUUGUUUCUUCCAUGAUCAAUGCCAACACUUGGAAGACUUACUCUAAGGUGAUGGCACAGUCUUACAACCAUGCCUCCGUUGAGGCAAGGACAUAUCAAGGGAAACCCCCCACAGCCACCCCUUAUCAGCAAGUAAAGAAUAGAAGCCAGAUCUAACCAAAUGAGAAGACCUUGACCUUCCAAAUGGCAGCGGUGCCUCCCUCUGCUUUACUUAAUACUUCGCCAAGUCAAUAGACAUAUCAAUCUCAGGGUAAAAGGAAAGAUUUACAUCCUCACCAGUCUCAUUUUAGUAAAAGGAGUAAGGGACACUAUCGCGAUAACCAAAGGUAUCACCAUGAUAAUGCCCGCCCCCAGGCAGUCAACACAGUGGGCCAAGCAUGUGUCAUGAUAGGCCCUACCCCGAGGUAUGAGACAUACACACAUUUGAACACCACAUGCAUGGCCAUUUACCCCAACAUAGCACACCUGAUACCGAAGCUAAUACCUAGGCAGUCAAGUUACAAGCCCCUGAAGAACAUGGGCACGUUUUGCUGCCACCACAAGCAUAACGGCCAUGACGGCGAAAAGUGUAUCACCCUUCGUGAUCAUAUUGAAGCUUUGGCACGUCAAGGAAAAAUUGAUCAAUUCCUCCGUCACCCUCCAAGGGGUAACCGCAACCAACGCCAGGUGAAUGUGAUAUAUUCCAUAAAUGGUGACACACCAUAUCUAAAUCUUCCAACAUGGCCAUGAAAAAUAGUGAACGAGCUUUAAGGUCUGGCCACCAAGUGUUUCACGUGGAAGACAUCAGGGGAGGCAAGUAUCAAAAGCCUAACUAGGAUCCAAUAUGUUUCUACCCAGAGGAAGAAAAAGGUAUUAUCUACCCUCACAACGACCCACUGAUCGUGGAAGCUCAUAUAGCCAACUUUGAAGUACGACGAAUCCUGGUAAACACGAGGGCUUCGGUCAAUAUCAUGUUUACUGAAGCUUUUAAGGGCAUUUAAUGUAGCUGAACACUUGCUCGAUCGCUCGAUUUCUCCUCUGAUAAACUUCUCCAGUGAUAUCGUGCAACCUUUAGGGAGCAUACACUUACCUUUCACCAUUGGUACAUGCCCUUAAACAACUACUAUUACAACUAACUUCCUAGUGAUUGAUUGCCCAACGGCAUACAAUGUAAUCUUUGGACGCACAUGCAUCAAUGAUCUCAAGGCCAUGGUAUCCACACAUAUGUUGUUGAUGAAAUUUCCAACCCCCUAUGGCAAUGGUUACAUCAGAGGAGAUCAACUUAGUACACGAUCAUGUUACAACACUUCGGUCAAGCAACAGCACCUACCUGUGCCCAAGAAAACACUUUCUAUACAUGACCAAGUUAUAAAGACCAGCCCAGACGAAGCCAACUUGGAUCUUCACAGUGGCAACAGUCAACCUGAUGAUCUUCGAGAUGACUUUUUCACCCAGCAAGCACAACCCGCUGAAGAGUUGGAGAAGCUCUCUAUCUUAAAAGAUUAUCCGGAUCGCAUGGUGAAGAUUGGCACCACCUUGUUACCACCCAUUCGGUUGUCAUUGAUCUAUUUUUUUACAAGAGAACACUGAGGUCUUCGCCUGGUCAUACGAGGACAUGCCAGGCAUCCCUCCCGAUAUCAUCUGUCAUCGCUUAAGUAUUAACACCAAGACCAAGCCAAUGAGAUAGAAGUUAAGAUCUUAUGACGCUGAACGGUACGAGGCAAUGAAGGCAGAAGUUGAAAAACUCAAAGGCAUAGGCUUCGUCCACGAAGUCAAUUAUCCAAUGUGGGUAACAAAUGUUGUCCUUGUUAAGAAGAAUCCGACCAAGGAAAUUCUCCUGCUCCAAAAGGUUUUGUGGAGAAUGUGUGUUGAUUACACUGACCUAAACAAAGGAUGCCUAAAGUAUAGCUUUCCUCUUCCUCUCAUAAAUAAACUUAUAAACUUUACGGCAGGGUGUGAACUCCUGAGCUUCAUGGAUGCUUACUCAGGAUACAACCAAAUCCUCAUGAACCCUCCAGACCAAGAACACACAGCCUUCACUACUGACAGAGGACUAUAUUGUUAUAAAGUCAUGUCAUUUGGCCUAAAGAAUGCAGGAAUGACUUAUCAGAGACUGGUCAAUUCAAUGUUUGCCAAACAGAUUGGGAAGAGCAUGGAAGUGUACGUUGAUGAUAUGCUAGUUAAAAGAAAACAUGCUGACCAAUAUAUCGCUAACCUAUCUGAAACUUUCACCAUUCUGAAGAGGUAUCGAAUGAGGUUGAACCCCAACAAAUGUGCCUUCGGCGUAGGCUCUGGAAAAUUCUUAGGCUUCAUGAUUAGCCAACAAGGCAUUGAAGCUAAUCCCGAGAAGAUCCAAACAAUCCUCUACAUGAAGGAACCGGUAACUUCAAAAGACGUACAGGCUCACUUGAGGAAUGUUACCUACAAGCAGCACAUCUCCAACUACUAUGACUCAAAGGUCAAACCUCGUUCUUUCAAAGUAGGGGACUGGGUAUUGAAGAAAGGAUUACUUUACGACAGAGUCUCGAGUGAAAGAACAUUUAGUCCAAAUUAGGAUGGACCGUUUGAAGUUGUUGGUAUCAAUCGCCCUGGCUCCUACAAGUUUAGAAGCUCUAAUGGCAAGACCUUUGGCCAUCCAUAGAACGCUGAUCACUUGAAGUACUAUUACAAGUAAACUCACAUUGUACAAGUGUUGAGCUUCAGCCAUUCGGCAUUCUAUGUAACGAAGACUAUUUGGCAUGAAUUCAAUAAAGAGGUGAUUUAGAUAACUCGGUCCAAAUCCUCUUACAUUCCUAGCAAUGAAACACUCGGGUUCAAAGCUUCAACAUGAAUGCUUCUAACAUGAAACAAAGUCUAAGUAUAUGUCAACAAGACUAUACAAAUAAACGAACAACUUCACAAUAUAUUCGUUCAAUCAUACAUUCCAACACAUUCAUACAUAAGCCAACUGUGCUUCAAAAGGGUUCAACAUACUUUAUGUCAUUCGACACUUGCUACAAUGUGCCUCAACACCUUGCCAUUAUUCUCACCAACCAGGUGAUGAAAUGUGAAGAAUGAACUCAACUUCAUGCCACCAACCAGGUGAUGAAAUGUACAACCCGUACUCUCCUUCAUGCCACCAACCAAGUGAUGAAAUGUACAACCCGUACUCUCCUUUAUGCCACCAACCAGGUGAUGAAAUGUACAACCCGUACUCUAAUGUCAUUUGGCAACUUGCCACUCAUGCCACCAACUAGGUGAAGAAUGAACUCAUCUUCAUGCCACCAACCAGGUGAUGAAAUGUACAACCCAUACUCUCCUUCAUGCCACCAAUCAUGUAAUGAAAUGUAUAACCCGUACUCUAAUAUCAUUUGGCAACUUGCCACUUAUGCCACCAACCAAGUGAUGAAAUGUACAACCCGUACUCUCCUUCAUGCCACCAACUAGGUGAUGAAAUGUACAACCCGUACUCUAAUAUCAUUUGGCAACUUGCCAUUCAUGCCACCAACCAGGUGAAGAAGGAACUCAUCUUCAUGCCACCAACCAGGUGAUGAAAUGUGAUGAAAGGUGAUGAAGGAACUCACCUUCGUACCACCAACCAAGUGAUGAAAGCAACUCACCAUUCAUUCCACCUACCAGAAGACGAGUGGUACAACUUGUACAUGUGAACUCCUAGCAUUCACAAAUAAUCAAAAACCCUCAAGCUUGACAACUCAACUAGGGGAGCACUUAUGCCCAACAAGAGUUAUAUAGUCACCAACAAAGUCUUAUUGCAAGCCAACAACAACUUCAGUGCAUGGCAUACGAAGAUCAAGCUAUUCAGCCCUCUUGCAUCUGCUUCAAACAUUUCUCCUCUGUAACAAUGCAAACACUACAACUCGUAGAAAGCUUCACACACUCUUGAUCAAGACAGUGUGAAGCAAAACCAAUUUAUGGUGCCAACAAGAGCUUCAUCAAUGGAGGGCAACCACAAUUCUCAAAAGCUUCACACACUCUUGAUCAAGACAGUGUGAAGCAAAACCAAUUUAUGGUGCCAACAAAAGCUUCAUCAAAGGAGUUCAACCACAAUUCUCAAAAAGCUUCACACACUCUUGAUCAAGACAGUGUGAAGCAAAACCAAUUUAUGGUGCCAACAAGAGCUUCAUCAAUGGAGGGCAACCACAAUUCUCAAAAGCUUCACACACUCUUGAUCAAGACAGUGUGAAGCAAAACCAAAUUUAUGGUGCCAACAAGAGCUUCAUCAAUGGAGGGCAACCACAAUUCUCAAAAGCUUCACACACUCUUGAUCAAGACAGUGUGAAGCAAAACCAAUUUAUGGUGCCAACAAGAGCUUCAUCAAAGGAGUUCAACCACAAUUCUCUCAAAAGCUUCACACACUCUUGAUCAAGACAGUGUGAAGCAAAACCAAUUUAUGGUGCCAACAAGAGCUUCAUCAAUGGAGUUCAACCACAAUUCUCAAAAGCUUCACACACUCUUGAUCAAGACAGUGUGAAGCAAAACCAAUUUAUGGUGUCAACAAAAGCUUCAUCAAUGAAAGGCAACUACAACUUAUAGAAAGCUUCACACUCUUGAUCAAGACUGUUCGAAGCAAAUUCAAUUUAUAUGGUUCAUCCAAACCUUCGACUACUUCAAUUUGUAUAUGUUGUCUCUUCCAUAUUUUCAAAUUUCUAGUUUCCCAACAAAAAAAAAUGGGAAAUUCAACAAAGCUUCAUCAAUAAAGGACAACUACAAAUUCUCAAAACCUUUACACUAUCUUGAUCAAGAUAGUGUGAAGCAAAAUCAAUUCAUGGUACCCAACAAAGCUUCACCACAAAAGCUUCACCAACAAAAGCUUCAUCAAUGGAGGACAACUACAAAUUCUCAAAAGCUUCACACUAUCUUGAUCAAGAUAGUGUGAAGCAAAAUCAAUUCAUGGUACCCAACAAAAUCUUUAACUCCAAAGCUUCACCUACAAAGCUUCAACUCCAAAGCUUCACUUACAAAAGGUUCAACACAAAAGCUUCACCUACAAAGCUUCAACUCCAAAGCUUCAACACAAAAGCUUCAUCCACAAAAGCUUCACUCACUAAAAAAGCUUCACCUACAAAAGCUUCACCCAUAAAAGCUUCACCAACAAAAGCUUCACCCACAAAAGCUUCACCCACCACAAAAGCUUCACCUACAAAAACUUCACCCACCACAAAAGCUUCACCCAUAAAAGUUUCACCAACAAAAGCUUCACCCACCACAAAAGCUUCACCCACAAAAGCUUCACCUACAAAAGCUUCACACUAUCUUUAUCAAGAUAGUGUGAAGCAAAAUCAAUUCAUGGUACCCAACAAAGCUUCAACCUCAAAGCUUAACCUACAAAGCUUCGACACCAAAGCUUAAUAUAUAUAUAUAUAUAUAUAUAUAUUCAAAAAUUCAAAAAUUCGAAAAUUCGAAACAAAAAAUUGCCUAAGCUUCCUCUUCUUUGGGCCUAACAACUUUCAUAACAAAUAUAUAUAUGAAGAAGGAGUUUUAGGCUACCACUUAGAAAGGAAAUGCCUCAUUCGUCAACUCCCUCGACCGGAGACUUGGGGGACUCCUACCAUAUGCUACUGCACUUUGAUACUCGAAAGUCUCACGACCACUCAGUGACUUGGAUUUUUCAAGUCUCCAACUGAGAAGUUUUCCUCACUUGGGAAAUUAAGGGAGCACUACCUCAACAUACAUGCUUCACUCACAAAGCUUCAACAUACAAGCUUCAACAAAAGAAAAAAUUCAAAGAACUUAGUGAAGAAGGCCUUGGUGUAUUUAACACAAUACGUUGAAAUGAAGCAAAGCUUGUUUAUUGAUAUCUUCGAUAAGUUACAAAUAUGUACAUAUACAUGAAUAAAAAUAAACAAACAAGAGGGAGCCUUCACAAAGGUUGCUCAGGAGAAGUCUCAGCAGUCGGCAGAGCCCCAGAAAGAGGAGGCACCAAAGGGUGAUUAUUUGAAGCCUCAAUACUGGGCAGAACCCCAGAAGAAUGAGGCACCGAAGGUUGAUCAUUUGGAGCUGCAUUAUGCGGUACAACCCCAGAAGACGAAGGCAAUAAAUGCCUUUGGAACAAACCCACAAACCUCUGAUGAUCAAGUAAAAUCUGACCAUCAGAUUCCUGCAGCUGGUCGAGCUUCCUCUUCAUGUUUGUAGCAUAGUCAUGUGCGAGCCUGUGCAACUGUUUAUUCUCAUGCUUGAGCCCUAUGAUCUCUUGUUUGAGACUUAUCACUUCAGCCGCCAAUGAUUCAACUUGGUGGGUUAGACACAGAACCUGCACACUGAACACUGAGAGCCUGAGAAUCCUUAACAGCCAACUCAUCAGACCGUUUGGAAAGUAGUCUGUUAUCUUUGGGAGUGAGAAGGUUCCUGGCCACCACCGCAGCGGUCAUAUCAUUCUUCAUCACAGAGUCCCCAACGGUAAAAGAACCAGUAGGGGAUAAGAAGGAUGGGCGCCAUAUGUUGUCUUGAGAAGGCAUGGCUGCCUCUUCACCAAAGUUCAAGUCAAAAUGACGGUCGGAUGGGCCAGACAUUCUCAGAAACGAUGAAGGAGAAAUAAGGUGCAAUAAAUCUCUGAAGUACAAAAAUAAAGGGAAAAUUUAUGCAAGUAAUAACUCUCUGAACGUACUUCUUGCACACAAUUGGUGCCCCUAUAAAAGAAAGGGCAACAUGGCCGUUGGUUCAAAAAUCGAAGAGGCACCACUCUUCGGAUUUCUAGAAGCAAAUUUUCCUGAGUAAAAUAUGUCGACAAUCCCCGCACGCAACAUCAGCUCCUUAGGUACCACAGAUAACUUUGCCAAAGAUCUCUAACAAAGUUUAGACAUAUAAAUUUAACCCUACUAUUACCCACAAAGGUAAAGGAACAAACCGCUGCUUGAUAACUAAAAAGUCCCUAUGUGUGUCGACCUCCGUGCUCAGUGGCAAGGCAGACUGGCAAAAAUGCCCAACCUUUACUCACAUUCGAGAAAACAUUCCCAAUAAGGUUACUUGCUCAAAUAUCGAAGAGGCACCAUUCUCCGAAUCUCAAGAGCCAGACUCCCAACAGGAUUAUUUGCUCAAAAAUCGAAGAGGCUUCGCCCUCCGAAUCUCGAGAGCCAGACUCCUAACAGGAUUACUUGCUAAAAAUCAAAGAGGCAUUGCUCUCCAAAUCUCAAGAGCCAGACUCCCAACAAGAUUACUUGCUCAAAAAUCGAAGAGGCAUCGCCCUUCGAAUCUCGAGAGCCAGACUCCCAACAAGAUUGCUUUCUCAAAAAUCGAAGAGGCACCGUUCUCCGAAUCUCGAGAGCCAGAUCCCAGACAUGAUUGCUUGUUCGAACACCGAAGAGGCACCGCUCUUCGAACUUCGAGAGCCAAAUUUUUAGAUAAAGCUUGUCUGCAAUCUUCACACGCAACAUCAGCUUUCCAGAUACCACAGACCACUUUUUCAAAGUGCUCUGACAAAGUUAAAACACGUGAAUCUUGCAGCUUCCACUACAUUGCUAUGAUCGAGAAGGGUAAAGGAACAGCGUUACCACUCGAUUUUGGGACAAUUCCUAUAUAUGUCGACCCUCUUCCUCCACAUCCAGGCAGACUUGCAAAUAAAAAAAUGUUCAACUUUUCUUCACAUCCGAGAGGGCACUCUCAGCAGAGUCUCUAAAAAUACUCAGCUUCUUUUCCCCCCGAUAAUACCUCUACAAACAAGCCACACCAGAGCAAGAGUAUCUCAUAUCAUCAGGGUUAAAAGCAAGAGUAUCUCAUAUCAUGCUUUUUCCUUGUCUUUUCCUUUGGCCUUGUUCUUACUUGCAAGAUAAGGAGAAAGAGAGCAAUCAAUCAACACUUGGAAUCAAGCUUCCAGUUAGGAACUGACUGCCUGGAACCCCUUGCCUUAUUACUUACAUGGCAUUGCUCUCGAGUACUCAUUUUCAACAUCUAAUGCUUCCAGAGAAGAUACCACAUAUGCUUGAGGAACAGAUAAGGCAAGUGAGAAGGAUACAAGGAAGUAUGUGGAGACAAGCGUAACAAAACACGUGCCGAUACAUCCACUACUUUGUCAACAGCAAAAGUAUCCCAUAUCAUCAAAGUCGAACGUACUCUAGAUUUGAUGGACUUGUUUUGACCCUCAAAUUCUUGAGUCGGCCUUAUACUUUGGAGGAAACCAGAAAACCUUCCAGCCUAGUUCAAGAAUAAGCCUGUGGAAAUUUACUUCUUCAAAAGCAAAAGUAUCUCAUAUCAUCUUUUCUCUUUUUUCUUCUCUUUAUCCUUCUUGCUGCCUGCAAGAUAGGGAGAAUGAGAACAAUCAGCCAGAACUCGAAAUCAAACUUCUGAUCUAGGACUGAUUACUUGGAACUUUGAUUGCUUACCUUGUCUGUCACCUCUUUCGGCAAAUCUCCUAGCUCGACGGCUUAGGAGACUCCUACUACAUGGUUUGUAUCGUGCUUGACCUAGCCUGAAACUACAAGUAAGCUUCAAGUCAAAUUGAUACAUUACCUUGUGCAUCUCCACCGGUUAAAGAUACCACCCCUGGAUGGAGGAAAAGUACUUUCAGAGAAGAUGCCACAUCUAUUUAUGAGACAAAUAAGGCAAGUGAAGACGAUAUCACACUUCGAUACUUAGAAGUUUCAUGAUUACUCAGCGGCUUGGAUCUUGCAAGUCCCCAACCGAGGAGCAUCCCUCACUCAGGAACCUAGGGAAGCACUGUUUGUACCAUACUUGACCAAUCCUGAACUACUGAGCACUGGUCAACGUUAUACCGUCAAGGACCCAUAAGAGUUUCCUUCCAACCAGGAGGCCAAUCAUAGCGCGGCAUGUGUCGACAUCAGAAACCAAUCAUAGCGCAACACGUGUCAACAUCAGAAGUCAAUCACAACACGACACGUGUCAAUGUCAAAACAAAGAUAGAAACUUUCUUAUAUAGAAGGAGAUCAUUCUCCCACAAUAUUUCCGAAUGUCAUUUGUACUAAAUCAUUCACUUGUACUCACUAAAGGAGAGCUUGAACCUAUGUACGUAUGUAACCCUUCAUAAUUAAUGAGAACUCCUCUACUCCGUGGACGUAGCCAAUCUGGGUGAACCACGUAGCUCAAUAUUGUGGAGGUCAACCAAGAAGACCUUAGUUGCAACUUUUUCGAACCAUGCUGAAAUUCUCGCCUUGCAUGAAGCUACGCGUGAAUGCUUAUGGCUGAGAAACAGUUAUGGAACAUAUUUGAAUCACCUGCGGACUUUGUCAUUGACGUCCCUACAACAAUAUAUAAAGAUAACGCAGCAUGUAUCGAACAAAUUAAGAAGGGAUACAUCAAACGAGACAACACCAAACACACUGCGUCAAAAUUCUUCUUUUCACAUCAGCAACAAGAGCAUCAGAAGAUUGAAAUCAAGCAAAUCUAUUCCCAGGACAACCUAACUGAUCUUUUUACCAAGUCAUGGCUAAAGUCUACUUUUAGAAGCUUGUUCAAGGAAUUGAUAUGCGUAAAUUAUAUGUUUUGAAUUACUUGUAGUUCUCAUUUGGAAGUUUUGUCAAGUUCAGGGGGGUAUCUAGAAUGUGGGACCAUGAUUUUCCUGGGCGGAAGUAAGGCGGAACAAAAUACAAAUACCUCAGAAGUCAUGUCAUGGACUCAACAACUCUGAGCAGAGCUGGAUUAAUGGAGCCAUGAUGCCACCAUCAUCCUAUUCCAGAGUAAUGGGUGAAGCCCAAACAACUUUGUUGAGAAUGCCCAUUCUUGUUCUACAAGAUAUGGAAACCUGACUCAACAUGGAAUCAGCCAGGUUUCCUAUAUAUCAUGGAGUUCUUAUAAUCUAGGAACUAGUAUGCGCCGUAAGUAAUCACACUCUUGACUAGUAUAAAUACCCCCUUAUAGGGUUCAUCUCUAGUAACGCAGUCAUCACACUCUAACUCUCUUACUUACUACUUGAGUCUUAUAUUUACUUACUAACCCGAUCUUUGGCUUUCGCACAGUUGUUUGUUAUUUUAUAGGUUACUCGAAUUUGUGCAUCUCUACCACCUAUAGCGAUGCACGAAUUUGGUUCCAACACAGACGUAUAUUCACUUAAUCUUAAUGUACUCUUUUUAACUACGCUUAGAUGCAAUUUUUCUUUUGUUUUUUUUUUUUUGCUACCUGACGAGGUUUUAACAAGGCACCCAUCUUAGGUUGGUCAUAUCCUUGUGUUCAUUCUACUUGCGUCCUAAAGGUGUUUAGUUUUGACUUAAUGUAAGUUCUCAUUUUUCUCCUAAAACUAUGGGGAUUUAUCCUACUAUGAGUUUUACCAUAGUAACUUUUAUGAAUUCUACUACUUAUGCAUUCUUUCGUUUAAUUUAAGACUUGCAUUCCCUCACUGUGACGACGACUUCAUCAAUUGAACUUACUUCAUCCUUGAAGACCUGAUGCAACAUUUUGUUUUAGUAUUUACACACUCAAGAGGGAGUGUUGCAGUCUUAGUUUAGUUAGGAAUGUGAUUAUGGAAAUCCUAUUGAGAUUCUCCCCUCUUUACUACUAUAAAUAAAGGCACAAUGAAGUGAGAUAACACACACCUCAUAAUUCAUUGAUUCAAGGAUCUAAACUGCCUAUAUUUCAAUUCAUCAACAAUAGAUCAUCCUUAAAAAAAAAUUAGACAAAUCCAAAACCACUAAGACAUUCAGAUGUAUUGAAGAAAAUGAAUUUGGGUGGUUUUUGAUAGAGAUGAUCAUUAAGAAGGAGAUACAAAAGAUAGACGGUUGGAUUGUUAAAAGACAUUACGGAGUGAACCCCACGAAAAGAUGUGUCAAAAUGUUGUAAAAAAGGUGUGCCUCCAAAUCAUCCAAACCCAUAAAUAUACAUAUACGUAUAUUUGGGAAGUUUGGGAACAACAUAUAGGCUUGAGUCCCUGUAGUUAGUGUGCUAAUAUACUUAUUAACUUUUCAGAAAUCAAACCUUUAAGUAUAUAUUUAAGAAGUUUUGGGAAGUUAGUACUGACACACCCUGACUUGGGUAUCCAAGCGAACACCAAAAUCGAGGCAUGUUAGCUGACACAUGAAUGGGUGGUGAGAGCCAUAACAUGCACUGUCAGAGCAUAGUUUAAACUAAAUUAACUAAGAGUGAAGUGCGGGAAUGAACCCUUAGUACAGUGAUGCAGUGUCAUAGCAUAGUUAAAAUUGAAAUAAAAAAUAGAAUAUUCUAUCUUGGUUAGGAUGGAUAUUAUACAACUAAUAGGAGGUAGAAUUCUGACAUUAUUGUACGCAAAUGUCAAAACCACCAGUGGUCCCUCAUCGCCACAAAAUCCAACUACUUAGUCCGGGAGGGGCGCAAAUCAAAGAGCGUGAGUAGGCAAAAAUAAGGGUUUCUAAAACCUUCGCUUUUCAUAACAUAAUAACCCUUUGUUGUGAAACCCUUGUUGCAUCAAAAUACAGCCCUAGCCUUUGUGUGAUGCAUCGAUGUAAACUUCAUAUUCACCACUCUCGUCAGGAAGUACAAGUACUGGAGCGUGAGUGAGGCGAUAUUUAAGUUCUUGAAAACUAUGCUCACAAUCAUCAUUCCACUUAAAAGUCGCACCCUUUCGGGUCAACUUAGUAAGUGGGGCAGCAAUUGACAAGAAAUAUUUCACGAAUCUUUGGUAGUAUCCGACCAAACCCAAGAAACUUCGAAUCUCGGUAACAAUCUUCGGUUACUCGCAAUUGAUAACGGCAAAAAUUUUCUUAGGAUCAACAAAGAUUCCCUCAGCCGAGAUGAUGUGGCCUAAGUAACCAAUGUUAUCCAACCAGAAUUGACAUUUGUUGAACUUCGCAAACAACUUCCUCUUUCGUAACCUUUCCAACAGUAACCUUAGAUGACAGACAUGUUCUUGUUCACACUUGGAAUAUGCCAAGAUAUCCUCGAUAAAGAUCAUCACAAAUUCAUCUAAAUAAGAUUAAAAAUCCUAUUCAUCAAAUCCAUGAAAGUCGCAGGAGCAUUUGUCAAGCAGAAAGGCAAGACAAGGAAUCCAUAAUGACCAUAUCAGGUCCGAAAUGCAAUUUUAGGGACAUCCUCAUCUCGGAUCUUCAACUGAUGACACUUCAAUCUUGAAUCAAUCUUGGAAAAGACUUCUUUUCCUAACAAACAAAAUUGGAGCACCCCAAGGCGAGAUACUAGGUUGAAUAAUACCCUAUCAACCAGUUCUUGUAGUUGAAUUUUCAAUUCUCUUAACUAGGCAGAUGUCAUAUGAUACGGAGUAAGAGAGAUUGGAUUGGUACCUGGUAAAAAAUCGAUGGUGAAUUCAAUCUCCCGAUCAGAGGGCAAUCUAGAUAAAUCCUAUAGAAAUACAUUGAGGUACUUAUUUACGAUCGUCACAUCUUCAACAUUAGGGACUUCUUUUUCUUUAACCGUGACAUGAGCAAUGUAUCCCGCACAUCCUUUAGACAAUAGUCUUUUAGCUCGGAGUCAAGAAAUAAGACUAUUAGGUAAGAUCCUUCGUUCGCCCUUGAAUUUGACAUAUGCUCCUCCAGGUGGACGAAAGAUUACCAACUUCUGAAAACAAUCAAUGUGAGCAUGAUGUCUCGAUAGCCAAAUCAUACCUAACAUAAGGUCAAAAUUUACCAUAUGUAGGGGUACAAGAUCCGUUUCCAUGAGUACUGCACUCAUAAAGAUCAGACAAUUUCUAAAUUCCCAGUUAAUUCGAAUGGUUUCUCCCAUAGGAAACAUAAUCCAAAUUCAUGAUCUAAUAAAGUAUGUUGAACAUUCUCCAUACAAGUAAAUUGAGGAGAUAAACAAGAAUGGGUAGUGCCUAGAUCAAUUAAAAACUCAAGCAAGAUAUCCAAAAGCAUUUAACGUACCAGUGAUAACAUUAGGAUCCUUAUCGGCCUACUGACGAUUCAUUUCAAACAUAUGAUUCUACGUUGCACCACCCGAACCACCAGAAGUAAGUCCACCAUGAGAUCUAUGAGUUUAACCCCGAUGACCCUAUCGGUUAAUCUAACUCCGACUACCAGAAACUCCACCGCUGGACUGUCCCUAGGGGUUGCGUUUAUUGCACCGAACUAUCUCAGACUGGACUAGCUUUAGGGAUUAAGCUAGACUGCUUAGAUUAGACUAAGUUGGACUAACUUAGUGAAGUAUUUGGUACAAUGUCGGACUAAAAAGAGAAUAAUAAAAAAAAUUUCUUUUUUAUUCUUUUUCUUUCUAUUUCUGGAACUCUCUAUCUAUUUUUCUUUUUCUUAUUAUUUUUGUUUUCUAGGACUUUCUAUUUGAUUCUCCAUCUAUUUUUCUUUUUCAUUUUUUUCUUUUCUUUUCUUUUCUAGAACUCUGUAUUCUCUCCCUUCUCUGUUUCUCCAUCUGUAGUCCCCUAAGUUAGUCAAAGUGCACAAAUUGAUAAUCACAAAAUGGAGACAUGCCUCACUUUCAAUUCUCAAUUCCUAAUAUUUUUUUUCCCCAAAUUUCCAAUUCCCACCAAAAACCCCAAUGACUGCUCAUCCCAAUUCCAUCGGCGACCAUGUCAAGUUUUGCCAUUCGACAACCUCUCUCUCUCUUUCCUUUGUUUUCUCGUCUAAAUUCAUCCGGCCAAAUCCCUCUCUUUCCCAAUUUCAUCAGCGGGCAUGGCAAGUUUUCCGGUCUAGGUGGUUCUGAUUCUAAGAUUUUAGGGGGUUUUUGGUGGUUCUGCACUCCAUCGCGAUGCAAGAUUAUGGUGGUGGGUCGAGGGGCUUUAGGAAGACAAGAGGCAGUGACAUAGUCCUAGCUAAUACCAAAGUUUCAGUCGGGACUAGCUAGCGACGCUUAGCGAAGUUCAGAGUCGAGGCGAGUCCGACCUAGAAUCAUUUAAGUUAGUCCCUUGCUACGCCAAACACAGGACUACACAGACUAUUAGUCCAGUCCUAUCCAGUGAAUGUUAACGAUGUCAAACAAACACCCCCAAGAAGUAUUCUACUGAACCAAAUGCGGAGAAGAUUAUGGAACUUAAGGCAUAACAGGUUGAGAAAGCUGGUGAAUAAAAGGAUAGGCAUAUAAACUGGGCUGAAAAAACUAUUGCCCAUCAGCAGGAUAAGGUGCAAGCUAUUUAUAUGAAUUAUGCGGAACUUCAUGUUCAAGUUGCUAAGUCAUUUCAUAAGAUAUCCCCAACUGUUGCCUCAGAUAAGGGCAAUUCCUUAGAAAAUGUCUUGACUGACAACAAUUGAAGCAAAGUCUCAUACCCGGUCUACACUCCCCAUCAUGGUAUGUGAAGCAAAUAGUGUAGAAAGGUAUGUGGUCCUUACAAAAAGAGCCACCCCAAGAUUCAUUGCCAGAGAAUCGGCCAUUGCUGGUAAAACCCUUGCUGGCAUGAGGUGUAGUAUUGUUAGAUCCACCGUUAGUAGACCCAGAAAACUGACCUUUCUUCUUAAUAGCUACCUUACUCUUCAUUCCGCCCAUGGACAAUGCUUCCUUGAUAUUUUUGGCCUUAAACUUACUCUUAAAUACACCAAACUGUCAUCCACCACCACUAGUGCUCGUUUGUUUACCCUUCGCUAUCUGAUUUUCCUUCUUCUAAUUAAUCACUUAUUCAACUCGCUAAGCUGUGUGGAAAGAUGUCUCAUAAGUGACACCGUCGCUAACAAUGGCAUAAGUGCACAAUUCCGGAUUAAGGCCAGAAAUAAACUGCUUUCUCUUCUCAUCAGCACUAUCUUGAAUACCCGGGCAAUACUUGACCAAUCGCCAAAAUUCUCGCUCAUAGUCAACAACAGACAUAUCCCAUUGCUCGAGAACCAAAAACUCUCAUCUCCUGAUAGCUUGAAACUCAAGACUCAAAAAAUUACUCUUGAACUACUCCUCGAAAAGAUCCCAAGUCCAAACCUCAUCAGCCUGAAUGUUGUGACGCUCUGUCUUCUACCAAUUCUUAGCGUUGUCAACCAUGAAGAAAGUUGUUGUGCUUACUCUCUAGUCCAUCGGACAUCAUCCAUAUGCUCCAACCAAGAUUCAACUUCUUCCCCGACUCCACGACCGUCAAGAAAGUAAGGACCAUGACUCACGACAAUUUUCGCCUAAGUGCGACCACGAUUUGCAUCAGGAAUCAGUUGGGCUAAUGCCUCAGUUAACUGUUGUAAUCCCAAAAUAGGAAUAUGUUCACACCUAGGUGGCAUAAUUUGCCAAGUAGACAUUAAAUAAUUAGCACAAUUACUGGCAUCAUACAAUGCAAAUGUAUGUUUCCCCUAACCAUGCUCUGAUACCAAACUGACACACCGCAACCCUAAUAACACAAGUUAUAAGGCCAUAAUGUGCUGGCCGACACUAAAUUGACCAUAUGACCCCAUUAAGAGACAACGUCACAUGCCAACUUAAUGACGAAGCCAUAGUAAGGUAUUUAUGAUGUGCAAGAAUUUGAACAAAAACGUUCAUCACUAAUAAAUCCAAAGCUUCUACAAGUUCGCUUAUCAACCUCCCCACUUGGGGACACGAAUUAUCUCGAGAUUAACUGUCAUUAUUAUCACAUCACAUUAGAGCAACUAGAAGUUUCACACAACUAUAAACACAUAAAAGCACAGUAUUAUGCAUGAUCAAAAGUGCGAUCAUGCAACUAUUACAAUAAAGAUAAAACUAUAGUAAAUGAACCAUCAUCCUAAAUCCAUAUGAUGAAAGCCUCACUGCCAAGCCCACUCGUCACCAUCGGCAUUCUCCUUAUUCUCGUUACGUCCUAAAGGGGUUGACAAAAAAAACGUAAAUGGACCAGUUUUAUCACAUUUAAAGUUAUUCAACAUAAUAGUCCCUGUUUUGAAAACAUGUAUAGUGAAAUUUACAUACACAGUAAUACUACAAUAAUAGUAGUCAAGACCAACUCAAUCGUGCUCAUCAUAUCAAAGAAAGUAAAUCAAUCACAAAUAACGUAAUGUAUAGCAAGCAGGUAAAGUGACAUCUACCUGAUCGAUAUCUAGCAUCUACUAGCACAUUCUAGCCUCUAUUAGAAAAAAGGUACUUGCAAUAAGUCCUACGGCCAUAGCUAGCUAUAUGUAUGAUAACCAUGUGAUGAAAAUAAAUCACCAAUGAUCUCAAGAUAUCUUCUAAAUACAAUUCAAGCAUAAGUCUUGUAAGACCCAACAAUAUCACCUCUCCAGUGGACAUAACAUAAGCACGCACCCUAGGACACGACUUGGAGUGAAUAGAAAGCUAAGCCUACCCCCGAAGAGGAUCGAUCUAAUCAGGUGAUACCCUGAUACUAUCGAAUACAAACAAAUCAACUCUGGAGAGAACCAAGUCAAUCAAGAGUACAUACUCCACCAGCUGUCCAGGUACUAGGCUGCGCAGGCUAGCCUGCACAAUACCUUCUAGGCCACGUGAUGUGCCAUGCGAGGCAGUUUGGCACAGCCACUCCUCUCACCCACGAUGGAGAAAAGACAAAGUGUCCUUCUCCGACAUGGCAUUCGUAUGUCAGAUCGAUCUCCUUGUUGGACCCUUUAUUCCAAGCUAUGCAAGGGAAUGUCUAGUGAUGUGGACCGACUUCAUAGGGGGCCUAUAAAUAUGCCUGGUGACCCUUCACCAUAGGUAAGCCCAUCAACACCCCCAUAAAUACACUUUGCACCCCUCUCUACAAUCAUUGACUUAAGCAUCGGAGCCUCCACGCCAGGAAAUACCCUUCUCGGUGCUCAGACUCACAAUGUUGGCCUGUUCUUCAUCUACAGGUUUCACUCCACGGUGGUGGAAAAUCGGCUCCAACAAGUCUUAUCAAAGACUAACAUAAGUAAUAUGCAUCCGCAUAUAAAAUCAUAUAUAUAUAUAUAUAUAUAUGAUUUUAUAUAUCUAUAUAUAAUCGUAAAAACAUUUAGUUGUUCAAAGGGGUCCACUCAUAGGUAAGUAGAGUAUCCCUCCUCAAUAUGCUCCUUGCCUAAACUCUUUCGAUCCUCUAAUAAGUCAGUAAUAAUCAUAUAAAUCUAAGUUAUCUUUAAUCGACAUUUUAUGGAAAAUUGUCCAAAACUACCAUUUAGGUAAUGAAUUUGCACAAACGGAGGGUGUCACGUGAAUUUAAAACACCGAAAAACUAUGGAUAGGUCACAGAUCAUGCACGCGCCGUAGCGAUUAUGUCAUGCACUGUCAUGCGCCGCCAUGGGCCGUCAACGUCGUACUCACCACCGUUGUUCAGUGAGUAGACGUCACGCUUGCCAUCGCCAGUAUGGUGAGGUUUUAAGUGAGUUAACCAAAUAUACCUGCUCCGUUAGUAGAUAACGGAAAUUCAGUUCCUUCUAUUAAGGUUAAUAGAUGAUCAUCGCCCGUCGCCAUCGCUGGUUCCUUAAGUCUCGCCAAUUUGAAUGAUUUCAACGCCAAAAUUUGUGUAAUUUAGUCCUAAAUAUGAUCAGGAACUUACCUAGACCCUUUUUAAGACGAUGAGAGGUUGAAUCCACCUCAAAUUGAACGAGUGAAGCUAGAAACUGACAUACAACUAGGUUAAUUACUUGGGUUCGAUUCUAGUGGAGUCCAUGCACCACCAGUCAUAAACUCGUUGGAGUUCAUCCGUUCACACUCGCCGAGAACUGCAAAAAGAUAUAAGGUGCAUUCAGGGGUUAGGACUCGAUUAUGGAGUUAAAAACCUCAUCCCAAGUAUCACAAAAACUAUUGGAGAGAAUAGAAGUACUAGGACACCCACCGGUUUCUAACUCAACGAUAUUUCACCGAAAUUCGUCGACAAGGCUGGGUUCGAAGGUACAGAAAAUUGCUUGCAGAGGUUGAAACCCUCGAGUUUCAACAUAAAACUAACACCACAGGGUGAAAAACAACAUGAUUAAACCCGGAAAUUCAAAGGAUAAACAGAGGCCUCACCUGGGUAUGAAGUUUGAGAGCUUCUAGCUCUUUGCUUUAAUGGUGCCGAGGUCCACACUGCACCGAUCUCACAUGCAAGACCACUAUUCUGAUCCUUGCAUCCCACAGACUUCGAACAUGUAAAAUUUAGGUUUGAUUUGUGAAGGUAAGCGAUGUAAGUAUAAACUAACACACAAAUUAAACUAUAAAUUAUGCAAUCGUAGUACGAGUAAGUAGGGAUCGCUCUCUUCUGGAGAUUAGAAGUGAUGCUAAUCAACACAGAUUGAACUUAAAAAACUCAAAACUAAGUUAAACUAAUAAAAAAACAGUGACUGGGGGGAUUUUGGACGAAUUUAAUUAAAACAAAAGUAAAUGGCAAGAAGUAAAUUAACUUGUGAAUGAAAUAUGGAUUAAAAUGUAGCUAAAGGAUUCUUCUCCACACAUGAAUCAUAUGCAUACAAAUCGAUUUCCAACUAUUGUUCCUAUAAACCAUGAAUGACAAUGCCCAAAUUAAUCGUGAAUAGCACUAAUUAACUCGCUAAAUCCAUUGAAUUAGACUCAGCGACGCAACCAAAUUAUUCUUCUCAAGUUCCCUAACUAUGAAAACCAUAAUAAAGAUACAUCUCAAAGAUCAUUAAGUUCUGUGAAAAUCAUAAGCAUCGACAAAGCAUUCAUAACUAUGAAAAACAUGAUAUUCCUGCCAAGGAUUUACUUAACAUAAUCAGAACUAGUAACUUUUAAUACUUACAAAUAUAAGUUUAUAACAAUUAGGUGAAAUUCUCUUAUAUUCUAGCAUAAAAUCCCUGCAUGCAAACUAAGUAUGCAUCCUUAACAAGCAUACAAGAAUAAGUUCUCUAUAAAGCAGAUAAGUAAAUCACAUUCAUGUUUUAUGAAACAAUAACUGGAUGUAAUCAAUUUAUAUAAAACAUGUGAUCAUGGCUUCGAAUUCAUCUCUAGCUGUAAAAAAAACUUAGUUGCACAUGUUCAUCAUAAACGAAAAAUAUUCUAAAAUAAACAUUGAAACUUAAAGCAAAGAUAGAGAGAAAUUUGGAAAGUAAGGUUUACAAACUGAUCCCUUGUAGAUGGAAUGGGAUUCAAAUGGGAUGCCGCAAAGCCUUACAAGAAGGCUUAUUUAUACAUGUCAGAAAAGUAAAUAACCAUACAAGUGGCUUUGAUAAACAACACAAAGCAAGGACUAACACAUGCAAAACAAAUGAUGGUGUUCAAUGUCUUUACACCUUGUCAAACACAUGCAGCAACUUUGGGCCUUUUACACACACAUUUUCUGCUAUCUUUCUGUUGUCUUUCCACUGAUAGGAAUCGACAGUUUCAGCCAACACAUGGAAAGGUAGUGUGAAGGAAGCAUGAGUGCACAAACAGCUAGCAGCACAUGGGAAGGUAGUGUGAAGGAAGCAUGAGUGCACAAACAGCUAGCAACACAUGGGAAGCUCUUUUUGAACUUCCAAUCUCUUUAACUAGGAUUCCUUCAGAUUUUAGCACACGUUCAACGCCUUUUAAACACCAAAAUGUCCAAACCAUAUGCUAUCCAACCCAAGUCCAAAACUGUUCCAAAUUGCUCCAUUUGAUUAUUUAUUGUCAUCUUUACCCACUGGACCUACAAUAAUACGAAAAUGACUUAAAUUACUAUAAUAAAUGAAAAAUAACUAAGUAAAUGCAAAGAAAUAAGAUAACAAAGUCGCAUGUAUAUGCUACUACCAGUAAGUGAGAGAGUGAGAGCUUUCUUCUCUUGGUGCUAGAGAGAGAGAGAGUGAGUUUGAGAGAGAAAAAGAGUUUAGAGAGGGAGUGUUCUAAAAAUGAGGGAAGAGAGAGGACCGGAUGUGGAUUUAAUCCCGCUUAAAAUAAUUUAAAUGAAAUCACCCAAUUACCCUCCAUAGUUGCAAAAAUAACAAUUAUGCCCUCAUGGUCUCGAUUCGAAAUUCGUUUCGAAAUUGAACUAACUUCUGAGAAAAUUAAACUUAGAGAUAGUAAAAGAAUAUAAGUUUCGAGUCGAGGCUCGAAAAUUAAUUAAGACAUCCACUCGGACAAAAUAGUCAUUUCACAUAUCUUGGGAAUAAAAUACAAUAUUUCAAGAAAAGGGCCGUAACACUUUGGGCAUCCGAAAAAUUUUAAAUGUGUAAAGUUAAACAUAACUAAUGAAUUUGCUGAUGUGGAUUAUAAUCAAUGAAUUUUAUUCAAGUAAAAAACUUUUGUCGGUUUUUAUGUGAACAAAAUUAAGUUUCAAAAGCUAAAGUCAUAUUUUCAGUCAAAAAAAACUGGCUCGAGUUCCGUUUUACGCACCUUUUUUUCUUUUUCCUCCUAGUCCAUGCAGCUGUUUAUUGGGGCAUCAAUUUAUUGUGCAUUUCUUACAACACCGUUAGACUUCAGUCUUUUACAAGAUCGAUUCUCCUCGUAUGAGAGUCUCACCUGGUCUUGCGUAAGAUUGACAUCCUUGUCAUACCCCCUCCUUUUACGAGAUCCAUUCUCCUCAGAUGAGAGUCUCACCUGGUCUUGCAUAAGAUUGACAUCCUUGUCAUACCUCUGUCUUUUACGAGAUAGAUUCUCCUCAGAUAAGAGUCUCACCUCGUCUUGCAUAAGAUUGACCUCCUUGUCAUACUCACUGGAAAGUGUCAUAGGAUUGGAAAAUUCAUCGACUACAUUUUCCUGCUCCAGGUAAACCCCUAUUUUCUGCACCCUCAGAUGAAUAUCGUCUGUACUCCCGUGUCCUACAAAGCUUGCACCAACAUUUAUCUUGUCCCCAGCGUUCACUUUAAGCGUAUUGUUUGAUAAAUGUCCCAGCCAAAUAUUACUUUCAUGGCGAUUUAGUACGGUGGCAAACAUUGGAGAGCUUGAAAUCUCAGUUUCUUUGGUACGAUUUUCAACACAGAUGCAAAGAGAAUCACUAGAUUGGGAGUCGUUGCAAGAAUAAACGAUGCACAGAGUCAAUGCCUUUGCAUCAUCACCAAAACAUUGCGGCACAACUAUUUCUUUCUUAGGGUCAACGCAUGUAAACCCUGAUGGAAGAUCAUUUCCGGGGAUAAAAAGAGCAGAAACUAUUUCAUCCUUAGGGUCAACGCAUGUAAACCCUGAUAGAAGAUCAUUUCCUGGGCAAAAAAGAUCACCAUUUCUGCUCGCGCUCCAUCCCUAUGCCAUGGAGUAAGAUUUGUACAAAAAGUUAAUAAAUGCAUGUAUGUAUAGGCUGUAUACGGAUGGGUGCAGAUAGAGAGAGAGAGGACCUGUAGGAUUGCUUUUCUAAAAGCAGCAGUGAGAUUGGUGCACCCUUCCAUAUGAAUCCUUCUCAUAGUGUUUAACGACUUAUGCAAGCCUAGAAUCUUAGUGAGUUUGGGGGAGUGAUUCAGAUGCAGUUCUACCAUACUCGACAUUUCCGAAAAAUCUGGCAUCUUUUUCAAUGCAAUGCACUCAUCCGCUUUCAGGAUUUCCAAAUUUGUUGGUAAAUCUGGGAUUUCCUCAAGAUUUUUGCAUUUUGCAACAGAUAAAUACUUAAGGUUCUUCAAUUGUACUACAGAGUGGUGAAUCUCGGACAAACUCUUACAGGCUUCGAGUAUCAAUAUCUCAAUAUUUGGGAUUCUUGAAAAGUCUGGUGAUUGUUUCAGGUGAUCACAAUAACCAAGAUUGAGAAACUUCAACUUUUCAAGUGACUGCAAGACAAAAAGGGAAAACAAGUAUCAAAAUUCAAAUAGAAGAGAGAGAGCAUGAUGUUGGUAUGUAAAAACCUGGUGGAAAGAAUUGAUAGUUUGGUUGGGUUUGUAUCGUACCACGUUGUCAUUCCAGACUUUUAUAUUGCUAUAACUCAGGUCGACAUCAACUACGUUUGGUUGAUUAAAAUCUUCUGGUAUGGCCUGCAGAGGAAAGUCAGACAAACUUAACCAUCUUAACUCUUCGGGAAGAUGUUUGCAGUCUCCAGUGAACUUUACGCCUCUUAUUUUGAGUAAUCUCAGGUUCAGCAUCAUUCUGAAUGCUUCUGUACUGACGCUAAGCUUGUCAGGUUCUGAAAAAUCUAAAGUGAUUCCUUCGAUUUUUUUCUUUUCCUGUUAGAAAGCAAAAGAAACUAAAGUAAGACGAGGGUUAUUUGCUUAGACUUUAACCGGUGCAGAGCACCAGUACUGGAUCAGUGACAAGAGUUUGCUUAGACAUCAGUUUUGUUUGAACAAUCUAAAUUAGUCAUCUGUGUUACAGGGAUAAUUUUCAAAUAAUUCAGUAAAUAAAAUCAGCAUUUUUUUUCUCAUUUAUUACAAACAUGUAUUAAAUGCAAUUUGAUUGAGGAUGUACUUACACAUUUUUUCGUCAAUACGUGUUUUACAUCCUCAUGAUGCCACAAUCUACAGCGACUUUCAAGCUUCUUAGGGGAUUUAGCACGUACAAUUUCUCUGCCCGUGUCUCGAAUCAAACAAUGCAUCAUCAGAUUGCCUUCUGGAUCAACAGUUACAAGGCAUCGCUCCUCGAGUUCCUUAAUACCUAUUGCUGGAUUACUGUCACACCCAUCCAAUAUUGCCAUGACAUGGUGCUUGUUCAUUCCAAUAAAGAAACAGGAUAUGUCAAGGAAUAUAUCCUUCACCUUGUCAUCAGUAAGCCCGUCAUAACUUACCUUAAAAAUUUCAUGAGUUAUGCUAGGCUGUAGUCUUUUCCAUUUUUUCAAUGCAUCUGUCCAUUCACUUGUGGUUUUUGUACAUAGGUAAGAACCUACAGCUUCAAGUGCAAGUGGUAAACCCCCACAAUAAUCAACAGCUUCUCUUGAGACUUUGAGAUAUCCUUCAUUAGGAGAACUUUUUCGAAACGCAUGCCAACUAAGGAGCUCAAGAGCUUCAUUGUUAUUCAUUGUCGGUAGAGAACAUGCAUCAUCCACCACUUCAGGUGUCUUUAGCAAAUUUUUAUCUCUUGUUGUUAUAACAAUUCUACUUCCCGGACCAAACGAGUCAUGUUUUAUAGCUAAUGCAUUUAUCUGUCUCACACUGUCUACAUCAUCAAUUAUGACAAGAACCCUUAUGUUGCGAAGUCUUGUUUUUAUCUCCUCCGUCCCUUCAUUGACUGUACUCACAUUUAUGUUGGCCGAUCUCAAGAUUUUAGACAGAAGAAUGUUUUGCAAAUCAACCAUUUUCUCAUUUCUCACAUUUUCAAGAAAACAUGCACCAUCAAACCUGUCCUGGUAUGUGUUGAAAAUGGCUUUUGCAAUUGUUGACUUACCUAGCCCGCACAUCCCCCAAAUUCCAAUUAUGCGAACAACAUUUGAUCCUCCAACAUCAAAAUAAUUACUGAUUUUUUGGCGGCGAGAAUCUAUUCCAACUGGAUUUGCGGCUACAUUUAAGCAUCCAUUCUGCAGUUUUAUAGCGAUCUCCUCAACAACUUUCCUGAUAAACCUUGCUUCACGCCUGGAAUUAAAAUUCAUAAUUAAGAAAAAGUAAGAUCUACUAGUUAAACUUCUAAACAUUCAUUAGGAGUGUGUAAGAUUCGAAUAUAUUAGUUAAACUUCUAAACAUUCAUCACCAACACACUAAUAUUUAGUGAGAUAGAUCAAGCGUUUAUAUAUUAAUCCUCGUAUCAGAGUUUCUAAGCUUUGCGAUUAUAUUUUGAAAAACAGAACGAUUCAAAGAAUUACUUUGUUAGAGGAAAUAAGCAAGUUAUUACCCGUUAUUCACUCGAAAAUGCUCGCCGCUCAACUCUGCAGCUGCAGUAAGUGCCUCUCUCCACUCCUGGACUUUUUCUUCCGUAAACUUUUGUUCAUGGUUCUGAAACGCGGUUGCAAAACUACCAGUCUGAUGCCUGACAUCUGAAGGAUCAACAUCGUAGAAAAUCGGAAAAACAAGUUGACCCCGUUUUCUGCACUCCAUGAUCUGCACCAGCUCCUGAAGACACCAUCUGGACUCCGCAUAACGCUUUGAGAACACGAUGGCAGCAAGUUUGGACCCUUUGAUUGCUCGCGUCAGUUCUUCUGAUAUAGCAUCCCCUCUAGGUAAUUCGUCCUCGUCCAGAAAGACAUUGAACUUGUAGUCUUUUAAUGUACAGUAGAGGUGGUCCGUGAUGCCCAUGCGUGUUUCUUCGCCUCUAAAGCUCAAGAACACGUCGUACUUGCUGCCCGGGUUCUCCAUCUGUUCAACGAUUAUGUCUAAUCGGAACUGCAAAAUGGAACCAGGGGCAGAUGGUUUUUGAAUCGAACUAGCAAAGGAAGUCAACCACACAUCUACCCAAAAAAAAUGAACCUUAUAAUAACCCUAGAAUCGCUAUUCACAUACUCUUUCUUUUCCUUUUUUCUUUUUUCUUUUUUUCGGGUAUAAACAGUUAAUAUUAAGGAAAACUAAUGAAAAGGGUUUGAAAACUUUGAGUUUUAAUGAUAAGGACAAAAUUAAGGGUAAAGUGAAUAGUACCAGGAUUGACUUUUUAGUGUAAAAAUGUAGUUUUUCGUUAAAGUGAACAGUACCGGAUGCUUUUCGUUAAAAUCCCCUUAUUAUCAUUGCCAUAGAAAAUUUACAGAACAAAGCUAACAAGGGCCCAUACUAUAAAUACAAUUAUACAAAGCAAAAAUUGACCUUACAAACUACAUGUCAAGGGCCUAAAAAAGGGCUAAGGCCCAAAAACAAACACCGAAAGAAAGCCUUAGCCUUCUGCUACAUCCGCUGCUGCAGCACCACCCGAGCAGCAUGAACCAUGGACACCAACGAACAUCAAAAUUCCGACCAAUUAACGCCUCAGAGAUGGGAGGAAGGAAGACCAGUAAUCCAUCAAUGAAACUCUCUCCGAACGCAACCUCCAAGUAGAAGCAAACAAAGAAGCUUGUGAGAUUCCCACAAGUGACGCUGCCAAUAAAGACAGAUCGAGAGAAGAAGGUUGUGCGGAAACCCGAGCCAAUAAGCAUACCGGAGCUCUACACACCUUCUCAAUCAAUCAUUCCUAUACUACAAGAUGUAUUCCAAAGUAUUUACAUUUUUUAACGAAUGUAUGGUUUUAAUAACUUAUUUGCAAAUAAAAAUCCAGGAAUUAGAGGCUGUGAAGGCCUAAUCGGAUAAAUGGUCCCCGUGAUGUUAAGGUAAUCGGAAAGUAGCCCCCGUGGUAAAAAAUUUAGGAUUUAAACCCUCGUGAUGUGGUCCGUUAGCAAAUUUAGUCCAAAAGUGAUUUUUCAUUAAAUUCGUCAAAUACAAGGGUAAAAACGUAUUUUGAUGUGUGCACCUUCUUCUUCAAUGUUCAAUGUUCAAUCUAAAUUACAAUGAAAGUUAGGUCCAAUUCUAAAUUUUACUCGACACAAAAUGUCGAUGUAAAAAAUAAAAUUCAAAAAAUUGUAAAAAAUAAAAUUCAAAAAAUUGAAGUGCCAUAGUGAAGCCUUGCAGCAUGAGCAACAGAGAUGCUCUUAACUGCAUGAACCCUGGAAGCCCACAAGUCAACGUCCAUGGUGGUGGUUCAACUCUCCGGCGACCCAAGUCAGCUUUUUUCAACGAGAACUGGUGGAAACCGCCCCUUGGGGAAAUGGGUUUGGACCAAAAGGCUUAAGGUUUCAAGCUUCUCUUAGGGAAAUGGGUUUGGACCAAAAGGCUUAAGGUUUCAAGCUUCUCUUAGGGAAAUGGGUUUGGAUCAAAUGGCUUAAGGUUUCAAGCUUCUCUCUCUCUCUCUCUCUCUCUCUCUCUCUCUCUCUCUCUCUCUCUCUCUCUCUCUCUCUCUCUCUCUCUAUAUAUAUAUAUAUAUAUAUAUAUAUAUAUAUAUAUAUAUGUUUGUUAAAAUCCCAAUUGUUGUUGUAAGAGCAACUCCAUCAUGGGAAACCCCCCCAGGCUAUUUGAACAGUAAUUGUCUUUUGCAUCUUCACUGUUGCACUUGAAUAGCCCUGGCAAUAAGCAAUAAAAUAUUAGUUUUUUUUAAAUAAUACAAAAUAAUUUUAUUUGUAAUUUCGGAUAAGAUUUUUAAUAGUUCUCGUUGCGCCACGUGUCAUUAUCCGAAAAGACAAUUAUUGGUGAUGGAUUUCGAUAAGAUUUUUAUCCAAUGUCGUGCCACGUGUCGUUACCUUUUCAAAAUCUUUGAGGAUAGAUUUCAAUCAGAUUUUAAAUCGUUCUCAUUGCGCCACAUGUCAUUAUCCGAAAAGACAAUUAUUGGUGAUGGAUUUCGAUAAGAUUUUUCUCUAAUGCCGUCGUGUCAUGUGUCGUUACCUUUUCAGAAUCUUUGAGGAUAGAUUUCGAUCAUAUUUUAAAUCGUUCUAAUUGCGCCACGUGUCAUUAUCUGAAAAUAUAAUUAUUGGUGAUGGAUUUCGAUAAGAUUUUUAUCCAAUGUCGUCGUGCCACAUGUCGUUACAUUUUUAGGAUCUUUGAGGAUAGAUUUCGAUCAAAUUUUUAACGAAUGACGGCAUGCCACGUGGAUAGCACAUGUAUAGGCCAAGUUGGAUGGACAAAUUUGGAGUUCAAAAGGCUAGGAAUCUGAUAAGGAGAUGAAGAAAUUAAAUUCAAGACAAAGAAGAUAAGGAAUCAGCUCAAAAGAAUGAGAUAUUAUCCAAAACCUUAUCCAACCUUAUCUUAUCCAAACAAACAUUAUCUUAUCCUAUCCUAUCCUAAUCUUUUCCUAACUUAAUUCCUGCUGCAAGGGGGAGUUAAUUUCUGAUUUAAAUCACCUAGAAACCUUUCUAGAACGCCUUAUAUGUUCCUACAUUGGUGUUGCAUGCUUUUAGGCCUUGUUCUUCUAGAAAUCAGCCACAUAACAUUGUUUCUAGAAUUCCCUACAAAAGUGGCGCCCCAAACCCUUCUAGAAACCCUAAAAUCUGCACAAACCCUAGUUCUUUUCCCUUUUGGAUUGAGGCCCAAGCCUUGGCCCAAAAUUCUAAGCCUUUUCCCAUCAGAAUUUGUGAAAACCCUAGCCUAUAAAUAGAUGUUUUCAGCCACAAAUUCAUACACAACCCUCUACCAUUCAGAAACACCUCUCAGCCGCAACAGUUCAUCAUUCUACACCAUUCUACACCAUUCUCCACCACCAUACAUCCUUGCCGCAGCCCCCCUUCAACCUAAAUACAUUCCUGACCCUUCCAUUCACCCAUAAACAUCCAUAGACACUUGUGCCGCAGCAAGGUGUGGAAGAAGAAGGGCAUUGGUGUUUCAUGCUUGCAGAUUGGAGCGUUUUAGGUGUACUUCGUUCUUGUUUUCAAUGUUUACUUUGUUAUUACUUUCUGAUUUUGAUGUAAUCAUGAGUGGCUAAACCCCUAUUUAGUUAGGGGGAAGUUUGAAGCCAUGAACAUGCUUGAGAUAUGAAUUUAUUACUUCCAAUUGUGAUUUGUUAAGUUGUGAUUGCAAUUCAAUUAUCUGUUUUAUUGAUAACUGAUUCUUAUAUGUUUAUUAAGGAUGCAUACUUAGUUUUCAUGCAUGAAUUAGAUGCUAGAAUAUAAAUGAGUUUCAUCUAAUCGUUACAAGUUUAUAUGCAUUAGUAGUGAAGGUUGCUUGUCACAAUCACGUUAAUUGAAUUCUUGGCAAACAUAUCAUGCAUUCAUAGUUACAAUUGUCUCAUCAACACUUAUGAUUUUCAUGAAACGUAAUGAUCUCUGAUUGUAUCUCUAUUAUGCAUUCAUGUAGGGGACUUUUAGAGAAUGAUUUGGGUUGUUGCAUGCAUUCAUCCAAUCCAAUGAGUAAAGGAAAAUCUGAGGGUUAAUUUGUGCAUCACGGUUAAUCUGGGGUGUUGAGCAUCAUAAUCUAUUAAAAAGCAAUUGGAAAUCGAUUCAUGUACAAGUGUGUCAUGUGUGAAAAACGGACCUCUAACUAAUCCAUCCAUCAUCUUAUUUCUCAAAUUCGUUUUACAAUCUGCCUGGUUUUAUAACUUGUUUAUUUAUUUCAAAUUCGUCCAAAUCAAACCCCCCCCCCUUUUAUUUUCUUGUUUCAAAGUGUUUCAAAUCUGUUUUGUUUGUGUUUUUGAGUGUUUUAAUUCAAGCCAAAACACUAAAGUCGUCCCAAGUUGUGUUAGAGUCAGAAACUGCCCAGUUUGUGUUUAUAGGCAUUUUUUGAGUGUUUUUAAGUUGUUUUGAGUAUUUUGAACCUGGUUUGAGUUCCUUAAGUCUAUUCAAAUGUUUUUAACUUUGUUUUUAUGUUUUUGAGUCAGUUUAGAGGUUUUAGCAAGCCCUCCUAAUCCCCGGUUUAGAAUGAUCCCUACUUGCAUUUAUACUACAAUUUGACAACAAGAGGGUUUAAUUUGAGUGCUUAACUUUUAUCACAUCAAUCAGUAAGAGGAAGAAUUGUUUAACCAAUCCAAAAGAAUGUUCAAUCUCCAGGUGGCCCAAAAUGAGAUGGAAGAGGAUGAAGAGCGUAGAAAGAGCAAUGACGAAGCAAGAAUGGCUAGAGCCUCACAUUCCUGUCGAGUCAUCCAAGUUGUGGCUCAGAUCUCCAAGCCCAGCCUUUCCAUAAACCUUGAUAGAAACAUGCAACAACGAGGUGUGGACCUCUUGGACGAUUUUGUCCGUAACAGUGCAUUCCCUAAUACGUAUUUCAGACGUCGUUUUAGAAUGGAACGACAUUUGUUCAACAAAAUCAUGAUUGUUGUUUGCAACCAUGAUUCUUACUUUGUGCAAAAGAAUGAUGCUUUUGGUGAUAUGGGUCUCAUUCCUGAGCAAAAAAUUAAUGUUGCGAUGCGGAUGCUUGCAUAUGGAGCAUUUACAAACCAAGUGGAUGAGAUAGCGAGGAUGGGGAAAUUAACCAUUCUUGAGUCCCUGAUGAGGUUUUACGGAGCAAUCGAAUCUACACCGUAGAGUACCUUCGGAAAGCUACUAACAUGGACUUGCAAAGGCUUUUGAUGAAGGCAGAGGUGCGAGGCUUUCCUGGGAUGAUUGAAAGCAUCAAUUGUAUGCACUAGACGUGGAAAAAUUGUCCAAGUGCAUGGCAAUGCGCUUAUGGGGACAGAAAAUGAGCAAAAAGUAUCAUUUUAGAGGCGGUGACAUCUUUUGAUACAUGGAUUUGACACGCCUUUUUUGGGGUUUCGGGAGCUCAAAAUGACCUAAAUGUCCUUGCCCAAUCCACAAUGUUCAACGAUGUCCUGCAAGGAAAGGCACCAAAAGUCACGUACUGCGUUAAUGGACAUAUGUACGACGGGCCAUACUACCUAGCAGACAACAUUUACCCAAAGUGGUCAUCAUUUGUUAAAACAGUGCCACGUCCGCAAAGUGCAAAGGAAAAACACUUAGCAAGCUGUCAAUAGGGGUGUAGGAAGGAUGUGGAGCGUUGUUUUGGUAUCCUCUAAGCUCACUGGAUGAUUGUCAGGGGUGCUGCGAGAAUGUUUGAUGUAAAGUCGCUUCGAUCCAUCAUGAUGACGUGCAUCAUUCUUCAUAACAUGAUUGUGGAAAAUGAGUACGAUUAUGAUGUCGUUGAUGAAUAUGAGCCAAACACGAUGAACAAUUCAAGAACAUGUAUAUAUUGUGCUCAUGACGCCACCGAAGAACCCGUGCAACAUGAGCCAUUAGAAAGGGAUGGAUGUUACAAUGAAUUGAUCGUUCAACAAUAUACUGCACUUCAAAGGCCAUAUAUGCACAAUGCCCGAUAAAUUGACUUGAUAGAGCAUCAGUGGGAAUUGAAACAAGCUCAAGAUACUUAAGUUCAUUUAGUGUAUUUGUUUUUUAUUUGGUGUGUUUAUUUAAUUUUAUUUGGUGUGUUUUUUUUAGUUCAUUUAGUGAGUUUUUUUUAUUAUUUGGUAUGUUUAUGUAAUUUUAUUUGGUGUGUUUAUGUCAUUUGAAAUAAAUUACCAAAAAGUACUUUAUUCAUCAUCACUUUAAAUAAAAUACUAAAUUCAAUAAAUUGGAAACAACAUAAAGUAUUCUAUUCAAUAAAUAAUAAAUUACAAUCCAAAAUGAUUGGAAAAUUAUGGGCUCCGAUUACAAAAAGUACUCUAUUCAUCAUCACUUAACCAAUUUUGAAGACAUCGCAUGUACUUCGACUAUGCUCAACAUUAGCUCUUAACCAUGUCUCACAUGUGGCAUAGUGAAGUGAGGUGAAUCUUGGAAUGAUUUGAAUAUUCGCAACUAAGGUCAUAUCGUUGAACCCCCAAGAUAUUGCGGUAUCCCUAAUGGUAAAGACAUAGACAUUUGGGGAUGUCCCUUGUGUGGGUUUGAUAAACAUCUUGCGUCAACAUAACAAACAAGGCUAGGAUCAUUCUGAUGAUCAAGGGAUCGGAUCUGCUCGAGAUGUGUUGGGAUUAGCCCAAAUCCGUAGUACCUUUAGGGUAGCAAAAAAAUGUCCUUAUUACCAAUUCAGUGGUUGCAUGUAGGCGCGAUACUACAUCUUUAUUAAUAGAUUAACAACGAAUGAGAUAUCAUGUCUAACAUAAUGAGCUAAGUACAACAAAGCGUAAAGUUGAACUCAGAUAUGGAACUUUAGAUUCCAUAACCUUUUCAAGGGUCUCAAACAACGUUGGAACUUCAGGUCAAGGCAUAAAUGAGUCCUCAUCUCAAUUCCCAUCCUUAGGUGUUAGACAGUUUUCUCAAGCUUUUCUAGAGUCCUAAUGAGAUGCAUGUCAUCGACAUAAACUGUGACUCUAGCAAUUCGGAAUAUGACUUCAUAGUUUAACACGUAAUGGCAUAAUUCAUAUCUCUAAUUAAUCAAAUAAUCACUUAGACAUGUAUACCACAUCUGCCAGAUUGCUUCAAUUUGUAAGUGAACACCUCAAACAAGUUAAGAGGGUGUUUGUGGUCUAACUAUCUAAACCAGUUCAUGUAAUUCUUCGAGAACUUACAUGUCAAUCUCCGUAUCAAUAUUCCUAUUGAGAAACACUAACCACAUUCAUAAUUCUACAGUCAAUCACAGGGCGUUUAAGAGAAACAUUGUGUCGUAAGUAAUGUUAUUUCAUUCAUCUCAUUACGUUUCCUUUCCCACUUGUAACACAACAGGGUUACCUUGGACAAUGUAGGAACGACAUGUCCAAACAAACUUUGGUAAGGAAUUUAACCUAGAUUGUAAUCUUGGUUGUCCAAUCAGUUCUAUGUUAUCACUAAUCAACGGAACGUAAUUCGAAAUCGUCGCUUUUCAUUUAUGUUUGUAGUUACCAUAUAAGUGAAAACAUCAUUGAUGAUAAUCUCAUUCCAAUUCCAUAUCUCAUCUAAACUAGUAUACUGGACCAAGAACUUCAAGUCUCAGGAGUAAUCCGGAUUAAUCUCUUGAGGUGGAAAUUAUUUGAGAUGACAAUCGAUCAUGAAUUCACGUUGUGUCGUGAUCUUUCUCUUUUAGGGAAGUGAAUCUUAUGAACCGAGUGAUAUGUCGUGCUUCAGGCCAAGAACAGAUUGAUUGACAAUCCACCAGGGUACCAAGUCGCCCAACAUAGACAACUAACACCCUUCAGGAAUGUUGACUCAACGUCCAUUAAGUACAUAUAUCCUUGCAUGCAUGUUUGUAGCUAGUAUAUGAUCUCAUCACUUUAGCUAGAUCAAAGAAAUGCGACUGGACCAACAUUCUGAAAGUUAGAAUACAUCACACAUACUUAUCACACUUGUGUGGAUAUGAGACAUAGUGGGCAACGUCCACGCAAAUCUAUGUCAUUAUACAGGAACUUUGACAUUCUUAUCUCCCUCUAACAGCGAGAAGACUAUCUCAUUGAAGUGACAAUUCACAAAAUGAGUGGUAAGGAAAUUGCAUGCAAGGGUUGCAAAGAGCUAGUGCGAAGAAAAAUCAUAAUCGACAAAGAUUCACAUUCUUCUUUGAGGAACCAUAUUGGUAUGUUGCGGUGGCGCAAACUUGGCACAUGGAAUGCACACCCAAAUGUGUAAGUAUGAAACGUCAGGUUCGUCCCUAGAAACCAACUGUAAUGUCGAAUAGGCUGGGUGGCAAUGGCCUUAAAGUAGAUCAACAUAAUGGUGUACAUGAUUGCAUAGCUCUAGAAAUAUGAUCACUUUGUGAGGCUGUUUUGGGGUGAACAUGGGAAUUCAAUGUCCAAUUAUAAACCCCAAAAAAAAAAAUGCAAUACUUCUCAAAAACCUUCGAUAUAAACUUUCUGGUAUUGUUUAGUAUUCUAGACUUUAUAGGAUAAUUAGGGUGGUGGUGCCUUGAAAUCGGCCAGGAGGUUUAGCAGUAGUGUGUGUGGAUAAACAUGUGACCAGUUUGUUGAUUCAUCAGCCAAAACCAUAAGUAUUUAUAUUGCCCACAUUUUGAUUGGAUUAGUCCACAUAUAUUCCCUUGAAUACACUGUGAAAAGAGGGCCAUUUCGUAUCUUUGCUAGGGAUGAUUUAGAAAUCCAAUUUCCCAAAUGAAUAAGCUUGGCAAAGUGUGCGCUUGCAAACACAAGAUCCUUACUUUGGGUAAGGAGAUGCGUUUCGGCCUAAGUGUACCAAACGGUCAUGCCAUGGCAAGUAAACUACUCGAAUCACCCGGCUCUAAGCCGGCCACACAUGGCGUAUCCUAGUGGGGAGGUAGCCUAUUGGCCCUAAAAUAAAACUUUAGGUUCAUUUUGGGGGUGAUGCAAAGACAUUCCACUCUAUGUUUCAUCAGUGGUUUCAUUCAUAAUCAUUGUUCUCUCGAUUAUCCUAAAGACUCAACGAUGUUCUUCAGGAAUGAGAAGAACAUAAGGUUUCUUAAAUGGUAAUGUAGUACCAUUUAUACAACGAGAAGCGUGCCAAUGCUCCUAAUCAGGUUGGAUAAACUUAAAGUCGUAGUUAGAGAUGUGAUUUAGGUAUAAGUUAGUGUGCGUAGUGUCGCAUUUAUCCAGACAACUAAUUUUCCCACAUUCGAGGACAAUAUCGAUAAGAUUAUCCACAAAGUCGAUAUGAUUAUCCACAAAGUAAACCAAAGUUACUAAAGAGAUUCUCCCAACAAGGUCAUCCAUGUCAAAAUUUUGGAGAAAAAUUAGUCUCACAUAUUGAUUACGAGAAUGGUACUCCUUAACGACAUUGGUAGGGGCAUGAAGAGGUGCAUAACCAAUGAGUCUAGUCCACCAAAAUGGAAGUAGAUUAUGCAAGGUUGAGGUUCAUGAACAAUAUCCCUUAUUCUUGAAGUUUUAGGUCUUAAAUGCCAAGGAUCACACUUCGAGUUGUGAUGCCACACCUUGACAGGCCCUAAUUCUACCAUAUGUUGUAAAAACAAACUCGAAAUUAGAGAGGCAAACCCAUACUUGAGUUCGAAAGGUUCCAAUCGAAGCUGGAGAGGUUUGUUCGGUAUGCCUCUACACUGAAGCAGAGCAUAUAUUUUGGUGGGCUUUGACCAAACUGGGUCAAGCCAUUCGGUAAACUUCGGCCUAACUGGGCUUAUACUGUUCGGUAGACUCUAGCCGAAGUUGGGUCUAUACCUUUCUCACACGUUUUUUGUAGUAAUCAGAUUUGAGAAUUUGGUAAACUUCCACUCUCUAUGCUGCUGUUUCGAAAGCGAGUUAAAAAUAAGAAAUGAUGAGAAAAGUAUUCUCUAAUCAAAAUUCGAUAGGAUUUAUAAACUUCAAAAUCGUACUCAUUCAUGGACGUAAUCAUGGUAUGCUUCAGGCAAUAACUUUCAUGAUUAAAUGGUCUGUAAGAGUGAGCCAACGAGCCAUGGAAUCCUUGUUAGGGAGGUACUUCCAUUUGUUAUGUUUCAAGCAUAAGUCUUUGAAUGAAGAUCAUGACAGAGGCUUAUUCAGCUCUUCUUUACCAUUGUUGGCUACAAAUGGUUUCUCAGCUUCUUGAUAGUCAAGUGGAGAUUCACGUCUUAUAGCCACAUAAAGUGGUUUCAGUUAGAAACGUCCAAAUCAGUGAAAUCAAAUUUGUGACAAUCCAUUGAAUGGAGGGAACAAGAUUGUGAAUAGUGCUAUGGAAAAUAAAACAUCUAGAAGCAUCAAAGUUAGAACAUCCGAAUUCUAAGACAUGUACAUGAAAGUUGGACGUGGAAAAAUUAUUAAUGAGUUUAAAUAAAAUUUCACAUAAUAAUAUAGUCACAAAUAACUGUGUGAAUGGGGAGUUGAGGAGUUCCCGCGAGGGAAACUCGGGUCAAACAAAACAAGGGGUAAUUUUAUUUAAACCCAUCUAACCUAUUUCUACACCCAAUUUACUCUUUUCACCCAUUUGAUUUUUAACUAAACUAUUAUUAUCUCUUUAAACCAAAAUUUAAUACCUAAUAUACCCUUAUAAACCUAAUUCAGUAUGUAGAUUUAUUUUUACACCCAUUCAAAUUUUUAGUCAGAUGUAAGAUUGAAAUCGAAGAAGAAGACUAGGAAGGAGAAGGAGCUGCUCCUCCAUUUGUUAGCCAUCACUCCAUCAACGCCUUUUCUCCCCCUGCUAAAUCUUCCCGCCAUCGUGAAUCUACCGUUUGGCAGCCUCUAGAUCGUCAGACCCGCGGGGAGUCGAAUCGACCGGCACUCCGUCGUCGUCGCGCGGGGAUUUGGUUUCUUUGGACUCCUCGAUGGGUCCCAUACACUUUGCGCGACCCUUUUAUACAGACCUCAUUUGUGAGCUUCUAUGCUGAGCUUGGUAAGUUGUGCGAUGCGCAUAAGGUGUUUGAGGAAAUGUCUGAACCAUGUAUGGUUGCGUGGAAUGCGAUGAUUGAUGGGUUUAGGAAGAAUGGGGAAAUGGGUUAUGCUAUUUUGUUAUUUGAAAGCAUGCCGAAAAGGGACGUGGUUUCAUGGACAAGCGUUAUAAGCGGGUUUGGGAGAAAUGGGUGUGGUUGUGCUGUUUUGAGUCUCUUUGCUUCCGUAAAUUAUGUCUCUAGUUUCGGUCGGAAUGGGUGCUCUGAGAACGUCAUUUCUUGCAUUGGAUGCAUGGUGUGGUUACUUUGCAAUCAAGAGGUAGGAUUUGUUAAAUAAACUCUCUUUAUCUUCCUGCAGUUAUUGAUGAAUAAUUUGUGAAUGUAAUAUCAUUCACCCGUAUCUUUAUCCUUAAUUUGUUAAUGGUAUUAACCUUUUUGCAGAUUUGCAUUUAAAUGUCAUAGAAAAUCAGAGGCUGGAAGGGACAUUGUGUAUCCAGUAAAUGCAAUUGCAUUCCACCCCGUGUAAGUUACUUUUUUCUAUUAAAGUAUUGCGUACUAAACUUGUGAACUUGUGUGUGUUGAUUUAUUGAAGUCAUGAAAACGAUAGGCCAUAUCUGGUUUCCUGUUGAAGGCAUCUUGUGACUACAAUAAUAACAUAUGGGAAUUUCAUAGUAGUAACUUAGUUCAUGGUUUAUUCUUUGGUUGAAUGGUUCAAAAAAUAAGGAUCAAAAUUGUUCCUUGUUUUUGCGAUAGAUUAUGGCUUAGAUUAUACUUGAUCCGUUAGUUGGGAAUGUUUAAAACCUAAAUUAAGCUCGAGGGGAGCUUAAUAAUUUCAUAUAUACGUAGCUCAUGCUUUAAUAAAGUUUAUCAAGAGAGUUUGAGAAUGAGAUUCUUGUACAUUAUUGACUGUCAUGUUUUCAAGCUAUUUUGCCCUCUCGGGACAAAUUGAAAAGAGCUAUACAUACUUUCGCUUGAUGAGAGUUGCGAUCAUACUGCUUAUUGUAUGAGAGCAAUGAUGCUAGCAGUUUCUUUUUAGUCCACGUGCAUUUCUUUUAUUAGUUCUUUUCUGAAAUUCAAUUGCAGCUAUGGUACUUUGGCUGUUUCUCAGCAGCAGCCAUGUUGGCAAGGCGCCAGGAAUACCUUUACCUGGGGGGUUUGCUUUCUUCUGGCCUUUCUAUGCUAAUUUGGUUACACUUUGCUUCUUCUGUCUUUGGGGGUUUUGCAGCUCUUUUCAAGUUUGAGGUAAGGAAUUAUCAAUUAGUCAUGUGAAUGAUGGGCAAUGCUACAUUUUGUGUAUAAAAGCUAAAACAGGGUGAUAUAUGUGAAGGAAUAUAAUGAGAUUUAUGUGGGAUUUCUAGUGACUAGCAUGCAUAUACAAUUCAAAAUUUAUAUACAUUAGCAACGGAAGCAUGUUAUCACAUAAUAUCAAAGCUAUAGUCAUGCAAAUCCCCUUCAAGAAGCAUAGGUUCAUAUAUGAUGCAUCUAAGAAAUUAUUGAAGAACAAAGUGAAGGUAUAGUUUUAUACCUCUUGAUCUAGACUUGAGACCAAGGAUUGACCACCUUCAAGCUCUUUGUUCUUGGAACUCCUUAAGCCUAGCCUCCCUCCUUGCUUCCUCCACCUUGCUAGAAUGAGUGCUCCUUGGCUCUCCUUUAGUCUCCAAGGUUGAAGACCUCUAAAGAUCCACACCCACUAGUGUAGUGAGAUGGAUGGAGGAAUAACCAAAAGGGAGAGAAGAUGAUUAGCUACUUCUCCCUUAUGGUGGCCGGCCUUGUGUGUGUGUUUGGAGAGAGAGAUGUUUUCUUCUUUUGUGAAAAAUGAACACACAAAACCCUAAUGAAACUUUUUACUAAAAGUUCCUUUUAUAUCUCAAAGAUAGUUAGCCAACAACUUGACUCCCUCUCUCUCCCUUUCCCUUUAUUUGGCCGGCCCCUUUAGUGUUGUUUGGGCUUUGGGCUUUUAUUAUUUCAAGUCAUCAUAUGCUUAAAUAAAAGCCCAAUGGGUUUGGGCUUAAUGGGCCCAUAUUAACCCGAACUUUUCUUUAAGUCCAAAAACGAUCUUUCAUCGCUUCUAUGAUUUCUUUAGACUUUCUAAUUAAUCAUAACACUUAAUUAAUCCAAUUAAUUUAUUCCAUCAUCCAUUAGUUGUCUCAUUACAAGAGUGUAUCGGUGUACAAUUAUUUUGGGUUCUAAUUAGCAAGGUAGUGAGGUGAUUGGCACCAAUCCAAUUGAUUAUAUUUAAUCCAAUCACUUAGUGAAUUAAAACUUACUUUUAAUUCUCCUUCUUCUUUGACGACUACUUAUUUAAUCAUCUAGAAGAACUCACAAGCUAUGAGUGACAUCUAACCAUAUAUCAUGGUUACCCAAGCUAAUGUAGAAUUUGUUCGGAGAACCUAUUCAGUUGGAAUUACAAUGUAAUUCGAUCAUUCUUUAAAACAAUACUCUCAAUCACAUUAUUAGGGUAUGGAUAUAUUAUGUCAAACCCCUAAUGUGAUUAUUCCAUGUUAUAUGAUUCAAUUGAGUCGUAUAGGAACGAUUUCCUUUAUUACGCUCGAUACUUCGGCCGAAUAUUCCCGAAUCAUAUCUUAAAGUAUUCAUCCUCUCAUAACGAGGAUUAGAGAUCCCUUGUUGAUCAUUCACAUGCCUCUGAGAAUAAAUCAUUGACCUCAACAAUGCAUAGAACACACCCAAGAUGAGGUGUGGUCACGUCUCGUUAUCAAAAUGAUCAACAACGUAUCCCCAAGACAACUAUGAUGUCUCAGGUCAAAGAAUUACUUACAUUAUUCCAACCAUUAGAGUUGUUUGCUUCACAUGUAAGUAGACCUCCAUGCAAGUACUCUCGUUCGAUUGUGUUCAGUGAACUCAUUCCCAUAAUGAGCACCUACAUACCUGUCUUAGUGUCACUACACGAAUGGGAUGAGACUUUCCAUCAUUCCAAUUGAAGGGGACAUAGUAUGUACUGGUCUAUGCAUUGUCAGUAUCCCUCUGACAAUCCUAUGACUAGGAACCUUUUUGGACAUGAUGGUUAUGUGAAGAAGGUAUCUGUAGUCUAACAUCAUUAGAUUACUUCUUCCAUCGAUCCAUUGUCCAUGGAUUCACUAUUUAUGACAUAUAUCGUUUAUUGAGACAGUCCUAAUUAGUAUCUUUGCCUUUUGAUGUAUAAGAGUCAUCUAUACACUCAUUCAUUGUCCUGAAAGGUUUCUUCCAAAGAUUGACUUUCAGGGCAUAUCUCCAACAUUCUCUGAAAUUGUGUUGCAGCUGUAUUUCAGUUUUGUUGCUGUGUUUGUCCAUAUACUGGUUAUCAUGGUAAGUUCUCGUUAAUGCUUUAAGAGCAAAAUCCUUAUCUCGGUCUUGUUUUCUAUCAUAUUUAUGACUGUUGGUGCUUAGACCAUCUCCUCUUUUAUUUUAUAUUGUGAGAUGUUAUAUCUGUUAGGCUAAGUAGACUUGUUAACUAAAACGACUAUCGUUUCUUUACCACAGUUGAAGAACUUGGCCGAGAAGAAUGAGAAUAAGAAGAAAAGAAAGGAUUGAUGCUCCUUCUGUAACCCUGGUGAUGCAAAGCAAUGCAAAAUGAGAUCAUCACUUGUCUAUAUAGAGUUUUCCAUGUGACCUCAAAAACAAAAUGUGUAGUUGAUAUAUUCCCUACUCUUUGGUGGGUGGUAGACUGAUAGUGAUUGUCUAGUGUUGCUGCCGUUAAACUUCUACUUACUGUUUUGAAUGACAUCGUUUUAAUUCGUGACGAAGUUUAUUGUUGUGUUAAUAAACUGGCUAGCUCCUCCAUCUGCACUACUUGUAUGUUGGUAUAGCAGGUUUCCAAGUAGCGAUUUGAUACUUCUGAGUCCUUAUGGAACAAUUUUCGCCACGUCCAAUGAUCGAUCGGUGGCAAUAACCCCAGGAAGACAAUAGCCAUGAAGCAAUGUCUUUAAUCUAGUCAGGGCCCAAGUGUAAUUGUCUUCUUUCUCAGCCUCUAUAUACACAAAAACAACUGAGAAUGUCAUAUUAGUGGAUGUCACACCCACAAUUUUAAGAGUGGAAAACGAUACCUGUUAGUCUUAUAUGUGCAAUCCAUGAUAAGUACAUGUGGGAAUGCUCGUAAUAUCUCAAUACUAAUAGGGUGAGCCCAGAAAAUGUCAGUCACAGUAUCACCACAACUUCUCGAAAGUGCUAGUCGAGGGCGACUCACAAGCAAAUGUUAGUCGAGGGCGACUCACAGUAUUACCUUCACCUCCUAAAUCAGACCUUUUAAUAAUAAUUACCAUAUUAUUCAGCUUUCCCUGUUCACAAACCCAUGUAAUCAAUGCAUCUUUUCCUUUGAAUAUCUGCACGUAACACAUAUUUUAUUUCGAAGUAAAAUUCUAAAAUUAACUAACCCGUCAACGACACUAUAAAUAUAUAAUUACCUCAUAAGUUGUAAAUUGAUCAGUAUAAUCCACCACACAUUCUUGUCCAACCUCGUUACCUCGAUCAAAGGCAUCAUUGAAUUCUUGUUGCUAAAAAAUAAAUGACAAAAUUAUGAUUACAAUAAAAAAUCUUCAAGUUAUGAUUAAAACAAAUGGACAAAUAUAGCUAACUGCAGCAAUGUUUUCAUAUUACUGACUAAAAACAAAUCAAGCCCCAUUUUAUAGUAAACAACAGACAACUUCAACUACCUUUCGGUUUCCUCUUACACAACAAAUGGAGUUUGGAAUAUGUAGGACCAACAAUAACUUUCAUAUUGGGAGGGAGAGGGAGACCCCCGAAAAAUACAAUCAGAGAUUAUCCUUGCUUUCUGACUUACAGUAAUCAGGUUUAUAGGGACAAGGCUCACCUAGAUCCCGACAUGUAUCCCUCAAAGUUAGUAAAACUAAAGAUGGCAAUGGAUAUUUUGUAAUCCAAUAAUUGCUUAGUGCAGAGAUUUUCCAGUGCAGGAAACAAUGUUGGAAACUUUGAGCCAAUAAACCAUUUGCUUCUAAAAUGUUUUAGUCCUUGGGAAAUCGAAAAAUAAACCCCCAAAAGAGUCAACAAGACUGUAGAAUCAAGGUUCAAGAUUUUUCUCGAAAAAAAUCCCUUCACAUCAGUGGCAAUUCAAUGGGAAAGUCCAGACUUCCUCAACUCAAAAAAUCUUCCAUAAAGCAAAAAAUUAUAAGCUCAUGAAGGACUCACCACCCAACCAAACAUGACUGAAAGAUAUACACAUGCGGAACAGAAACCUUAAAGACAUCGUUCAAUUCGACAAGUUCUAAACUUUAAAAAAUUGAAAUCGAACGAACAAAAUAUUCAUAAAUUGAGUCAUACCUUGGUUGGAGGAUUCAAAACUUCAAAAUCACCAUCCAUCAAUAGAAAAUUUUAUUUUUCUCUAUGAGAGCUAUUAGGGUUUUAGCAGAAUGAACGUAUGAUAAACAAAGAAUGAUCGUAGGGUUUAAUUAUAAUGUUUGGGUUUAUUGAUAAAUUUGAGUUUUAUUAUUAAUUUCACUUUGUACUUAAUAGUAAUUAUACAAUAAGGUAAAAUAGACAAUUAACAUUCAAAAUUUUAAGUUUAGUGUAAAAAGAGAUUGCAUGAAUUUAAAUAAAAUUUCCCCAAAACAAGGCGCCUCUUUUCUUUUCGUUCUGGAGUUUUAUCAACCCGAACAAACAAACAACCCAAAAAAUAAUUAGAGACUCGUGAAACGAAAGAAAUCAAAACCGAAUUUCGAACCUGAAAAAAAAAAGGAAAAAAAAAGAAGAUAGGGAAAAUGGAAGCAGAGAUGGGACUGAUGCGUCGGAUGCCUCCCAAGUACACCGAGACGGCUCUAUCCGCCCUUCUCUCCCUUCUCCCCCAGCACUCCUCUGAUCUCCUCUCUCAAGUCGAUCAGCCCCUCCAGGUUCUCCCCUGUUUGUUUCCCGAGAAAAUCCAAUCCAAUUUUCACUUUCCAUUUUCUUUCUCAAGGGUUUCAUUUUAAUCCAAAAAAAAAAAAAAAAAAAACAAACAAACAAAAUGUUCUCUUCAAAUUCAAAUUUUAAAGUCACCGUGCUGCUCUCUGGUUUCCCGAAAUUCAGGUUUUGUGCGAUAUCGAAUACGGAAAGCAGUUCAUUUUGUGUGAAUAUAACAGAGACGCAGACUCUUACAGGUAAAACCCUCAAAUCUUUGUCAAUUUUGAUGGAUUGGUGUUAGUUUUCUGAUGUUUUACACUUUAAUUGCUACAUUUUUUAGGGACAUUUUAGAGGUAGCAGAUCUGGCCUUGAUUUGUGAAUCUGGAUGUUUGAUAUAUUUUGAUUAAUAUAACUUAUUGUUUUGGUUCAUAUGCUGAUUUAAUUGGUGUGAUUAGUGCAAUACAUGUAUAACUAUGUAAUCUAGUAGUUUAUUUUUUCGUAUAAUCGUUUCUGUUCUGUGAAUAUCGAUUGUCCAUGUUGAUAUUUUUGUGCUACUAUAUUUCCAUGUAGAUCGCCUUGGUCAAACAAAUAUCAUCCGCCACUAGAAGACAGCAGCCUCCCAUCUUUAGAGUUGAGGAAACUUGAAGUUGAAGCAAACGACAUCUUCGCCAUUUAUCUUGACCAGUGAGGUCCUUUACUUACCUUGUUCUUGUGUUAUUCUUUGCAUUGGUUGAACUGUAUAAAACACUUCUAAAAUAAUAUUUCUUCCAUUAGCUAAUUUAAAAAAAAAAGAAAAAAGAAAAAAGAAAAAGGCAAGAAUGUGUUGAAAGUAUCGUCGUGCAAUUUAUUUAGCAUAAUGGUUCAGUUCUUUGUUUCAUUCUGAAGAUUUCAUACAGCUUGGUUAACCGGUAAUUUGGUAGGUACUAUUUUUUAUUUUUUUUUAUUUUUUAUUUUUGAAUCUAGUGUCUCCGGGUCUUUGACCCGACUACUCACUCGGCCACCCGCCUGACCCCACAACAUUUGGUAGGCAAGAAACUCUAGCAAUUGCUAGGUGGGUACCUUGAGAGGUGUCGAACCCCAGACCUCUUGGUAACAAACCAAGGGCCUGACCAUUAGACUAAACACUCUUAGGUAAUUUGGUAGGUACUAUGAAGGUGGCAUUUCGUCAGUUUAUAUGUGGGAGGAUGAUAACGAAGGUUUUGUAGGCUGCUUUUUAAUAAAGGUAUACUGCCUAAACUUUCAAUUUAUGUUCUUGUACAUGUAUAUAUGCUGAUUUUUAUUAUUUGAUGCCCCGUUUGUUUGCCUUCACUAAGUUUCAUUGGACUAGACUGGACUAACUCUUAGUCCAGUCCAAUGUUUGGUAUCACGCGGGACUCACGUUAAUGAGAUUAAGUGGGAUUCGCACGGACUAAAGCUUUCACUGUAGGUUCUUAGCGAGAGUCCUCGACAACCAUGGGACUAGCUAAGACCUGCUUUGUUCCUCCGCUUCGCUCGUCUGCAUCACUUCGCGAACUCUUUUUGCUUCGCUUCGGAUCGUCGACCCAACACGCCAACUCCCCCAGCGGGUCUCAAAUCGCCAGACUCUCGCUCGGAGAAGAGUCUAGGUUGGUCGGAUCUGGGGCCUGGGAAGAUGAUAGUGGUUUGAUCAGAACAGUCCCCUCCGAGCAUUGCCAUCUCACCGUUGAUCACAAAAAGGGUCUCCCAGAAAUCAAAUGGCCACGCAUCUCCGUCCCUCAUCAUCUCCACCCAAAUUUCAAGUUUCCCCUCCUCUGUUCUUUCUACUGUACAUCGUUCCCAAUCAGCAAAAGGGAACCGGAAUUAGAUAUUCCUGUCUCGGAGGCCGCGUGGCUGGUGUUUUUCUGUAAAAAGGGAGAGAAAUGGUAGGUGUUGACGAAGACGACAAGUAAUUGGAUAGAUAGAUGCAGAUUAUCAAAGUUUAGUUUCAUUGAAAAAUGGAAAAAGACAUCAAUAUUGAAUCUAAAAUAUGUUAGUCCGAGAUCUAGUCCGGGACUGCACCAAACACUUAACUAUUUUUAUCCUGGUUAGUCCAAGCCAAGCCAGUCCAGCUUAGUCCUUGAAGUUAGUCCAGUCCGAGUUAGUCCAAUGCAACAAACGCACCCUGAGGGGUUUCAGAUGGCUCCAAGACAGGACAAGGUAGGAGAGGUUAUCUGCAGGAGGGGGCAUGGGAUGCUAUACAUGUGAUUGAGGUAAACUCUACUUGUCAUGGUAGGAACAACGUGGAUCUGUGGUGAAGGUGUUCAUAUAGUCCUGACACUCACCCCCUUUCACACUUACAUGUGAUUGAGGUAUACACUUAAUGUUCUUUAUUUAGUGUUGACCAAAAAAGGAGUUUCAACACCUUUUAGCUAUUUAAAGUUAUAGUGAACAACUCUUCUUUCUCUUGAUAGUUGUGAUAUGAACUUGCUGUUAGUUUGAAUGGUGCCUUUGUUAGGUCGAGUCAUUUGACAUGAUUAAUCAAAUUGGUUGAGUUAGGAUUGAUUCGGGAUGGACACAAAGUGAGGAAUAGAGAGCUGGAAAAUUUGAAAUUGAAGAUCAAAUAUGUGAAGAAUAGUGCUAACUGUGAGAAUGUGAGGACAAAGAUAGGUGAGUGACCAAACUAUGCAAAGGGCUUAUAAGAGGUUGAGUUGCUCUUCAUAUUGUCAAUUAGUUUUAUGAUGGAACCUUAACUUUCUUCAUGGUAUAUGAAUAGGUUGACCCAUGUGUAAAGCCUAAUGGCCACAUGUGCUCACAUCGCCCUGUUUGUAUCGUCCACAUGUUAGGCUUGAAAAUUCGCCAUAUAUGAGGGGGCGUGUGAGAAUGUGAAGACAAAGUCCCACAUUGGUGAGGAAACAAAACAUACAAGGGCUUAUAAGAGGUGGGACUAUUCCCUAUAUAACAUAUUGCCAAUUAGUUUUAUGGUAAAAUCUCAACUUUCUUCAGUAACAAUGCAUGAAGAUGAUGAUAUCAUAAGAAUUAUUAGUGGAGCGUGAGAGGGCUUUCUUAAGUUUAGGAGACAAAACUAAUAAUGUUUCAAUAGAGAAAAAUGAGAUUUGAUAGAAGAAUUGUAAUAGCUCAUGUGGAGCUAGGUUUAAGGAAAGGGAAUUUAUUACCCUUUUGGGGAAAGUAUGGGGGAAUUUUUGCUAUAUAAGGUUUUUUGGUCGAGUGAGUAUUGAUAGAAAUUUUCAGACUCCAUUUAGAUUUAAGGUGAGUGAUUGUUUACUUUAGUGGUAGUCUAGGGUUCAUGCCCUUCGCUAAGAGCAAGUCCACCCCUAAAGACUUUGCGCUAGUACCUAGCGCAUUUAUCCACUCAAGUAAAUAGUAAUAAACCCUAGUGAACAGUAAUAGGCCAAAGCAUCUCCACUCCUAAACAAAAAAUAGGCUGGUCAAUUUAUUAAAAUAUUAUUAUUUUUAUUAUAAAAUAAUAUUUUAUUUUUACUUUUUGACUUCUUCCCUUCAUCUUCUGCAACUUCCCAUCCCUUCCACAUAAAAAAAAACCCGACUCUUAGAAUCAUUGCUCCAACCCCAAAACUCCAAUCCCAGAAUUCCACUUUCCUAGAAAAGCUCAAAAGUUCCAAUCUUAGGUGGUUGAAUCGCGGGAGGCAGUCGGAUUUGGAGGAAAUGCACAUGCAGAUUUGGAGGAGCUCACAGGACGGGAAGCGGGAAGCGGGUGGAAGCUGCUCAUGGAGGCGAAUUAGCCGCUGCCGGUGGACAAAAGGGGGGUUUUGAGAGUGAGGUCGAGCUUGGCGAUGUUGACGGCUCCGUGGCUCCUUCCCUCCGUGGCUCCUUGCCCUUCGACACCACGCUGACGUCGGCUAGGCGUCACUUGAGACGGUCCCAAGGUCUGUCAAUUUUAAGCCGGCCUGUGGACUGGCUUGGGCUGGGUGCCAGUCGAUUCCACGGGCUGGAAUAGAUUGGCUGAGUCUCAACCUGUUUUUUCCACUAGGUGCUGGCCUAUCCCACCCCCGGUGGACUUGCUCUAAAAGUUUGGGGCAGGACAUUUUUGAUGUGGUGAUUUACAUCUAUGAUAUUUAAAAUUGAUAAAAUCAGUCUCUAAGUUUGUUCACAAUCAAUUAUUUUGGUCAUUUCAUAAAAAUUAUUCGUUAAAUAAGAAUAAAAUGACAAAAAUACCCUCAAUUUUUAUCAAAUUAUUUUGGCAUAUUGUUUAUUAAAUUGAGAGUAUUUUUUCUCAUUUUGAUCCUUACUUAAUAAAGUUUUUCACGGAAUGACCAAAAUAAUUAAAACUGGACAAACUCAGGAACCACUUCUGUCGCUUUCAAAUCUCAAGGACCAAGUGAAGAGUUAUAUCAGUCUCAAUAUCCACUUUAGCUAAAAAGCCCAAGGUAAAAGCCCAAGAUAACAUUACCCUUUACCCCUUAAUUUUAAAAAACUUGCAAUGAAAGGGGGCUCAAAAAAAUAAUUUUGAAUUGGAAAAAAAUAGAAGCAGAUUUGAGGUUCAAAUAGAACCAUCAUAAAUUCAUUUGUUUUCUAUUGGAAAAAAGGUUAGUUUUUGUUGCCAUCUUGGUCUGUGUUUAACUAGUUUUCUUUUAGUUGGAGACGCAUACGAGGUUGUGAUAGGUUUCGGGGAUGGGUAGUCUGGACUUGACACCCCAACAACUGGACCACUGACCCUUAGUGGAACAGAGUUGUCCUUGCUGAAUUCAAGAGAUGUCCAGUGUAAUGGUUCAGCUUUAGCCAGGCGAAUUUCAACUUUGGUGGACAGAACGUCAAAUCUGCACUUUGUAGGUAUUAUCUUUCCAAAUAAGCGAGGCUGAAAAUAGUAUGCAUCUUCACCAGCAACAUCAAUGCUAACACUGAGUAUUUGUUCACCAAAUUCAACAUUAACGUCUGCCAUGCCCUUGGUGAAUAUAGUCACAACAACCACUUCUGGCUUCUGGUAGAAUUCAUGCCUGUAUUUUGGCUUGACAGAUGCUACGGCCAACUCGAAGGGGUUCUAGAUGAACGCCUCCUUCACACGCUUUUUGAGAUCGGAGCCAUGGGCGGACAACCGUCAGUGUGGACUGAGGGAGAUGGAAGAGUCUAGGAAAGAAGAGUAUACAACUAUAGUUAAUUGUUGAUUUCUUUACAUCUUUGAGAUACGAAACUAAAUACAAUUUAUAGUAUUUAAAAAAAUAAAAAAUACCUUGAUAAAUUAAUAAAUUUUUAAUUCAUCGAUCAUUUAAUAUUUUGCUAAAUAAUAGUCUUCCUGGGUCUCGAGGCUAUUAAUUAAAGAAGUUUAAUUAUAUAGAAAACCAAAAGCAAAAAUCGGGCAAAAUAUAAAAAUAACCAAAACCUAAACUUAGGUGCUAAAAUUUGGCAAAUAUACGAUAUAACUCUAAUAAUUUCGGAAGUACAAACCUCGUCAGAUGAAGUAUUGCUCGGUACGGCACCAAUCUCGUCAUUGCUAGAGAUGCGUCACCGCCAUCACCAUCAUCCCAGAAUAGAUUAACUCCUGUUUUCAUCAGUCUCCCUCUCCCAUGAGCCUCUGUAACUGCAGAAAUCGAGACUUCGUCCCCACUUUGCAAAUGGAGUACAUCAUUUGAUAAUACACUUUGCAAACGGAGUACACUGUUAGCUACACUGGAAGUAGAAUCUCCCCAGAUGUGCAAAGCCUUACCCUUUGUAAAUUUGUAACAGUUAAUCCAGGACGAUAUGUUUCGAAAACACAGCACAGAGUCAAUCCUCUAAAAUUAUGACCAAUAAAUUGAGGCACUUUAAAAUGAACAUUUUUGGGCUCAUGAAUAACAACAAACUGGAACCACUCCGGAAUAUCAUAAAUUCCAUCGAGAAAAAUGUCACUAUGUCCGCAAGAAGUCCAUCCCUAGAGCAUACCAUGUAAAGCCCGAUUAAUUUGUAUAAGCAAUAGCCUUAAUUAUGCAUGCGUGUGUCAUGUACAUGUACAGUACAGGUCCUCUGUGGGCAUGUGAUAGAAAGAGGAGGAGAAUACAGCUCUUAGAGAGAGAUCUGUAGGAUGUUCUUCCUAAAACUCAGAAUGUACAUGUCAUUCUUAUGCAUAAGAAAUACAUGCAUGUCUUAGGCGUGUAUGUGUGGAUCUAUGUGUGUGUGUGUGUGUGUGUGUGAGAGAGAGAGAGAGAGAGAGAGAGUGAGAGAGACCUGUAGCAUGCUCUUCCUAAAAUCAGCAGUGAGAUUGGUGCAGCCUUCCAUAUGAAUCCUUCUCAUAGUGUUUAACGACUUAUGCUAGCCUAGAAUCUCACAGUGAGUUUGGGGGAGUAAUUCAGAUGCAGUUCUACCAUACUCGACAACAACAACAACAAAGUCUUUUCCCACUAAGUGGGGAGUUCUACCAUACUCGACAUUUCUGAAAAAUUUGGCAUUUUUUCAAUGCAAUGCACUGAUUUGCUUUCAAGAUUUCCAAACUUGUAGGUAAAUCUGGGAUUUCAAGAAGAUCUUUGCAAUAACUCAAAUCUAACAUUUUAAGCUUGGAGAGUCCACUGAGGCAAGGUCGGCUAUAAAACAAAUUGCCAUCAAGCACCACAAACAACAACAAAGCCUUUUCCCACUAAGUGGGGUCGGCUAUAUGAAUCCUAGAACGCCAUUGCGCUCGGUUUUGUGUCAUGUCCUCCGUUAGAUCCAAGUACUCUAAGUCUUUUCUUAGAGUCUCUUCCAAAGUUUUCCUAGGUCUUCCUCUACCCCUUCGGCCCUGAACCUCUGUCCCGUAGUCACAUCUUCGAACCGGAGCGUCAUUCGGCCUUCUUUGCACAUGUCCAAAUCACCGGAGCCGAUUUUCUCUCAUCUUUCCUACAAUUUCGGCUACUCCUACUUUACCUCGGAUAUCCUCAUUCCCAAUCUUAUCCUUUCUCGUGUGCCCACACAUCCCACGAAGCAUCCUCAUCUCCGCUACACCCAUUUUGUGUACGUGUUGAUGCUUCACUGCCCAACAUUCUGUGCCAUACAACAUCACUGGCCUUAUUGCCGUCCUAUAAAAUUUUCCCUUGAGCUUCAGUGGCCUACGACGGUCACACAACACGCCGGAUGCAUUCUAACACUUCAUCCAUCCAGCUCGUAUUCUAUGGUUGAGAUCUCCAUCUAAUUCUCCGUUCUCUUGCAAGAUAGAUCCUAGGUAGCGAAAACGGUCGCUUUUUGUGAUCUUCGCUAGAUUGCUCCGGUCAUUAGUGUGGAUAAGUAUAUAAAUGGAUAGAGAUAGGAAAGCAAACACAAGAUGUACGUGGUUCACCCAUAUUGGCUACGUCCACGGAAUAGAAGAGUUCUCAUUAAUUGUGAAGGGUUUACACAAGUACAUAGGUUCAAGCUCUCCUUUAGUGAGUACAAGUGAAUGAUUUAGUACAAAUGACAUUAAGGAAAUAUUGUGGGAGAAUGAUCUCGUAAUCACGAAACUUCUAAGUAUCGGAGUGUAGAGUCGUCUUGACUUGCCUUAUCUGUCUCAUAGGUAGAUGUGGCAUCUUCUCUGGAAGUACUCUUCCUCCAUCCAGGGGUGGUAUCUUUAACUGGUGGAGAUGCACAAGGUAAUGUAUCAAUUUCACUUGAAGCUUACUUGUAGUUUCAGGCUUGGUCAAGCGCGAUACAAACCAUGUAGUAGGAGUCCCCCAAGUCGCCGAGCUAGGGGGUCUGCUGAAAGAGGUGACAGACAAGGUAAGCAAUCAGAGCUCCGACUGAUUGUUCACCUUCUCCCCAUCUUGCAGCAGCAUGAAGGAUAAAGAGAAGAAAAAUGAGAAGAGAUGAUAUGAGAUACUUUUGCUUUUGAAGAAGUAACUUUCCACAGGCUUAUUCUUGAACUGAGCUGGAGGGUUUUCUGGUUUCCUCCAGAGUAUAAGGCCGACUGAAGAAUUUGAGGGUCAAAACAAGUCCAUCAAAUCUAGAGUACGUUCCACCCUGCUGAUAUGGGAUACUUUUGCUUUUGACAGAGUAAUGGAUGUAUCGGCACGUGUGCUGUUACGCUUGUCUCCACAUGCUUCCUUGUAUCCUUCGCACUUGCCCUAUCUGUUCCUCAAGCAGAUGCGGAAUCUUCCCUAGAAACAUAAGAUGUUGAAGAUGAGUACUCGAGAGCAAUGCCAGGUAAGUAAUCAGGUAAGGGGUUCCAGGCAGUCAGUUCUUGGCUGGAAGCUUGAUUCCAAGUGCUGACUGAUUGCUCUCUUUCUCCUUGUCUUGCAGGUAAAAACAAGGCCAAAGGAAAAGACAGGGAAAAAGCAUGAUAUGGGAUACUCUUGCUUUUAACCCUGAUGAUAUGAGAUAUUCUUGCUCUAGUAUAGCUUGUUUACAGAGGUAUUAUCGGGGGGAAAGAAAGCUGAAUAUUUCGAAAGGCUUCGUUGGGAGUGUUUUCUCGAAUGUGAGUAAAGGUUGGGAGUGUUUUCUCGAAUGUGAGUAAAGGUUGGGCAUGUUUGCUAGUCUACCUUUCCACGAAGCACAGAGGUUGACACACAGGGACUUUCCAAUUAUCCAGCAAUGGUACUGUUCCUUUACCCUCUCUUCGAUUUUUGAGGAAGUAAUCAUGUUGGGAGUCUGGCUCUCGAGAUUCGGAGGGCGGUGCCUCUUCGAUUUUGGAGCAAGCAAUCUUGUUGGGAGUGUUUUCUCGAAUGUGAGUAAAGGUUGGGCAUGUUUGCUAGUCUACCUUGCCACGAAGCACAGAGGUUGACACACAGGGAGUUUCCAAUUAUCCAGCAGUGGUACUGUUCCUUUACCCUUGUGGGUAAUAAUAUGGUAGCUAGACCUUCAAAAUUUAUGUGUCUAAACUUUGUUAGUGUUGUUUCUUUGCUAUUCUUUUACCUUUCUUGGUCAGAGCGAUGUAGUGGGAGCUGCAAGCUUCACGUGCUCAACUUUGGCAGAGAACUUUGGCAAAGUUAUCUGUGGUACCCAUGAGCUAUUGUUGCGUGUGGGAAGUGGGUGAUUGAACAGUAAGAUUCAUGUGCUUUCUACUUCACCAGAAGUCUUCGACAGAAUGCCCAUAAUUUCUGCAAAGCUGAGUGUGCGUGUGACAGGUGCUGACAAGGCUAGAAAAGUAGGUGCCUCUUCGAUUUCUGAGAUCGGCCCUCGUGGUCUCUGAGCAGCCCAGCUUUUGAGAAAGCGAGCGCCUCUUCGAUUGAUUCGAAGAACGAUGCCUCAUCGAUUUUUGAGAAAGCAGUCACGAUGGGGGUCUGGCUCUCGAAGAUUCGGGGAGCAGUGUCUCUUCGAUUUUUGAGAAAGUAAUCAUGUUGGGAGUCUGGCUCUCGAGAUUCGGAGGGCGGUGCCUCUUCGAUUUUGGAGCAAGCAAUCUUGUUGGGAGUGUUUUCUCGAAUGUGAGUAAAGGUUGGGCAUGUUUGCUAGUCUACCUUGCCACGAAGCACAGAGGUUGACACACAGGGACUUUCCAAUUAUCCAGCAAUGGUACUGUUCCUUUACCCUCUCUUCGAUUUUUAAGAAAGUAGUCAUGUUGGGAGUCUGGCUCUCGAGAUUCGGAGGACGGUGCCUCUUCGAUUUUGGAGCAAGCAAUCUUAUUGGGAGUGUUUUCUCGAAUGUGAGUAAAGGUUGGGCAUGUUUGCUAGUCUACCUUGCCACGAAGCACAGAGGUUGACACACAGGGACUUUCCAAUUAUCCAGCAGUGGUACUGUUCCUUUACCCUUGUGGGUAAUAAUAUGGUAGCUAGACCUUCAAAAUUUAUGGUUCUAAACUUUGUUAGUGCUGUUUCUUUGCUAUUCUUUUUACCCUUCUUGGUCAGAGCGAUGUAGUGGGAGCUGCAAGCUUCACGUGCUCAACUUUGGCAGAGAACUUUGGCAAAGUUUUCUGUGGUACCCAUGAGCUAUUGUUGCGUGUGGGAAGUGGGUGAUUGAACAGUAAGAUUCAUGUGCUUUCUACUUCCCCAGAAGUCUUCGACAGAAUGCCCAUAAUUUCCGCAAAGCUGAGUGUGCGUGUGACAGGUGCUGACAAGGCUGGAAAAGUAGGUGCCUCUUCGAUUUCUGAGAUCGGCCCUCGUGGUCUCUGGGGAGCCCAGCUUUUGAGAAAGCGAGCGCCUCUUCGAAUUUCUGAGAUCGCCUUCGUGGUCUUUGAGCAGCCCAACUUUUGAGAAAGCAAACGCCUCUUCGAUUUCUGAGAUCAACCCUCGUGAUCUCUAAGCAGCCCAGCUUUUUGAGAAAGCAAACGCCUCUUCGAUUUCUGAGCAGGCGCCUCUUCGAUUUCUGAAGCUCCGUCGAGUGCAGAUUUUUAUAAGGGGCUGGCAUUAAGUUCCAAAACACACUUGAAUCUCCACCAGUAGAAGCUUCCAUUCUUGCACUUCUAAGAUCUUGAUUUGUCCGACCUCUUCUCUCUUCAACACCUUUGAAAAUGUCUGGCCCCUCCGACCGUCGUUUUGACUUGAACCUUGUUGAAGAGGCAGCCCCGCCUUCUCCAGACAACAUAUGGCGCCCAUCCUUCGUCUCCCCUACUGGUCCUCUUACCGUUGGGGAUUCCGUGAUGAAGAAUGAUAUGACCGCUGCGGUGGUGGCCAGGAACCUUCUCACUCCCAAAGAUAACAGACUACUUUCCAAACGGUCUGAUGAGUUAGCUGUUAAGGAUUCGCUGGCUCUCAGUGUUCAGUGUGCAGGUUCUGUGUCUAAUAUGGCCCAACGCCUAUUUGCUCGAACCCGCCAAGUUGAAUCAUUGGCGGCUGAAGUGAUGAGUCUCAAACAGGAGAUUAGAGGGCUCAAGCAUGAGAAUAAACAGUUGCACCGGCUCGCACAUGACUAUGCUACAAACAUGAAGAGGAAGCUUGACCAGAUGAAGGAAACUGAUGGUCAGGUUUUACUUGAUCAUCAGAGAUUUGUCAGUUUGUUCCAAAGGCAUUUAUUGCCUUCGUCUUCUGGGGCUGUACCGCGUAAUGAAGCUCCAAAUGAUCAACCUCUGAUGCCUCCUCCUUCUAGGGUUCUGUCCAGUACUGAGGCUCCAAAUGAUCCCCCUCCGGUGCCUUCUCUUUCUGGGGCUCUACCGACUGCUGAGACUUCUCCUAAGCAACCUUUGUGAAGGCUCCCUCUUGUGUGUUUAUUUUGACUCAUGUAUAUGUACAUAUUUGUAGCUUAUCGGGGAUAUCAAUAAAUAAGCUUUCCUUCAUUUCAACGUAUUGUGUUAAAUACACCAAAGCCUUCUUCGCUAAGUUCUUUGAAUUUUCUUUUGUUGAAGCUUGUAUGUUGAAGCUUUCUGAGUGGAGCAUGUAGGUUGGGGUAGUGUUCCCUUAAUUUUCCGAGUGAGGAAAACUUCUCGGUUGGAGACUUGGAAAAUCCAAGUCACUGAGUGGGAUCGGCUAUAUGAAUCUUAGAACGCCAUUGUGCUCGAUCCUGUGUCAUGUCCUUCGUUAGAUCCAAGUACUCUAAGUCUUUUCUUAGAGUCUCUUCCAAAGUUUUCCUAGGUCUUCCUCUACCCCUUCGGCCCUGAACCUCUGUCCCAUAGUCGCAUCUUCUAAUCGGAGCGUCAGUAGGCCUUCUUUGCACAUGUCCAAACCACCGUAACCGAUUUUCUCUCAUCUUUCCUUCAAUUUCAGGCUACUCCUACUUUACCCCGGAUAUCCUCAUUCCUAAUCUUAUCCUUUCUUGUGUGCCCACACAUCCAACGAAGCAUCCUCAUCUCCGCUACACCCAUUUUGUGUACGUGUUGAUGUUUCACCGCCCAACAUUCUGUGCCAUACAGCAUCGCCGGCCUUAUUGCCGUCCUAUAAAAUUUUCCCUUGAGCUUCAGUGGCAUACGGCGGUCACACAACACGCCGGAUGCACUCUUCCACUUCAUCCAUCCAGCUUGUAUUCUAUGGUUGAGAUCUCCAUCUAAUUCUCCGUUCUUUUGCAAGAUAGAUCCUAGGUAACGAAAACGGUCGCUCUUUGGUAUUUCUUGAUCUCCGAUCCUCACCCCUAACUCGUUUUGGCCUCCAUUUGCACUGAACUUGCACUCCAUAUAUUCUGUCUUUGAUCGGCUUAGGCGAAGACCUUUAGAUUCCAACACUUCUCUCCAAAGGUUAAGCUUUGCAUUUACCCCUUCCUGAGUUUCAUCUAUCAACACUAUAUCGUCUGCGAAAAGCAUACACCAAGGAAUAUCAUCUUGAAUAUGUCCUUGUUAACUCAUCCAUUACCAACGCAAAAAAGGUAAGGACUUAAGGAUGAGCCUUGAUGUAAUCCUACAGUUAUGGGAAAGCUUUCGGUUUGUCCUUCAUGAGUUCUUACGGCAGUCUUUGCUCCUUCAUACAUAUCCUUUAUAGCUUGGAUAUAUGCUACUCGUACUCCUUUCUUCUCUAAAAUCCUCCAAAGAAUGUCUCUUGGGACCCUAUCAUACGCUUUUUCCAAAUCUAUAAAGACCAUGUGUAAAUCCUUUUUCCCAUCUCUAUAUCUUUCCAUCAAUCUUCGUAAGAGAUAGAUUGCCUCCAUGGUUGAGCGCCCUGGCAUGAACCCGAAUUGGUUGUCCGAAACCCGUGUCUCUCUUGCCUCAAUCUAUGCUCAAUGACUCUCUCCCAGAGCUUCAUUGUAUGACUCAUUAGCUUAAUACCCCUAUAGUUCAUGCAAUUUUGUACGUCGCCCUUAUUCUUGUAGAUAGGCACCAAAGUGCUCGUUCGCCACUCAUUUGGCAUCUUCUUCGUUUUCAAAAUCCUAUUGAAAAGGUCAGUGAGCCAUGUUAUAUACCUGUCUCUCCCAAAAGUUUUCCACACUUCGAUUGGUAUAUCGUCUGGGCCUAUUGCUUUUUAUGCUUCAUCUUCUUCAAAGCUACAACCACUUCUUCCUUCCGGAUUCGACGAUAAAAAGAGUAGUUUCUCUACACUCUUCUGAGUUACUCAACUCCCCUAAAGAAGCACUCAUUUUCAUGUCCUUCAUUGAAAAGAUUAUGAAAAUAACCUCUCUCCAUCUGUCUUUAACCGCGUUCUCUGUAGCAAGAACCUUUCCAUCCUCAUCCUUGAUGCACCUCACUUGGUUUAGGUCCCUUGUCUUCUUUUCCCUUGCUCUAGAUAGUUUAUAGAUAUCCAACUCUCCUUCUUUGGUAUCUAGUCGUUUAUAUACAUAUCGUCGUAAGCCGCUAACUUAGCUUCUCUGACAGCUUUCUUCGCCUCUUGCUUCGCUUUUCUAUACCUUUCACCAUUUUCAUCGGUCCUCUCCUUGUAUAAGGCUUUACAACAUUCCUUCUUAGCCUUCACCUUUGUUUGUACCUCCUCAUUCCACCACCAAGAUUCCUUUUGGUGUGGGGCAAAGCCCUUGGACUCUCCUAAUACCUCUUUUGCUACUUUUCGGAUACAACUAGCCAUGGAAUCCCACAUUUGGCUAGCUUCCCCCUCUCUAUCCCACACACAUUGGGUGAUUACCUUCUCUUUGAAAAUGACUUGUUUUUUCUUCUUUUAGAUUCCACCAUCUAGUCCUUGGGCACUUCCAAGUCUUGUUCUUUUUGUCUUACUCUUUUGAUAUGUACAUCCAUCACCAACAAGCGAUGUUGAUUAGCCACGCUCUCUCCUGGUAUAACUUUGCAAUCCUUACAAGUUAUACGAUCCCCUUUCCUCAUUAGAAGAAAAUCUAUUUGUGUUUUUGACGACCCACUCUUGUAGGUGAUCACAUGUUCUUCUCUCUUCUUAAAGAAGGUGUUGGCUAAGAAGAGAUCAUAUGCCAUUGCAAAAUCCAAGAUAGCUUCCCCAUCCUCGUUUCUCUCCCCAAAACCAUGGCCACCAUGAAAACCUCCAUAGUUGCCUGUCUCCCUGCCCACGUGUCCAUUUAAAUCUCCUCCUAUAAAUAACUUCUCCUCCGUUUGAGCAAUUCCUUGCACCAAGUCUCCAAGAUCUUCCCAAAAUUUCUCCUUCGAACUCGUAUCCAACCCUACUUGAGGUGCGUACGCACUAAUCACAUUGAUAAGUUCUUGUCCUAUUACAAUCUUGAUUGCCAUGAUUCUAUCUCCUACCCUCUUGACAUCUACAACAUCUUGUACCAAGGUCUUGUCCACGAUGAUGCCAACACCGUUUCUCGUUCUAUUUGUGCCCGAAUACCAAAGUUUAAACCCUGAGUUUUCUAGAUCCUUUGCCUUACUACCAACCCACUUAGUUUCUUGUAGGCACAUAAUAUUUAUCCUUCUCCUCACCAUAACUUCCACUACUUCCAUAGAUUUUCCCGUUAAGGUUCCUAUAUUCCACGUUCCUAAACGCAUUUUGCUCUCUUGAACUCUACCCUUCUGUCCUAGCUUCUUCACCCUCCCCCGUCUAAUAAGAUCAAAGUACUUCUUUUGUGUGUCCCGGGUAAAGUUGAUAGGAGCAUAUGCUCCCAAACAACUUUGAGUGGAGUCGUUUGAAAAGAAGUUUCUAUGGCCCCCUUGCUCAUUUAACACUGCAUCCGGGUGCCGAUGGAGAUACAGCGACCCUUGCUCACUUAUCACUGUGCUCGGGCCACACAGCGCGCCACUUACGGGUGACGCCCUAGCUUUAGCGUGAUUUUGUUCUGGAUUCAUUUUCAUAAGGAUUCGACGUGAUCAUGGAGUGCCGGCUGUCGACUACCUGACGCCCUCCCCCUCCUCCUUUAUCCGGGCUUGGGACCGGCCAUGUAAGACAUAGGCGGAGUUUUGCCAUCAAGCUCCAAUAUUUCUAAAUAAAAAUAGACUACCAAGAUCCUUAGGGAUGGAAUCAUCAGUUAAAUUGCAGUUUCCAAGACCUAAAAAUGUCAACGAAGGGCGCAAAAGAUUACUUGAUGGUGACCCUCUCAAACCCCAUAGAAAUAAAGAUGUCAGGUUCUUCAAUCUUGCAAUUGAAGAUGGAUCUUGGCUUAUCAUUGUAUCCGACACGUCGACCUAGAUCCUUUGGGAUGGAAUCAAGUAGAAGAGAGAGCAAAUACCUGGCUUAUCAUUGCCAUCAAGCUCCAAUAUUUCUAAAUAAAAUAGAAGAGAGAAAGCAAGAUAUUGGUAUUCACAGAAGCUGAAGAAAAUAAUAAAUAAUUUGUUUGAGAUCAUAUUAUACCACGUCAGUGUCCUCACAAACUCGUAUGAGUUUGCUAUAGCUCAAGUCAAUAGCAACUAGGUUUGGUUGAUAGAAAUCGUCAGGUAUGACCUUCGGAGGAAAUCCAUGCCAACAUAACCAUCUUAAAUCCUUGGAAAGAUGGUGGUAACUUCCAGUGAGCUUUAUGUUUUUGAGUUUGAGCAAUCUCAGACUCAGCAUGUUUCUAAAUGAUUCUGAACUGAAGCUACGCGUGUCAAACUGUUGUAUAUCUAAAGCAAGUUAACUUAUUGAAAGACCAUGAAAUUCACCAUUUUCCCUAAUAUAGGCCUUUAUACACCAAAAAAUGGGAGGUCUAUCAGCUGAGCACUUAACUGUUAGAAAGCAGGAAAUUAAGCAUUGCCCUUGAACGUUUGUGUUCAAGAGUCUAACAUGUCUUGCUCUGCAUCUUCUGAAGCUGAAAGGCCACUCACUUCUUCUUUGUCAUCCUCCCAGUCACUGUCUUCCAAUUGAGGACUCUCGGACCUCUUCUCUGACUCUGCCCCUUGCCUUCUCAUGUGUUCUGAAAUAUUUCACGAAAGCAAACAAUUAAAGACCGGGGGCAUGUAUAGUCUGGGGAAUGUGAGGCAAGAGAAGAGGAAAACUUACUUUUAUUGGUAAUUGCGUGACGAGUCAUGACCAAGAAUUCAUCCCACUUGAAUUUCCUGAGUUCUUGCUUCUCCUCCUCAGAAAGCUCAAAAUUUGGUUCCCUCCCACACAUGAAAGCAGCCCUGAACACAAAUAACAAAACCAACAAAGUUUAUAUGGCAUAUAAUUUAUUGCAUUUGACACACAAAGCUUACCACCCAUUUUCCCAUUUGGCUUAUCAAGUUUCAUGUUUUUGAAUGUCGGGGGAUUGACACGAACCACUAUAUCAUGUUGAUAAUGCAGACACAACAGACCUUCAGGUUUUAAAAAAUAAAAAACCAGAAGUAACAUAAAAAAGGACACAGGUAACCACUGGUUGGAAUGAACAUAUAGGAUGGCAUGUUCUAUCUGGUGACCCUGUCCAAAGAACGUGAACAAAAAAAACCAGUGUAGCAACAGUGAAAACUAAGAUUGUUUUACUUGGUGUAUCUAAAAACAUGAUGACGAACCACUAAACAAGAGAAGGCAUUCGGUAGUCGAUAGACAAAGGAAAACUGCAAUGGUUUAUGAUUUUCAAUAUUAUGCACUACUGAAAGAUCUUGUAUCUGCUGAUCUUUCCUUAUAGUGCUCAUCCAAUAAAAAUUGUUCGUAGUGAAAAAAAUGUGAUCGUACCUGUCGUACAAAUGAGCAGCCUCUUCUUGGGAACCAACAGUGCCCAAGUGGAUUUGUUUCUUGUCAACUUUUAUUGCUGCAUGCCACUUCAUAUUCUUAAAAUACACACCUCUCAGUAGACUUGGUUCCUGGUUUUGAGCAUACUUUCUGCGAUGUUGCUUUCUGUGUUUGACUGGUGGCCCUGAAAAUAGCAUAUUAUGUUUUAGAAACGAGCAACCUGUAACACAGGCCUCUCAAGCUAAUUGUAAUGGAUAAACGUAUAUGUUAUUUUUAAUACUUCCAUUAUCAAGAUUCAAGAAUAUGCCGUGUGCAGGAGGCCUAGGCAAAUAUACAGAAUUACUGCAAAAUCAAGAAUAUGCUGUGUGCCAAAAUAUUUCUAUAGGCAAAUAUACCAAAAGUUGAAAAUAACUGCAAAUUAAAAAUCUUGCAUCUUCUCUGAGAAGACAAUCAUGAAGUUCCUCAUAACGUAAAGACAGAAAAUACAAGUUUCAAAAGGAUGAGUUCGCAAAUUUGUGGUCCAAUAGUCCAAGACAUCCAGCAUUCUAAUCUAUGAAUAUGUAAUUAGAAAUGAUAGAAAAUUUAAUUUAAACAACAAACCUGCCACAUCGUGCUGCUCUUCGGAUAAGCUAAAACCAGAUGCAAUGAAGGAACGAGGUUCUGCUUUCACAAUGGUAUUCUGGUAAUAAGUAAAGCAUCAGAUAGAAUGAAACUAAGAAGCUAAGAAAUGAUUGAAAUGAAUCCAGAACUGAAAUGAAAUAUCCCAAAUAGAGCUUUUGAUUUCCUAUUUAUGGUAUAUAUUUUUACUUUUUUUUCUGAACACAUUCCUUACUAAAAAAUGCUACUUUUUAGCUUUUUUGAUAAGCAACUAUGAAUUAAGAGCAUACUGGAUCACAAAACCAGGUUUAGGGGCACCAACAUCUCUAAGGGUUUACUGCUUAUAGAAAUGCUAUUCUUACUUUGAAUGAGAUAUUGUUAUUUUAUAAACCGUACUUAGGUCUUAUAUGGCGAUCAUUGCCAUCUUACCAUUUUUCUCUCGGUACCCUGCUAAGCUUACUUCACGUUAAAAAGCAAUAUUACGCCAUUGAGACAUUCUGCCUGCGGAUUUUUGUUCUAAAUUAUAUAUAUGGAACUUUUCUCUUACCAUACAUACAUGUAUAUUAACAAAAAACGUAGAAAUCCUGUCUGACGAGUGUCCUAAACAAGCUAAUAAAACCUUCAAACAAAACAGUACCCCAUAUAAUGUAUGUAUUUAAUGAUCGAUUGAUCAACAAUCUUUUCUUACCCCAUCUGGUUGAUUUGCAUCAUUCAAAGGCAUGGGAUGCACAGUGACAGGAUUUGUACGGGGUUUCGAGGAUAGGUAGGAUGGACUUAGCACUCCAACAACUGGGCCAGUGACCUUUAGUGGAACAGGGUUGUCCUCGCUGAAUUCAAGAGAUGUCCAGUGUAACGGUUCAGCUUUAGCCAGGCGAAUUUCAACUUUGGUGGACAGAACGUCAAAUCUGCACAUUUCAGGUAUUAUCUUUCCAAAUAAGCGGGUCUGAAAAUGAUAUGUAUCUUCACCAGCAACAUCAAUGCUAACACCUAGUUUUUGUUCACCAAAGUCAACAUUAACGUCUUUGGCUGAUAUGCCCUCAGCGAAUAUAGUCACAACCACUUCUUCUGGCUUCUGGUAGAAUGCAGGCCUGUAUUUUGGUUUGACAUAUGUAGUGGUCACCUGAUUGGAAGGUUGACUCGCAGGCUGAACAUUUUUUGCAGGUAUAACAUUCUCUGUAAUGUUUUUCUCCAAUGAAGCCGUUGGUAGAACAGCAGUUUCCUCUGCAAUUUUCUCAUCACACUCUUUUAUCAAAUUAGCGAAUCUUGUCUCAUGUGGGGCCAAAGGAGCACCAAUUUCCAGGGUUGCCUUUGCAGUCUGAUAUUCCUCGAGCUUGAUGCAGGCAAUUCCUUUGCGCAAAUACGCUUUGUACAAUAAUGGAUCGAACUCGAUUGCCUUGUUCGCAUCCGCAACAGCCUCAGUGAGAUUGCCGGAUUUGAUGUUGGCCUGCGCGCGGUUGGUGUAGAGCUCGGCGCUCUGAGGGUUGAAAGCAAUGGCAUGGGUGUAGAGGUCAACGGCCAACUUGAAGCAGUCGUCGAUGAACGCCUCAUUGGCACACUUUUCGAGAUCGGAAGCCAUGGGCAGACAACCGUCCAUGUGGACCGAGGGAGAUGGAAGAGUCUAGAAAAACAAAAAAAGUAUACAACUAUGGUUAAUUGUUGAUUUCUUUACAUAGAUGAGAAACUAAAUACAAUGUAUAAUAUUUAAGGAAAAAAAAAUACAUUGAUAAACCAAUAAAUUAUUAAUUUACCGAUUAUUUAAUAUUCCGCUAUAUUAAUAGUCUUCAUUGGUCUCAAGGCUAUUUAUUUAUAGAAGUUUAAUUAUAUAUACAACAACAACAAAGUCUUUUCCCACUAAGUGGGGUCGGCUAUAAUUUGGCAAAUAUACGAUAUAACUCUAAUAAUUUCGGAAGUACAAACCUCUUCAGAUGAAUUAUUUCUUGGUACAGCACCAAUCUCCUCAAUGCUAGUGUAUUUGUCACCGGCAUUACCAUCAUCCCAGACUAGAUUAAUUCCUGUUUUCAUCACUCUCCCUAUUACUCUCCCUCUCCCAUGAGCCUUUGUAACUGCAGAAAUCGAGACUUCGUCUCCACUUUGCAAAUGGAGUACAUCAUUUGAUAAUACACUUUGCAAACGGAGUACACUAUCAGCUACCCAGCAGGUAGAUUCUUCCCAGGUGUGCAAAGCCUUACGCUUGGUAAUAUUUGUAACAGUAAAUCCCGGACAAUAUGUUUCGAAAACACAGCACACAGUCAAUCCUCUAAAAUUACAAGGCACUUUAAAACGAACAUCAUUGGGCUCAUGAAUACCAACAAUCUGGAACCACUCCGGAAUAUCAUAAAUUCCAUUGAGAAAAAUGUCACCAUGUCCGCAAGAAGUCCAUCCCUAGAGCAUACCACGUAAAGCCAGAUUAAUUUGUAUAAGCAAGUCUUAAUUAUGCAUGCGUGUCAUGAACAUGUACAGUACAGGGGCCUCUGUGGGAGUGUGAUAGAAAGAGGAAGAGAAUAUGUCUCUCAGAGGGAGAUCUGUAGGAUGUUCUUCCUAAAACUCAGCAUGUACAUGUCAUUAUUAUGCAUACGAAAUACAUUCUUGUACAUGCAUGUUUUUGGUGUGUUUGUGUGGAUAUGUGUGUGUGUCUGUGAGGGAGAGAGAGAGAGAGAGAGAGAGAGAGAGAGAGAGAGAGAGAGAGAGAGAGAGAGAGAGAGAGACCUGUAUGAUGUUCUUCCUAAAAUCAGCAGUGAGAUUGGUGCAGCCUUCCAUAUGAAUCCUUCUCAUAGUGUGUAACGACUUAUGCAAGCCUAGAAUCUCACUGAGUUUGGGGGAGUGAUUUAGAUGCAGUUCUACCAUACUUGACAUUUCUGAAAAAUUUGGCAGUUUUGCGAGUGCAAUGCACUGAUUCGCUCUCAAGAUUUCCAAACUUCUUGGUAAAUCCGGGAUUUCAAGAAGAUUUUUGCAAUAACUCAAAUCUAACAUUUUAAGCUUGGAGAGUCCACUGAGGCUAGGUAGGCUAUAAAACAAAUUGCCAUCAAGCUCCAAUAUUUCUAAGGAAAAUAGACUCCCAAGAUCCUUAGGGAUUGCAUCAUCAGUUAAACCACAGUUUCCAAGACCUAAAAGUGUCAAAGAAUUUAAGCCAUGCAAUGAAAGGAGCACAGAUCUCAGGUUCUUCAAUCCUGUUAUUGAGGAUGGUAAUUUCCUUGUCAUUGUAUGGCUUGCUUGAGGUGUUGUCGAUGAUACCAUCUCCCCCUUGUCCUUCAGUUUUAUAAAUCCUGUACAGCCUUUAAGAAUAAGAGUCUCAACUGAUUUUGACUUACAGAAAUCCCCUGGAAAAUACUGAAGCGUUUUGCAGUCUUCAAGAUUUACCAAUGAAAGUCUUUCAAGAUGCCCAAUAGAUGGGUGAAUCUUAGACAAUCUUACACAGUUUACCAAUAUCAGUUUUUCAAGAUUUGGGACUUUGGAAAGAUCUGGUGAUUCUGUUAGGUAAUGGGAAUGACUGAGAUUGAUGAUUUUCAGAUUCUUGAGCAGCUGCUGGGGGAAAAAAAAAAAAAAAAAAAAAAAAAAAAACAGAACACAAAAUAGAAAUUCAAAUAGAAGAGAGAGAAAGCAAGAUAUUGGUAUUCACAGAAGCUGAAGAAAAUAAUUAAUAAUUUGUUUGAGAUCGUAUCAUACCACGUCAGUAUCCACCCAAACUUGUAUGAGUUUGCUAUAGCUCAGGUCAAUAGCAACUAGGUUUGAUUGAUCGAAAUCUUCAGGUAUGACCUUCAGAGGAAAUCCAUGCCAACACAGCCAUCUUAACUCUUUGGAAAGAUGGUCGUAACUUCCGGUGAGCUUUAUGUUAUUGAGUUUGAGCAAUCUCAGACUCUGCAUCUUUCUAAAUGCUUCUGUACUGAAGCUACACUCGUCAGACUCUUGCAUAUCCAAAGCGAGUCCUUCAACGUCUUCUGUUCCCUAUUACAAAAAAUAGUUGAAAAUUGAAAACAAACCAACAACAACAACAACAACAGAGGAACUAAGAAAAGGGUUAUAUGCAAGUGAAAAGGUGAUUAAUUCAUACAUCAGAACCACAAGGCCUUGAAUUGGAUGGAUGAACCACAUGAGAGGUGGACAAUUACACAAUAUAGAACAUGGGACCUCUCAUAGGCAACUUUUAUUAUAUAUCUACUAUAAUAUGCUUAUAUGUCUGGAUUAUAACCAUAAAGUUGUACUUUACAUCUGUCUACAUUAAUUAGGUAUCUUUAGCAAGCUUCUGUUACAGGUAUCAUAAUUCACAAAUUGUACUUAACCAGAGGAGGACAUGUGUGAUUCUGUUAUUUAAUUUGAGAUGAUUCAAUACAAAAAGCUCCUUUUUUGUCUCUUACAGUUUCCUUUCUCUGCUACAUUAGUACAUGCAUUUAACAUCAAAUUUAAUUGCAAAAGUACUCACAGAUUGCUUCGUCAAUACGUCUGUUAUAUCUUCAUUAUACCACAAUCUACUACGUUCUCCAGGAUUGUCAGGGGAUUCUGCACGCACGAUUUCUCUGCCCAUGCCUUGAAUCAAAUCAUGCAUCAUGAGAUUGCCUUCUUUAUCAACAGUUACAAGGCAUUGAUCUUGGAGUUCUCGAAUCCCUAUUUCUGGAUAAAACUGACAGCCAUCCAGUACUGUCAUGACAUAGUCCUUGUUCAUUCCAGUAAAGAAACAAGAGAUGUCAAGGAAUAUAGCCUUCACGUCAUCAUCAGUUAGCCCAUCAUAGCUUAUUUCAAGUCUUCUGUGAAUUUCCCGAUAAGGCUGUGAUCUUUUCCAUUUAUCCAGUACAGUUUCCCAUUCACUUGUGCUUCCUGUACGUAUAUAAGAACCUAAGACUUCAAGUGCUAGUGGCAAACCUCCACAGUAGCCAACAGCCUUUCUUGAGAGCUCAAUAUACUCUUCAUUAGGAUAAUUGUUUCUAAAGGCAUGCCAACUAAGUAGUUCAAGAGCUUCUCCUUCAUUCAUUGCUGGCAGAGGACAUAUCUUAUCCACAUUAAUUAUCUUUAGCAAAUGUUCGUUUCUUGAAGUUAUAAUGAUUCUGCUCCCUGGACCAAAGGAGUCAGGUUUAUAGCCAAAGCAUCUCUUUGUUGAACGCUGUCUAAAUCAUCAAUUACGACAAGUACCCUUCUGUUGCCUAACCUUUGUUUUAUCUCCUUGGUCCCUUCAUUGAUACUACUUACCAAUAUGUAGGCCGGUUUCAAGAUAUCAGAAAUAAGUUUUUUUUGCAAAUCAACCAGUUUCUCUUCGCUCGCAGUUUCAAGGAAACUUGCACCGUCAAAACUAUGAUGAUGUUUGUUGAAAACGGCUUUUGCAACCGUUGUCUUACCCAGUCCACACAUACCCAAAAUUCCAAUUAUGCGAACAUCAUUUGAUCCUCCAACAUCUAAAUGCUUACUAAUUUCUCGCACACGAGAAUCUAUUCCAACUAGCUUCGUAGGUACCACUAAGCGAUUGUUUCUGCUCAGUUUUCCAGUGAUCUGAGAAACAACGUUCCUGAUAAAAUUUCCUUCAUUCCUGGUUGUUAAAAUUCAACAAAGCAAAAGUAAAAAUUUAUUAUGCGACUUCAAGAUCACAUUAAUCUUUCAGAAAUUGACGAGUCAAAAUCUCCAGAUACUAUUACAAUUUCCUAAACUGAAAUCUUGGUUGUUAAAUUUCAACAAGGCAAUUAUUACCGAUUAUUUUUUUAUUGUGUAUAUCGAUAUUUUACACUAAGAAGAAGAGAGGGAAUUCGGCUAGGUCACACAAUAAGCAACAUAAUUUGGUAUCGAAUUCGCCAUCCACGAUAUUCCAACAUAAGAUCUCUCGCUUAUAAGUGAAGAGUUAUACCAUCAAAUCCUAGUAUUGAGUGGCUAGAUAAGCCUGAUAUAAUCAUUACUUAUACAUAAAUAAAUAAAAUGGAAGGGAAAUUUCAGCCACACAAAGUAAAGAAAAUAAAAAGGAAAUAAGAAAGUAAUUACCCGGCAGAUUUGGUUCCAACAACGUCAGUCUGUCGAAAAUUGAAUCCGGCCAAACUUCCAGCUUCCUUAAGAGCGUUUCUCCAGAGAAGUACCUUUUCUUCCUUAACUUCCUGUUCAUAUUUCUGAAACGCCUGUGCAAAACUACCACUCUGGUUCAGGACAUCUGAGGAAUCAACACCAUAGAAGAUUGGAAAAACCAUUUGACCCAGUGUUUUUCUGCACUCCAUGAUCUUCACCAGCUCCUCGAGACACCACGCGGACUCUGGAUACCCUCUUGAGAAGACGACGACGGCAACCUUAGACCUUUCGAUUUUUUGAAUCAGGUGUUCUGGUAUAGCUCUAUUACUUUUUUCUAGCUUGUAAUCGUAUUCGUCUCCGUACAUGAAGACGUUGAAUCGGUGGUCUUCUAAUGUACAGUAGAGGUGGUCCGUGAAGGUCGUGCGUGUGUCUUCACCUCCAGAACUCAAGAACACGUCGUACAUCGGAUCGUCUUUGGAGGAUGAAUCCAUCAAUUGUUACUCCAGGAUGUCUUGGCAGGCAGCACAGAUCAAAUUUGAGAUCUACAGACAACCGUAAGGGCAAAGUAAACUCAAAACUCCGAAAAGAAAAGUGGGAACUGGCAAGUGACAAGUCAAUUACGAUCGAUCCCACCCAUUUUAUUUUUUGAUCCAACGGUAUCAAAAAGCUCAAGGAAGAAAAAAAAAAUUUAACCAAUUUUUUUAAGAGAAUUUUAACUAAAAGCUACCGGUACGGUUUACUUUAACGAAAAAUCAUAUUUUUACACUAAAAAAAUCAAUCAUCGUACUUUUUAUUUUAUCCUUUAUUUUGUUCCUAUCGUUAAAAAUUAAAGUUUUUAAACCAUUUUCAUUAGUUUUCUUUUUUUUUAAAGACAAAAUAACACCUAUCCUUCCUAGAAAAAAAAAUAAAAAUAAAAAAUCCAACUGUCACCCAAGGGCCAAGAGCCAAAAGACACAAGCUGUGUGAAAGGUGCUAAAUCGUCUCACUCCUUACUUUAGUUUAGUACAAGACUGGACCUUUGUAUCAAGGAAAACGAUAGAUUGCCGAUGAACUAAACCACCUAAAAAAAUCUAUGACAACUUUAAAGAAGGAAAAAAAUAUCUAUGACAAUUUGAAGAAAGCAGAUGGCAAAUCAAACAGUAAACACUGAAUUAAAAACAAUAAACUCAUCCAUACAUCCAGCUCCCAUCUCUCUCAAAUCUGUCAGUCCCUCAAAGUCACCCAUACCUCCCUCAGUCACCCCUUCCUGACCGGCCAACCCCACAAACUGCACACAACCAUGCCUUCCCCUCUCUCUCUCUCUCUCUCUCUCUCUCUCUCUCUCUCUAAAAUCAGAGGAAACCUCAUAGAUCCUGGCAGAUGACGUAGAUAAAUCUCUCUCUCAUUGAGUCGAAAGCCCUAACACCCAUAUCUCUCCAAUAUGUCACUCCCCCUGUCCUCCCCUAACCACCCGAAGCACAGCCAUCUCUCCCCGAGUCAAAAUUGGCGGCCCUCACUCUCUCUCCAUUCUAUCAGCUCUUAUCUCUCUCAAAUCUGCAGGUGACUCCUCUCUGUGGGUGAUUGUGUGCCCAAACCCCAUUUCCAUCCGCCCAAUACAAAUCCAACCAAGCAAAUAAAACCCCAUCCAGAGCCUAAACCCACAAAGCCCAUUUUUUAAAGGAAUGGCAUGCCCGUAAAUAAAAUGAAAUUCGAACCCAAACACUAUUCAUUUCUAUAGUGCUAAUUCCAAUGCUUUCCUUAGACUAAAGUAAUUUUAUUUUAUGGGUUAAUAUCAGUUUAUUACUCUAAUAUUUAGUGGUUUUCAACAUUUGGUAUAUGAAGUUUUUUUCAUCUCAGAGUCAUACCUCAAGUCUUAAUUUUGGAGCAGUCUCGUACUUUCGUUAGUCAUUCUGUUAAGGACUCUGUUAAAACGUGAUGUGGCACUUGAUUGGGCAACGACAAUGCAAAAUGUGGCACUGUGGGCUCCACAUAGACCUAUAAAACAAUUAGAUAAUUAAAUAAUAUUUUUUGCCUACCUUUUCUCCAGUAAGAAGAACAAAUAAAUAAAAAAUAAAAAUAUUAUAACUCCCAUCUUCUCAAAGUCUUUAAGCUUGUUUGGAUGUAUUUUUAAAAUAACUGAAAGCGCUUUUGGUGAAAAUACUUUUGAAAACUAUCCUUAGUAAAAAUGUUAGUAAAUUCUUGAAAAGUACUUAGGGUGCGUUUGUUGCACCGGACUGUCUCGGACUGGACUAGCUUCAGGGACUAAGCUGGACUAACUUAAUGAAAAGUUUGGUGCAGUGUCGGACUAAGAAGCAAAAUAAUAAUAAAUUCUAAUAUUAUAUAGUUUAAUUCAUAAUUUAUUCCUAAUUCUAGAAACCUCUCCGUCCAUCAACCUCUGUUUUUAUUCCUCAUUUUUCUCAGUCCCACCCUCAUCCUCUUUCUCUACCCUCUCCCUCUCUGCCUCCUAUCUCAAGUCGUGGAAAAGGAAGAAACUUGCUCUAAUUCUCCUGCACUUGAGCUUCCAAGAAGGACCCAAAGUCUUGAGCGAUUUGUAUUUCUUUUUUUUUUUUGUUUUUUUGUCAAUUCACUGUCAUUUUCCCAGGCCCCAGAUCCGGCCGACCCAGACUCUUUUCGUAGUUGGAGCUAACGAUUUGAGACAUGUUGGGGGAGUUGGUGUGUUGAGUCGACGAUUCAACGGCGGAGGUUGUGAAAGUCCAAGCUUUUCCGAUGUAUGUGCGGCAAGACACGCGGUGAUUCAACUACGGAGUCAUCGAGCUUUUUUUUGGAAAAAUCAAACCCGUUUUCUGGUGGAGUUGGUGAAGGGAAGCAGACGAGCGACAGAGGAACGAAGCAAGUCUUAGUUUGUCCCAUGGUUUUCGGGGACUCUAACUAAGAACCUCUAGUGACGCUGUCAGUCCCGAUGAGUCCGGGCUAAUCUCAUUAAUCUUAGCCCCGCAUGAUAACAAACACUGGACUAAACCAAAAGUUAGUCCAGUCUGGUCCAGUGAAACCUAGUGAAGCAAAACAAACGGGCCCUUAAAGUGUUUCCAGGGAGAAGCACAUAACUGGUGCUUCUUGUAGAAAGCACUUAAAGUGCUUUUGGAACUCAAAAAUAUUUUCUUUAAAAGUGCUUUCAAUCAUUUCAAAAGCACAUCCAAACGAGCCCUUUAUCACCUACAACUUCUCCAACCACCCCUACAUCUCCUCCGACAACCACGCUUCCCUAGCCGCCAUUUUUCACACACCUAGAACCUAAAUCCUCCAUUUUCCUCACUGCCUCCAUCUCAUCCUUCGACUCUUUCGCUACCAUAGUUAUCUCCUUCACCAAACCCACAACCUCUAUCGCUGGCAUAGCUGUCGAUUACGGCGAUCCAGAUCCGAAAACCUUAUGGAAGAUUCCACGACAUGUUGAAUAUGGCCACGAUAGUGAUCGAAUGCUCGGAUUUGGCUACGGCGAUGAGUGAGUUGUCUGGGAUCGGGAACCCCAACUGGAUUGGGACAAAACGACGACUUCAGAUCUUGGCUUCGUCUGUACAAUUAGGCAAUUAGGAACCGAUUCUUUGAACCAUGAGGGAUCCAAAACCUUGGCGACGUCUUCAGAUCUCGGUCUCGAUGGCGAAGAUGAGCUAUUGGAAAUAGCUCGUUGUCGCGGACCAGAUCCAUUGCGAAAUAGAUCUUGGACUUGCUUGCCAUGACCUUUUUAGAGUUGGAUGAUGUUGGGUGCUUCACCAUCCUCAUCACAAAGGACGAUGUUGGGGUUCUUUUUUAGGUUUUAGGUUUUAAAUUUUUUAAUGUUUAAUUUUUAUAUUUUUUUAUUUUAAAAAAAAUUAAUAUCCAUGUAGGUCAUAUUGACAUGUGGCGUCUAUUCAUUGUCUACAUAAAUGCCACAUCACCAGUUAAUGACUUUCUUAACAAAAAGACUAACAGAAAUAUGAGACUGUCCCAAAAUUAAAACUUGAGGUAUGACUCUGGGAUGAAAAAAAACUUCAUGUACCAAAUGUUGAAAACCAGGAAAUAUUAGGGUAGUAAACUGAGAUUAACCCUUGUUUUAUAUUAUGAAUACUUUACUCACUCCUUACUUAGUUUAGUGUUUUAUAUUAUGAAUAUUUUAUUAGGUAGAUACAGGUCGGGCAAAGCAGACACUCUGCACUCUCAAUCAAGGUUCUAAAAAACGUUAGGCGCUAGUCGGGCGGUGGGCUGGCGCCUAGCGCCUAGCGCCUAGGCGGCUAAGACCAUCUCCAACCGAAGGGUCUAGAGGGCCAGAGGGCCGAAAAUAGCCCUAAAACCGUCUCCAACCGAGGGUUAGGCUAGAGGGCUCGGGAAUCUGGGAGGGCCCCACGGGAUCGGAGAGGGCUGGAGGGCUGGAGGGCUGGCUGCUUUCGGCCAGCCAGCCAGCCUCGGGCUGGCUAUUUUUUUUUUAAUGUUUCUUAUUUCUGUCGGUUACAACCGACAGAAAUAACAUUUUGAAUUCAAACUUCCAACGGCUAGCGCCACUAGCCGUUGUAAAUCCUUUUUUUUUUUUUUAUGAAUUUAAACCUUUUUUUUCUUUUUUUUUCUAUAACUUCCUAUAACUUCUAUUUUACAAAAUUUGUUUCAAUUUUUUUUUAAUUCUAUUUUUUUUCCUAUAACUUAUAUUUUACAAAAUUUGGUUCAUAUUUUUUUCAUAUAACUUCUAUUUUACAAAAUUUGUUUCAUAUUUUUUUUUAAAAUUCCAUUUUUUCCUAUAACUUCUAUUUCACAAAAUUUGUUUCAUAUUUUUUUUAAAUUCUAAUUUUUUCCUAUAACUUCCUAAGCCAUUAUACAACAUUAAAUUAAAUUAAGUAACAUGAAACAACAUUAAACAAUAUGAAACAACAUUAAAUAACAUUAACCGACAUAAAAAUUAUACAACACUAACCAACAUGAUUUUUAAAUAAAAUUAAGUUGUAGUUUUUAAAUAAUAAAUUAUGUUUGGCCCUAUGGCCCUUUGGCCCUCGGUUGGAGACGGUUUUUUUUUACAGGGCUAAAACGAGCCCUCUGGCCCUCUGGUUCUCAGUUGGAGACGGAGGCAAAUAUGGCCAUGUACUGUUCAUUAAAAUAUUAAUAUCUUGGAGAAUCUUAGAGGGCCAGAGGGCUAAAACGAGCCCUCUGGCCAGCCAUCGGUUGGAGAUGGCCUAAGAGGGUCUAGGCAGGCGGCCUAGGCAGAUUUAGAUAAAUUUCUUGUAUAUCUUAUAAAUAAGUGCAUAUUAACACUUACAAAAAAUUAUACUUGUAUGAAAUCUAUGGAUAACAUAAUAAAAGAAUGAUAAAAUGAAAAAAGAGUACCCAACAAGUCCAAUUUAAAAACACAUUAACCAUAUAUGCCAUAUAACCAUAAUGAGGAGUAUAGUAGGAUGACACAUGUAUUACAAGUUCACAACUUAGACUUAGAUAGGAUAUUUUUUUUAAAUUUAAAAAAUAAAAAAAAUAAAAAAUAAAAUAAUAAAAUAAUAAAAAAACCACUUAGCCUCCUAGCACUGCCUAGCUCGCCUAACCCGCCUAGAGCCCAGCCAAUUUGCAAGAAAAUGCCUUGGGUCACCACCGCUGAGUGCCUAGGCAAUUUUUUAGAACACUGCUCGUAAUUGAGUGCUGAGCAAAAAUAAGGAUGAGGUCUUCUUUGUGAGGAUCUUAGAGAUUCUCACAUUUUAACUGUUUUGUACGAUCAAUUUUCAUUCAGUACUAUUUGUGUUUAAUUUUAAAUAAAAUUUUAAAAUGAUUUCUGAAUGCAAGAUAUACGAUGAAUGACUAGAAUCGGAUUCCCACAAUUUAUAUCCGGAUGGGAUCCAAAUCCCAAAAACAAGUCGUAAAAGAAAUGUAACAAACAAUUUACUCAAUAAAAUUUUAUUCUCAUUUGUUUUUUGGAAGAUUAUUAAUUUUGAGGUCAACUCAUUCUAAACAAUGCGUUUAUUAAUCACACCUUUUUUUUUAAUAACGAAAUACGUUUUGCUUCUAACAUGAUAAAAAUGAAUUUUCGAGAUCAAUGUCUUUAUUUGAUUUUGCGGUUGCACUUAGGUGGAACCCUAGACUACCUACCUACCUUUUUUGAGGGAUCAAGCCGCUUGUUCUUCAUCAUUUUCAAUGAGUGAAUGACUCACUGAAAAAGAAAGAUUUGGUUAUGCUGAUAAUAGAUUGAUUAUGCAUCCUUCGUAGAAUCAAACUGGCAUAAUUCUAGAUUUUCGAUGAGUGUAUGACUGAAAGAAAUUUUUUAUAUUUUGGUGAAUUUGGUUGAAUGAACUAGGGAUUUGAUUUGAAUUUGGACUUUGUGAUGAAUUUGGUUGAGGUGAACUAGGGAUUUGAUUUGGACUUGUUUUGGUUUUGUGCAUUUCCAUCUAGAUCGAAUCUAGAUUGCCUACACCUUUAGCGGAUCAAAUCUGAUGUAGUUGAAGAUGUUUUGUGUGGCUUUGUGCCAUUUGGAAUAUGAAGUGGCUUUGUGCCAUUUCGACCAAUUCGGUAAUUUUCAUGGGAAUUUAACCUAUUAAUGUGACUUGGUUCACAACUGCUGAAUUUGAGGUAAUUUGCCUCCAUGAUUUUUGAAGAUUCGCAUCCACUAAUGUGACACGGUUCGAAGUUUUCUCCAUGUUUUUCUUUAUUUUGGACUACUUGGAUGUGGUAUGCCUCCGCCAAGCCGUUUCGUUCUUGGUCCUGUUUGAUUCAUUGAGCCUAAGUUUGAAAGCUAUGACCAUUUCCAACCGAUCAAGCCAAAGGGUCAUAGGCCAAAAUAUAGCCAAUUUUGACAGAAAAUCGUCUCCUAUCGAGAGCUAGGCCAAAGGGCUUGUGAACCCCACUAAGCCAUACUUCAUCCAUUAGGCCAGUGGGCUGGCCAAAAAGAGCCAGCUAGCCCGUUUCUAGCAGCCCAAAACAGGGAGAGAAUAGGCGUGCCCCAUCUCACUGAGACCGAUUGCACAGAUUCCAAAGACACGUGUCCUAGCUGAGAACGAAACACACCCUAAAAUCCAUGGAGUAGGAUUCUCUCCCCUCUUUUUUUUCCCUCCCCUUCCCUCCCCUCCUAUUUGAACGGUCACAAUUAAGCUACAUCAACAUCUUAUAUUAAUUUAUUAAAGAAAGAGAAAGAUAAAAUAAAGAAUGUGAGAUGAGGAGAUGGAAAGAAAAGGGUAGAGAAUCAUAAUCCAAAAUCCAUUAAUGUGGACAACUCCUUGCAAGGCAUGUGUCAUCCUUCCUCAGAAACAAUGAUGCCUCCAAAAUAAUAUUCACAUUCUUCUACAUCCUUUCAUCAUUCUAUAUCAUCUUACCUCAUUUUAUUUCAAUUCUUCACAUUCUAUUCUCUUACAUUUUUCAAUAAUCUUUCCUUUAAUAUUUUCAAUAAUUUUCAAAUGGCCACAUCUUCAAUCAAAGAAAGGGCUUAUUCAUUUAACAACAAGUGGCACUCAAAAUACGUCAUAAAACCUUAUUUUAAUUCAAUUAACAAUCUUAAUUCAAUUAAAAUAAUAAAUUAUUGAGGGGGCUAAAAAAUAGCCCCCUUCGGUUAGAGAUGGUUUUUUGUUAAACGGGCUAUGUUUUGGCCUAUGGCCAUUUGGCCCCCUCAGUUGGAGGUGGUAUAAAAUAUAGCCUGACUGUUCAUUAAAAAAUAAUUUCUUGCAUACCUAUAGGGCUAAACAUGGCCUUUUGGCCUCCUUUCAGGCCAUCUCAACCGAUCCGGCCAAAGGGUCAUAGGGCCGAAAAUAGUCCAAAAUGACACGAAAAUCGUCUCCAACAGAGGGCUAGUCCAAAAGGCUUAUGGGCCCCACUGGGCCAAAAAUACAAAAUCAGGCCAACCCGCUGGCCCAAAUAAGCUAGCUAGUUAGCCCUGGGCCGGCCCAACCUUUUAAAAGCAACGGCUACCUGGCAUCAGCAUGACGCCAGCUAGCAAUGGCUAGCUGAUGCCAGGUAACCGUUGGAUUUGAAUUUUUUUUUCCUGACAAAAUUAAAAAAAAAAAAAAUUCCAAUUUUUUUCUAUAAAUACCUAAUUCAUUCCUACACCAUUUCUCACAUUAUUUUCACCAUUCCAUACUAUUUUACACGAUUUCUCUCCUAAAUCAUUUCUUACCUUUUCCAAUAAUCUUUGCUUCAAUUUUUUCAAUAAUUUUCAAAUGGCCAGAUCUGCAUUGAAAUGUAGGGCUUGGACCCGAAAAGAAGAUGAAGCUCUUUGCAGGGCUUAUAAGUGGGUCUCCAAAGAUAGUGUGAAGGGGAGUUCUCAAACAAGUGAAGGUGUUUGGACUCGUACAUCCAAAAAAUACUAUGAGUUCUACAAAAGCACCACUCCACCGAUUUCCCAAAACCACGAGAGUUCUUCAAGAUCGAAAAAACAUCUUCAUCCAAGUUUGAAUAAAUGACAUCAAGCAGUGUUAAAGGCCAAAAGCAGACAUGAAAGUGAAGCCAAUUACUACGACCAAGUAAGUGUUUUCACAAGUUAUUUUAAAUGUUUAAUUGGGUAAAUUACAUAGUAGCUCCUCAGGUUUGAGCUCUAUUGCAAUCUCAUACAACAUCUUUAAAACAUUUCACUUUCAUACCUCAAGUACUAUUUUAUUUCAAUUUCAUACAACCGUUAGAUUUUCCAUCCAUGGAUCUGUUAAAUGCUGACGUGGCUGCCACAUAUAUGACACGUGGCUGCCAAAUGUCUGCCACGUGGCAAAUAAAAUAAUUUUUUAAUUUUUUUUUUUUAAAAAAACAUAUCUGCCAUUUUUUUUUCUCUUUCUUCUUCUUCUUCUCUUUCUCUUUCUUCUUCUCUUUCUCUUUCUUCUUCUUCUAGGUUCGGACCUUUUUUUUUUUUUUUUUUCUUCUUCUUCUUCUUCUUCUCCCUCCUCCUCCUCUUUCUUCUUCUCUUCUUCUUCUUCCUCCUUCUUCUUCUGGGUUCGGUCCCUUUCUUUCUUUUUUUUUUUUUUUCUCUUUCUUCUUCUUCUUCUUCUUCUUCUCUUUCUUCUGGUUCGGACCUCCUUUUUUUUUUCUUCUUUUUCUUCUUCUUCUUCUUCUCCCUCCUCCUCCUCUUCUUUCUUCUCUUCUUCUUCUUCUUCCUCCUUCUUCUUCUGGGUUCGGUCCUUUUUCUUUUUUUUUUUCUUUUUUUUUCUCUUUCUUUUUCUUCUCUUUCUCUUUCUCUUCUUCUUCUUCUCUUUCUUCUUCUUCUUCUUCUGGGUUCGGACCUUUUUUUUUUUUUUUCUUCUUCUUCUUCUUCUUCUUCUUUUCUUCUUUUUUUUCUGGGUUCGGUCCCUUUUUUUUUUUUUUUUUUCUUCUUCUUCUUCUUCUCUUCUUCCUCCUCCUCCUCCUCCUCUUUCUUCUUCUUCCUCUUUCUUCUGGGUUCGGACCCCUUUCUUUUUUCUUUUUUUUUUCUUCUUCUUCUUCUCUUUCUCUUUCUUCUUCUUCUGGGCUCGGACUUUUUUUUCUUUUUUUUCCUUCCAAUUUCAGGUUUUUAAAAAAAAAAUAAAAAAUUAUUUUAUUUGCCACGUGGCAGACAUUUGGCAGCCACGUGUCAUAUAUGUGGCAGCCACGUCAGCAUUUAACAGAUCCAUGGAUGGAAAAUCUAACGGUUGUAUGAAAUUGAAAUAAAAUAGUACUUGAGGUAUGAAAGUGAAAUGUUUUAAAGAUGUUGUAUGAGAUUGCAAUAGAGCUCAAACCUGAGAGGCUACUAUGUAAUUUACCCUAUUUAAUUAUAUUACAUUUAAUUUCAUAAAUUAAUUUCCUUUAAUUUUUGUAAUUAUAUUUUCUAGGUACGCCAAGCGGAGGAAUUGUAUGUCAAGGACAACUCGAAACUCUUUAAUCAACACAGUUGUUGGAGAAUUUAUAAGGGGUGGGUGUUAUUUGAAGAUCCACCUCAAGAAAGAAUUGCUCCUAUGCCGGUGUUCGGAAAUGCAUCCUCAAAUGCAGUUGGGGAUGAAUAUGGAUCUCCUAUCGUUCAAGAAACAAGGGUAGAAAAUCUAUCUUCGGGUGAAGGUUCCAUACCUAGGGCUAUGGGACGAAAUAAGGCCCAAAGGGCAAAGCAAAGGAUGAUUAUGCCUUUCAACAGGAAAUGGAGUCCUCAUUACGAUUAAUGGCGAAGCAAAAUGCCUUUGCCGCGGAAGAAAUGAAUCGUAGGCAUGAAGAACGGGCAAAACAAAUUCAAGAAGAGAUGGAUGAUAGGAACAUGCAAAGGAACACUUCGGAUUACACUUCAAUGAGCAAGACCUAUUUUGAUAGGAAAAAAAGUGAAAUUAUGGUCCAACGGGAGUUGUUUACAUCCGACUAUAAUCCUACAAUGGCGGAUGAUGAUGAUGAUAAUUAUAGACUUUAAAUUUAAGUUGUUGUAGUUUUUAAAUUUAAGUUGUUGUAAUCUUUAAAAUUUAAAUAAUAAAUUAUGUUUGGCCUAUGGCCCUUUGGCCCCCACGGUUGAAGAUGAAUUUUUGUCACAUGGCUAUGUUUGGCCUAUGACCUUUUGACCCCUCGGUUGGAGAUGAUAAGAAAUAUGGUCUGGCAUUGUUGUUACGCCCCGGACCCGGGGUCAACAGGAAAACUCUCGAACCCAAAUCCAGUGCACGAGCUAAAAAUAGAAUUAAAUAAAAGGAAAGUGAAACUGGGUGGAAAAAUAUGAAAUUCCUCUUAUAACGAGAAAUCGAUAAUUCUUUACAAGACUAAAAUAAAUAAAUACAAAAUUAUAUCCUCACCCUUAAUCUGAUCUCAUCCCGUCUACCUUUUCUGACUGUUUAGUUCUUAAACCUACUUAACAAUAGAGGGUUGAGCUUCAACAGCUCAGCAGGGACAUAACCUUAUCACAGUAAAUUGACAAUAUUAAAUUAAGUGUCAUGAAAUCAUAUGGCCAAAUAUCAAAUCAUUAUUGAUCAUGAAUGCACUUGAAACUCUUCGGCUACCCCUGUUAAUUUAUAUAAUAAAACAAGCGGACUUGCACGUUCCAUACUGUAACAUCCCACAUCGCCCAGGGGAGUGAUCCUUAAAUGUAUAUUCUCAUCCCUACCUAGCACGAGACCUUUUGGGAGCUUAUUGGCUUCGGGUUCCGUCGGAACUCCGAAGUUAAGCGAGAACGUGGCCAGAGCACUCCCAUGAUGGGUGACCCACUGGGAAGUUGCUUCUGAGUUUCCAGAAACAAAACCAUGAGGGCGUGUCAGGGCCUAAAGCGGACAAUAUCGUGCUACGGUGGUGGAGUAGGCCCGAGAAGUGUUCCGCCCAGGGCGGGAUGUGACAAAUGGUAUCAGAGCCAAUCCCUGGCCGGAAGUGUGCCGAUGAGGAUGUCGGGCCCCUAAGGGGGGUGGAUUGUAACAUCUCACAUCGCCCAGGGGAGUGAUCCUUAAAUGUAUAUUCUCAUCCCUACCUAGCACGAUGCCUUUUGGGAGCUCACUGGCUUCGGGUUCUGUCGGAACUCCGAAGUUAAUCGAGAACGUGGCCAGAGUACUUUCAUGAUGGGUGACCCACUGGGAAGUUGCUCGUGAGUUCCCAGAAACAAAACCGUGAGGGCAUGGUUAGGGCCUAAAGCAGACAAUAUCGUGCUACGGUGGUGGAGCGGGCCCGGGAAGUGAUCCGCCCCGGGCCGGGAUGUGACACAUACCAUGCAUUUUACCCUUGCAUAGAUGGUUCGAAUAUUCUAUUAUAGAAACUAACCCUCAUAUGAUAUCCCAAGUUCAUUGAUCUCCAGCCUAAAUUACCCACAUCGACAAUUCCUGUCAAUCCUAUUCUAAUGUGCACACCGGGCUCGCCUGGAACUAGUUUCACAAUGAUUAGAUUCAACUACACAAAAGAUCAUUUCAAACUACCCUCAUUUCCAUACUUCCAAUCUUAAGGCUGAAAUUUCAACCACAUCAACAUGAAUGAUGCACAAACAAUGUCAUUUCAUCUUUCACAUGUAUCACAGUACAUUCUCAAUGCAUAGCAUUUCAGCAUUAAUUCCAUAACCAAGAACAAGUAAACACUUAACUGAACCAAUUAGCCAAUUAUUAUCCAAUCACAUUAAUCAACCAAAAAGAUCAAGAAUAUUAUAGCACUUCACGAAAUUGAAUAAAAUCAAUUUCUGUAAAGGUUUGCCGUAUUUCCCCUACCUGGAUUCCAAAGCAUUGCUCCGACUCUCUAUUGCAAGAGUCUACCUUCAACAACUCCUAUCCACAAGUGUAAGAAAUUACUAAAAAAAAUGACAUGAACUUUAAUCCUAGUCAGAAUACUUAAGCUUGCUAAUUACACACUACUAAUUCAAAAGUCAUUUGGUUAAUUUACAACAGCAUGGUCAUCAGUGAAGGAAACUUUUGAACUAGAAUACCUUUAUAAAAUAAGUAAAGGUAUACUUCGAAAUACAUAAGUACAUUAACAUACUUCAGCCAAGCUAUAGAUAAAAGCACUAAUCUGUUAGUAUUAUGAAUGAUGUAAAAGCCCUUUAAUUGGCUAUGGUUUUGGCCCAAUUAGAAUAGAACAAACAGCUUAAUAAAAUAAUCUAAAAGAAAAGAAAAUGAAUAAUAUGAAUAUAUAGUUCAAAUACUACCGUAAUGGUGUACUGAACUUAUUUGGUUCAAAAUAAUAGUAAAUUAGAGUAUAGAAAAUUGAAAUAAAGGAAUUAACGAUUAAAUAAGAAGUAAUACAAAACUUUAUGAAAUUAAUAAGUAUAUACAACACAUAAUUAUAUAUAAUUAUUUUUGAAAAUACAGGUCCUCACAAUUGUUUAUUAAAAUAUUAAUUUCUUAAAUGACUAUAGGGCUAAAAGAGUCUCUAACCCUCUUUUGGUUGGAGAUAAGCCUCAAUUGGAGAUGGUAGCCAUUAUGAAUAAUAAUGAUGACUAAUCGUGACAAACGUUUGAAAUCUACAUGAGUAGGUAAGGUUUUGGCAGUAGGCAGUGGAUGUCUCUUUUUGAUUCCCAUCCACUUGUUGUCCACUUGCUCCGUAAGUGCAGCUUUUCAGUGCCUUUUUUUCUUAAGAAAAUUAAUAAAAAUAAGCUUUAAUUUUUUACAUUUUAAUCAAAAAUCGUUUAUUAAUUUUAUUUAACAAUAAAAAUAAAAAGAAUAAAAAAUAAAAUAAAAAAUAAAAAUAUACAACUCACGCUGGGCGCACGUACCUCCCACCCUUUUACCUCUCUUUCACACUCUCCUUUCUCCCGUUGUCAGCUAUCAUUAAGAGUUUUUUUUAGAAUAAGAAAAAGACUUCAAAUUAAAUUACAUUUCUCAGUUUUAUUUUUGUGGUGUUGUUUCCCAAUAGUAAUUAAGAUGACGAGAGACUUUUCAAUGUGUACAGAAAACGGGUAGUACACUACAUGUCUCUAUACAUGUGGUGAGAUUUUUAUGUUAAAAAUUAUUAACGUAAAAAAUAAAGUUUCUCACCACUUACACAAUAACACGUGGUGUACCACUUGUGUUACGCGCAUAAGAAAUUUUUUCUCCAAGAUGACACCUAAGCUCAAAGAAAUUGGAUGAAGAGUUACAUUUAAUUAAUGCAGGUAUGUAAAAAAGUGAGGAAAUUUUAAUUUGGUAACUGAAAACAACUUUUUAAAUAUAAGGCUAAAUAGCCAAAAUGGUCCCUGAGAUUUGCAUAACUCAUCACUUUGGUCCCUAACAUUUCAAAUCAAUAAAAGUGGUCCCUGAGAUUGUCCACCAUCCAUCAUUUUGGUUCUUCCGUUAUGCUAAAACUCACAAAACCUCACUAUGGUAAAACCCACAAAACCUCGCUAUGGUAAAACCUAAGGUGGGAGAAAAAACUCAUAGACUAAGGAGAAAGGUGAGAAGUUGCAUUAAGUCAAAACUAUACGUCUUCUGGAUGCAAGUAAAAGAGCUUACAAGGGUAUGACCAGCCGAAGAUGGGUGCCUCGUCAAAACCUAGUUAGGUAGUAAAAAACCCAGUGGGAAAAAUGCUAUCGUAGAAAAAAAAGUACAUGAAGAUCAAGUGAGUAUAAUUUUGGAUACUUCCGCAGAGUUUGACAAAAUUUCCAAAUAAGAAUGACAAGCAUUGCAUAUGAUUAGUUAGGCAUACCAAUUCCUCAGACAAGUUUCGAGAAAGUAGACUUCGGCAGUGACGUCGUGUAAAGGUUGGCAAGGUUGUCAAGGAUCGGCUUGCAUAACUUCAAUCUCCUGAUGCUUUGUUGAUGUGGUGUAGAUGCAAUAUCUCUUGGCGUUGACUUCGUUGAUGUAUCAUGUCUUUGUCGAGUUGAUACAUGCUGCAUAGUCUUCAUAGAUUGUCGUUAGGACUCAACGAUGGAUGAAGGCAUUGCAUGUACUUCAAAUAUGCUCAACAAUAGCUCUUAACCAUGUCUCACAUGUGGCAUAGUGAAGUGAGGUGAGUCUUGGAAUGAUUUGAAUAUUUGCAACUAAGGUCACAUCGUGGACCUCCAAGAUAUUGCGGUAUCCCUAACGGUAAAGACAUAGACAUUUGGGGAUGUCCCUUGUGCGGGUUUGAUAAGCAUCUUGCGUCAACAUAACAAACAAGGCUAGGAUCAUUCUGAUGAUCAAGGGGUUAGAUUUGCUCGGCAUAUGUUGGGAUUAGCCCAAAUCCGUAGUACCUUCAGGGUAGCAGAAAAACGUCUUUAUUACCAAUUCAGUGGUUGCAUGUAGGCGCGAUGCUACAUCUUUACUAAUAGAUCAACAUCGAAUGAGAUAUCAUGUCUAACAUAAUGAGCUAAGUACAACAAAGCGUAAAGUUGAACUUAGAUAUGGAACUUUAGAUUCCAUAACCUCUUCAAGGGUCUCAUUUGCAUAUAGCGUAUGGAAGAUCAUAGGUAUACUCAAAAGAUAACACCUUUGGGGUGUAGUUCGAUUGGUAGACCAAAAUAUCAUCAAAACACAAAACAACGCUUGAACUUCAGGUCAAGGCAUAAACGAGUUUUCCUAAGAUCCUCAUCUCCAUUUCCAUCUUUAGGUGUUAGGCAGUUUUCUCAAGCUCUUCUAGAGUCUUAAUGAGAUGCAUGUCAUCGACAUAAACUGUAACUCUAGCAAUUCAGAAUAUGACUUCGUAGUUUAACACGCAAUGGCAUAAUUCAUAUCUCUAAUUGAUCAAACAAUCACUUUGACAGGUAUACCAUAUCUGUCGAAUUGCUUCAAUCCGUAAGUGAACACCUCAAACAAGUUGAGAGGGUGUUCCGUAGUCUAACUAUUUGAACUAGUUCAUGUAAUUAUUCGAGAACUUACAUGUCAAUCUCCGUAUCAAUAUUCCUAUCGAGAAACACUAACCACAUUCAUAAUUCUACAGUCAAUCACAGGGCGUUUGAGAGAAACAUUGCGCUGAAAGUAAUGCUAUCUCAUUCAUCUCAUUACAUUUCUUUUCCUACUUGUAACACAACAGGGUUACCUUGGACAGUGUAGGAACGAAAAGUCCAAACACAUUUUGGUAAGGAAUUUAACCUAGAUUGAAAUCUUGGUUGUCCGAUUAGUUUUACGUUGUCAUUAAUCAACUGAAUGUAAUUCAAAAUUGUCGUUUUUCAUUUAUGUCCGUAGCUACCAUAUAAGUGAAAACAUCAUCGAUGAUAAUCUCAUUCCAAUUCCAUAUCUCAUCCAAACUAGUAUACUAGACCAAGAACUUCAAGUCUCAGGAGUAAUCCGGAUUAAUCUUUUGAGGUGAAAAUUAUUUGAGACAACGAUCAAUUAUGGAUUUAUGUUGUGUCGUGAUCUUCCUCUUCUAGGGAAGUGAAUCUUAUGAACCGAGUAAUACGUCGUGCUUCAAGCCAAGAACGGAUUGAUUGACUAUCUGCCAGGGUACCAAGUUGCCCAACAUGGGCAGCCAACACCCUUUAGGAAUGUUGACUUAACGUCUGUUAAGUACAUCUAUCCUUGCAUGCAUGUUUGCAGCUGGCAUAUGAUCUUGUCACUUUAGCUAGAUCAAAGGAAUGCGUCUAGAGCAACAUUCUGAAAGUUAGAAUACAUCACACAUACUUAUCACACUUGUGUGGAUAUGAGACAUAGUGGGCAACGUGCACGCGAAUUUGCUUCGUUCUACAGGAACUUUGACGUUCUUAUCUCCCUCUAAUAGCGAGAAGACUGUCUCAUUCAAGUGACAAUUCACAAAAUGAGCGAUAAGGAGAUCGCAUGCAAAGGUUGUAAAGAGCUAGUGCGAAGGAAAAUCAUAAUCAACAAAGAUUCACAUCCUUCUUUAAGGAACCAUGUUGGUAUGUUGCGGUGGUGCAAACUUGGCACAUGGAAUGCACACCCAAAUGUGUAAGUAUGGAACGUCAGGUUCGUACCUAGUAACCAACUGUAACAUCGAAUAGGUUAGGUGGCAAUGGCCUCAAAGCAAAUCAACAUAGUUGUGUACAUGAUUGCAUAGCUCUAGAAAUCAAUAGCUUGGUGUGUUCACCAAGGUCCAACGAUCAAUUAAACUGCGCUUUAUGAUCACUCUGCGAGGCUGUUUUGGGGUGAACAUGGGAAUUCAAUGUCCAAUUAUAAACCCAAAAAAAAAUGCAAUACUUCUUGAAAACCUUCGAUAUAAACUUUCUAGUAUUAUCCAGUGUUCUAGACUUUAUGGGAUAAUUAGGGUGGUGGUGCCUUAAAAUUGGCCAAGAGGUUUAGCUGCAGUGUGUGUGGACAAACAUGUGACCAGUUUGUCGAUUCAUCAACCAAAACCAUAAGUAUUUAUAUUGUCCACAUUUUGGUUGGAUUAGUCCACAUAUAUUUCCUUGAAUCCACUAUGAAAAGAAGGCCAUUUCGUAUCUUUGCUAGGGAUGAUUUAGAAAAUCAAAUUUCCCAAACGAGUAAGUUUGGCAAAGUGUGUGCUUGUAAACAUAAGAUCCUUACUUUGGGCAAGGAGAUUCUUCGUGGCAUCAUUGUUCGACCUAAGUUUACCAAACGGUCGUGCCAAGGCAAGUAAACUGCUCGAAUCACCCACCUCUAAGUCGGCUACACAUGGCGUAUCCUAGUGGGGAGGUAGCCUAUUGGCCCUAAAAUAAAACUUUAGGCUCAUUUUGGGGGUGAUGCAAAGACAUUCCACUCUAUGUUUCAUCAAUGGUUUCAUUCAUGAUCAUUGUUCUCUCGAAUAUCCUAAAGACUCAAUGAUUUUCUUCUGGAAUGAGGAGAACAUAAGGUCUCUUAAAUGGUAAUUUAGUACCAUUUAUACAAUGAGAAGCAUGCCAAUGCUCUUAAUUAGGUUGGAUAAACCUGAAGUCGUUGUUAAAGAUGUGAUUUAGGUAUAUAGUUAGUGUGCGUAGUGUCGCAUUCAUCCAGACAACUAACUUUCCCACAUUCGUACCUAAUCACGUUUUUAAUUGAAUUCGGUUAGAAACAUUAUUCAAUUAACUCAUAUUCGAGGACAAUAUCGAUAAGAUUAUCCACAAAGUAAACCAAAGUUACUAAAGAGAUUCUCCCAACAAGGUCAUCCAUGUCAAAAUUCUGGAGCAAAAUUAGUCUCAGAUAUUGAUUACGAGAAUGGUACUCCUUAACGAUAUUGGUAGGGGCAUGAAAAGGUGCAUAACCAAUGAAUCUAUUCCACCAAGACGGAAGUAGAUUCUGCAAGGUUGAGGUUUGGGAACACUAUCCCUUAUUCUUGAAGUUUUAGGUCUUAGAGAGUAUCCUACGCACGUUUGGUGACUUUUAUCAUGGCAUUUAUGAUGAUCAGUUUCUCUUUAUUUGCAAUGGUAUGCAGGCCCUCGUUGAUCUUAAGAAUCUUCUACAACUCAGGACAAUCGCAAUUCUCGAGCCUCUCGUUUUUAAGAACUUUUGUGGGCUGGAUGGUGCCUUGGAGAUAUUGAGGCAGCGACUACAGGGUUUAAUGGUGGUGGAAGACCACAGAGAUUAUGCUAUGGAUGUGCAAAGCAUCCGCAAUGAAGUGCAGCAGAAUUUUGAUAGAAAGCUGGAAGAGGUGGUUGCUAAACUUGUUUUGGGUAGCAAUCUGUUUAGAAAUUUACUUUUGGUCGUAACUACCAUCCUAUUAUUUUCUUUUACUUAGCGUCUUAUGGAAAUGACAGGUAAAGCAAAAGGGUGGCCAGGGGAAGACUGAAAUGCAUAUGUGAGUCUUUCGGCCUCCAAAAUGGUGGAUUGACGUAACAAAGCCACCAGCUGGUUCCGUAAACAACAUUACAUACUUGGGUACAUCUGGUGCGCUUGUAAUUUAUGUAUUGCUCUUGAUCUUGGAUCUGUACAUAGCGAACAAUUGGAAAUCUAGUCUCUUUCCCCAUAAGGGAAACUAAGGUAGGCUUUGGUUGUAACUUGUAGUCAUAAAUUGAUAGGUGAAACUUCAGGGGAAGAAAUGUUAUAUGUUAUACUAUCUUCUUGGAAAAUGAAUUUAUCUUGGCAGUCAGCUUAUCCAAGCAUCUUCGGUGAAAAUGAAGUUUUGUUGUGAAAGUAAUUGACGAUUAGCAAACUAGUUUAUAUGCCUGUGUAAGAUUAGUGGGGGUGAACAUGCUAUGAUUGCGUGAUGGAAGUUAAAUUUUCGCUCAGUAACUAAUAACCCAUGUAUCAUGGUGAAUGGGGAGGAGUAGUUCAACUCCUUAGAAGCUUUCUUUAACUUCUCAACGUACGAUAAUUCCAUAUUCUCACAGAAACAGCAUGUAGAAGCAACAAAGAAAGUUUUGAAGUGAUACUUCUACAGUUUGAUACAAGAGUAAGACUCUUUCAUGAAUGAAGUAGGUGAACAAUUCUUGUUGAACUAUUAAAUAGCAAUUUUUCUCUUUGGUACCUAAAAACACGGACUAUCGUUGCAUGAUUGAUUGCUGGAUUUGAUCUAAAAACUUAAAAGUUUAACCUUUGGAUAUGAUGCUACUGUUCAGGCUAGAUCUGUCCCUCGCACAGCUCCUUGGAGCUCUUGCUUGUCAGGCAAGGUUUGCUGCAAUAUGAACUUGCUGUUAGUUUGAAUGGUGCCUUUGUAGGGCCUUUGUUAGGUCGAGUCAUUUGACAUGAUUAAUGAAAUUGAUUGAGUUAGGGUUGAUUAGAAUUUGGGAUGGACACAAAGCGAGGAAUAGAGAGCAGGAAAAUUUGAAAUUGAAGAUCAAUUAUGUGAAGAAUAGUGCUAACUGUGAGAAUGUGAGGACAAAUAUAGGUGAGCGACCAAACUAUGCAAAGGGCUUAUAAAAGGCUGAGUUGCUCUUCAUAUUAUCAAUAAGUUUUAUGAUGGAACCUUAGCUUUCUUCAUGGUAUCCGAAUAGGUUGACCCACGUGUAAAGCCCAAUAGCCACAUGUGCUCACAUCACCCUAUUUGUAUUAUCCACGUGUUAGGCUUGAAAAUUCGUCACACAUGAGGGGGCAUGUGAGAAUGUGAAGACAAAGUCUCACAUUGGUAAGGGAACAAACCAUACAAGGGCCUAUAAGAGGUGGGACUAUUCCCUAUAUAAUAUAUUGCUAAUUAGUUUUAUGGUGAAAUCUCAACUUUAUUCAGUAAUAGUGCAUGAAGAUGAUGAUAUCAUAAAAAUUAUUAGUGGAGCGUGAGAGGGCUUUCUUAAGUUUAGGAGAGAUAACUAAUAAUGUUUCAAUAGAGAAAAAUAAGAUUUGAUAGAAGAAUUGUAAUAGCCAUGUGGAGCUAGGUGUAUGGAAAGGGAAUUUAUAACCCUUUUGGGGAAAGUAUGGGGGAAUUUUAGUUAUAUAAGGUUUUCUGGUCGAGUGAGUAUUGAAAUAAUUUUUCAGACUCCAUUAAGUUUCAGGUGACUGAUUGUUUACUUCAGUGGUAGUCCAGAGUUCAUGCCCUACGCUAACAGUUUGGGGCAGGACAAUUUUGAUGUGGUGAUUUACAUUUAUGAUAUUUAAAAUCAAUAAAAUUGGUUUGUUAACAAUCAAUCAUUUUAGUCAUUUCAUAAAAAAAUUUCGUUAAAUAAAAAUAAAAUAGCAAAAAUACCAUCAAUUUUUGUCAAAUUAUUUUGGCAUAUUAUUUAUUAAAUUGAAGAGUAUUUUUUUCUCAUUUUGGUCCUUAUUUAACAGAAAUUUUCACGGAAUGACCAAUAUGAUUGAAACUGGACAAACUCAGUAACCACUUCUGUUGCUUUCAAAUCUUAAGGACUAAGUGAGGAGUCAUGACAAUCUCAAUAAUCAUUUUAGCUAAAAAGCUGAAGGUAAAAGCCCAAGAUAAUAUUACCCUUUACCCUUUAAUUUUAAAAAACUUGAAAGGAAAGGGGGCUCAAAAAAAUAAUUUUAAAUUGGAAAACAAAAAUAAAGCAAAUUUGAGGUUCAAAUAGAACCAUCAUAAUUCAUUUGUUUUCUAUUGGAAAAAGGUUUUUUGCCAUCUUGGUCUGUGUUUAACUAGCUUUCUUCUAGUUGAAACCUAAUUUCCCUAAUUCUCUAAUACAUUAGUUUCAAAUGUUUUUUUUUUUUCCCGUCAUUCCUGUAAUCCCAGAUUUAUUUCAAAGUAUUUAGAUUUUUGUAACAAAUGUAUAGUUAUAAUAACUUAUUUACAACUUAAAAUCCAGCCAUCUAAACUUGCAAAUUGUUGCAGCCAUGAGGCUCGUUAAUUAUUUUUUAAUAUUUUUUUUCACUGUUUUCCUAUAUGAUAAAGGGUGGUGCAAUCUACACACCUAACUUUACCUCUCACAUAUCCCUUGUUAAUUACUGUCCUUUCUAUUUUUCAAUUCAUUCGAUCAAUUUCAACUGUACAAUACACAAGCAAAACACAAAAGCGAAUACACCAAUUCUGGUUGAUUUCUUAAGAGAGAGUCAUCAUCCAAACCAGAGUAGUGCUAAAGACUAAUUGGAAAACUAAUCAUUGUCCGUACAACCAACAAAAUCACACUCCCAAAUAGGUUACAAGCAUUCAUCCAAGUUCCAACUAGUACUAGAGAGCAGCAACAGUCUAGAACUCCCAUUUCUUCAUGUCCACGCCGACCGGAGCACUUCCCUCAACCUUUUGUUUCCCACUUCCUUACAGUUUGUCUAAGUCAUUGUCCUGUUCCACUCCCCACAGCAUGUCUUGUCUCCACAGAGCACUUCCCUCAACCUCUUGUUUCCCACUUCCUUCCAGUUUGUCUAAAGCACUGUCCUGACUUCCCUCAGCAUGUCCUGUCUCCUCGGUGCCCUUUUUCGUCUGUAUUCGAAGAGGUGAUAAUUUUCCGCACCUCCAUUAAGUUCUUCCCGCCGCAUCGCUUAGUCUACCCUUUUUCGUUUCGGGGAUGGGUAGUACGGGCUUGACGCUCCAACAACUGGGCUACUGACCCUUAGUGGAACAGAGUUGUCCUCGCUGAAUUCAAGAGAUGUCCAGUGUAAUGGUUCAGCUUUAGCCAGGCGAAUUUCAACUUUGGUGGACAGAACGUCAAAUCUGCACUUUUCAGGCAUUAUCUUUCCAAAUAAGCGAGGCUGAAAAUAAUAUGUAUCUUCACCAGCAACAUCAAUGCUAACACUUAGUAUUUGUUCACCAAAGUCAACAUUAACGUCUUUGGCUGGUAUGCCCUUGGCGAAUAUAGUCACAACCACUUCUUCUGGCUUCUGGUAGAAUUCAUGCCUGUACUUUGGGUUGACAGAUGCUACGGCCAACUCGAAGGGGCCAUAGAUGAACGCCUCCUUUGCACGCUUUUUGAGAUCAGAAGCCAUGGGCGGACAACGGUCCAUGUGGACUGAGGGAGAUGUAAGAGUCUAGAUAAAAAGUAUACAACUAUGGUUAAUUGUUGAUUUCUUUACAUCUUUGAGAUAAGAAACUAAAUACAAUUUAUGGUAUUUAAUAAAAUACAAAAUACGUUGAUUAAUUAAUAAAUUUUUAAUUUAUCGAUUAUUUAAUAUUUUGCUAAAUAAUUGUCUUCCUGGGUCUCGAGGCUAUUAAUUUAAAGAAGUUUAAUUAUAUAGAAAACCAAAAAUAAAAACAGAACAAAAUAUAAAAAUAACCAAACCUAAACUUAGGUGCUAAAAUUUGGCAAAUAUACGAUAUAACUCUAAUAAUUUCGGAAGUACAAACCUCGUCUGAUGAAGUAUUGCUUGGUACGGCACCAAUCUCGUCAUUCCUAGAGUAUGAGUCACCACCAUCACCAUCAUCCCAGACUAGAUUAACUCCUGUUUUCAUUGCUUUCGCUCUCCAACCUGUAACUGCAGAAAUCGAGACUUCGUCCCCACUUUGCAAAGGGAAUACAUCAUUUGAUAAUACACUUUGCAAACGGAGUACACUAUUAGCGAAACCGAGUGUAUAUUCUCCCGGGAUGUGCAAAGUCUUACCCUUGGUAAUAUUUGUAACAGUAAAUCCAGGACAAUACGUUUUGAAAACACAGCAGAGAGUCAAUCCUCUAAAAAUUACGACCAAUAAUUUGAGGCACUUUAAAAUGAACACCAUUGGACUCAUGAAUACCAACAAACUGGAACCACUCUGGAUUAUCAUAAACUCCAUUGAGAAAAAUGCCACCAUGUCCGCAAGAAGUCCAUCCCUAGAUCAUACCAUGUAAAGCCAGAUUAAUUUGUAGAAGCAAUAGUCUUAAUUAUGCAUGCGUGUCAUCAACAGUGCCUCUGUGGGCGUGUGAUAGAAAGUGCAAGAGAAUAUAGCUCUCAGAGAGAGAUCUGUAGGAUGUUCUUCCUAAAACUCAGCAUGUACACGUCAUUCUUAUGCAUAAGUAAUAUAUUCUUGUACAUGCAUGUCUUAUGCGUGUAUGUGUGAGAGAGAGAGAGACCUGUAUGAUGUUCUUCCUAAAAGCAGCAGUGAGAUCGGUGCAGCCUUCCAUAUGAAUCCUCCUCAUAGUGUUUAACGACUUAUGCAAGCCUAGAAUCUCAGUGAGUUCGGGAGAGCAAUUCAGAUGCAGUUCUACCAUACUCGACAUUUCUGAAAAAUUUGGCAUUUUUUCAAGUGCAAUGCACUGAUUCGCUCUCAAGAUUUCCAAAUUUGUUGGUAAAUUCGGGAUUUCAUGAAGACACAUGCAAAAACUCAAAUCUAACAUUUUAAGCUUGGAGAGUCGACUGAGGCUCGGUAGGCUAUAAAACAAAUUGCCAGCAAGCUCCAAUAUUUCUAAAGAAAAUAGACUCCCAAGAUCCUUAGGGAUUGCAUCAUCAGUUAAACCGCAGUUUCCAAGAUCUAAAAGUGUCAAAGAAUUUAAGCCAUGCAAUGAAAGGAGCACAGAUCUCAGGUUCUUCAAUCCUGCUAUCGAGGAUGGUAAUUUCCUUGUCAUUGUAUGGCUUGCUUGAGGUGUUGUCGAUGAUACCAUCUCCCCCUUGUCCUUCAGUUUUAUAAAUCCUGUACAGCCUUUAAGAAUAAGAGUCUCAACUGAUUUUGACUUACAGAAAUCCCCUGGAAAAUACUGAAGCGUUUUGCAGUCUUCAAGAUUUACCAACGAAAGUCUUUCAAGAUGCCCAAUGGAUGGGUGAAUCUUAGACAAUCUUACACAGUUUACCAAUAUCAGUUUUUCAAGAUUUGGGACUUUGGAAAGAUCUGGUGAUUCUGUUAGGUAAUGGGAAUGACUGAGAUUGAUGAUUUUCAGAUUCUUGAGCAGCUGCUAGGAAAAAACAGAUAACAAAAUAAAAAUUCAAAUACAAGAGAGAAAGCAAGAUAUUGGCAUUCACAGAAGCUGAAGAAAAUAAUUAAUAAUUUGUUUGAGAUCGUAUCAUACCACGUCAGUAUCCUCCCAAACUCGUAUGAGUUUGCUAUAGUUCAGGUCAAUAGCAACUAGGUUUGGUUGAUCGAAAUCUUCAGGUAUGACCUUCAGAGGAAAUCCAUGCCAACACAACCAUCUUAACUCUUUUGAAAGAUUG
rnacentral:lncRNA from 1 species